GAAGCUCGGGGCAGCCCUUGCUUUCGGGCGGCACCGCUCUCUCACGGCGGCGCUAGGGCUCCUCUCACCGGUCUAGAAAUGAUGCUGGGAGGGAGACCGACCGAACGGGACCGGUCCGGCGGCGAACGGAGGUCGGACGGCGGCGGGAGGACGGCCGGAAUUCUGCUGGGUGUAGAGAGAAGAAAAUCGGGUGAGAAGAGAAGAAAAAUCGGGAGGGAGGGAGAAGAGAAAGAAGAAGAAAUGGGUUGGGCUCGGCCCAGCCGACCCAACACCCCUUUUAACCCAUAAUUCCAAAAUUCAACACCCCGAAAAAUAAUACCCGAAUAAAAAUUACCGUUUACUAGCUAAAAUUUACUAUUUUUACCGUCGCCGUAUAAUCCCCAUACGAAUUAUCCUCCGCACAUAAUCGUCCCCGAAACCCCUCUAGGGACCAAUUAAACUAUUUACUCAAUGAUCGAGACGGUAAAAUUCUUAUUAUAAUCACGCUAGUAAAUAAGGUAAAAAUAUAAGGGUCGGGAUGUGACAACUAAAACUUUGAAGAGGUUACAAUCAAAUCAAGUAGUGAUAUACAACAUCAUCACUUUUAUAAGUUACAAUAACAAACUUGAUUUUACAACUGAUGAACUCUUCCAAAAUAACGAUGAAUUCUAAUUGAAGAACCUUUGCAGCUUCCUUCAAUUCCACUUCCAAUAACACUGAUCUCAGAUCAUACAAAUGAUAAAUGAUGCAGUGAACAAGUAUGAAUGAGUUUUAAAACAGUUUAGCAGUAAUAGACAAUAUCACAAUGCUCUUAUCAAAUAUGAAAAACUCAGUCAUUAACAGAUUGCUUCUUGGCAUAUAUAUAGUGUCAAAGCUCCCCCUCAAUCAGAUCCCAUUGAUCACUGAUUGAAACUGAGAGGGAAACAACUUUUCAAAACAGAUUUGUUAACCAAAAAUAAAAUCUGAAACAAUCCUAUUCAAAAAUAUUUGCAAAAGAUUUCCUAAAACUAUCUCACAGAUAUUUUAGUCAAUUUAAAACCAUAAAAGGACUGUGUCUUUUCUUUAAACAGAAUACCAAAAACAUGAUAUGAAUAUGCAUGAGAUGUAAUUACCUUAGAUGAUCUGAAAUCAGUGUUACUAUGGUAAAAACAACAGAUUGCUCUUCGAAACCCUUGCUUCUCUUUGCCGAACCAGGAAACCUUUACUUCUUGAUUCUUCUGCAGUCAUCCUUUCCUUUUUUGAAUUGAAUAUGACUGCCAUAUGCUUACACAUUGAUUUCGCUCUUUGCAACAGUUUUCAUUUCAAGCAAGGGGCAAUAUUUCUUUUACUGCGAAAUAGUCAUUUAUUACAUUUGAAGCUUGGAAAGAAAAGAGGAACGAACUGCAGCAAUGCGCGGGCAAUUUUUCUAAUAUAUAUUGGCAAGUCUUGUGGUCAUAUAAUGACCAAGAAGGCAAGAACCAUGUUCAUAAAAUCAUUCAAAUGUCUUAAUGUCACACUUUUCUAAUAAGCAUCAAGAAAUACUAGAGUGGUCAAAAAGUCAUACAUGUAUACCCCCCCACCCCCCCUUUUUUUUCUUUUGUUUCCCUUUACCUUGUCCUUUCUUUCUAGUCGUAUGUCGUUUACUUUGCCGAACUGUUGUUAUUUGAGAAUUGCAGGUAGAAUAUGUUUAUAUGUAUAUAUCAUGAUGAUAUAAAAGAGAAUAUAAUUUUUGUGUGCGUCUAAAAAGCUCUUGAAGUAUAGUUUCAUUUCACUUAAAUGUAACCAAGUUAUUAACGAUAAAUGUCAUUUGAACCGGCGGCCAAACUCCAAAGUCAGGAUAAAGUUUCGCAUUAACCUGCUAAGUCGGUGCCUUAGUGAUCUAUUCCUAAAAAAUGUACAUGGAUUGAAAGAUGGGCAUAAAUAGAUUGUAUUUACAUGAUUUCAAAUACAAGGUUGUAAUCAGCUGUUUUUCCCUUUUACUUUUUCUCUUUUCCUUUUCUCAUCAUUCCAACACACCCAGGACAGUCAUGCUACUGACUUUUCUUUGUUAGCUUCCUUUCUUUUCCCAUAUAAUUCUUAAAUAUUCUGAAUGGUAAAGAAAUUAUUGUAUAGGUCCACUUUUUUCUUCAAUAAUCUAUUGAAGAAGUAUAAUCUAAGUUUCUAAAUGAAGUCGUCCACGAGCAACGUUCACUUUCAUGCCUUAAUCAUUUCCUUGCUCGAAAAUAUAUUGCAUUGUUAUUCCUAAUGUUCACAUUAAUCUAGUUCAUCAUAUUGAUCAGAGACGACUCAACAACUUCAAUGUAUAUUAAAACAUUUAUGUUUCAUUUCUUACACAAAAAAAAAAAAAAAAAAUACAAAUAUGUUCUUCCAUGAAUAGAGACAGCAAUAUUAGAAAGAAUGAACACAAUGCCAUUUAAACACACACACAAACAAAAAACAAAACAAAAAAAGGAAAACUCAAACGCUGCACAAUUUAGAAAGAAAAAAGAACAGUUGUUGCUUGGAGAGAAUAUACUAGAGGCAAAGCCGCAAAGACGAAUUGGCAUCUUUAAUACAAUCAGCUUGAAACUUUCGANNNNNNNNNNNNNNNNNNNNNNNNNNNNNNNNNNNNNNNNNNNNNNNNNNNNNNNNNNNNNNNNNNNNNNNNNNNNNNNNNNNNNNNNNNNNNNNNNNNNNNNNNNNNNNNNNNNNNNNNNNNNNNNNNNNNNNNNNNNNNNNNNNNNNNNNNNNNNNNNNNNNNNNNNNNNNNNNNNNNNNNNNNNNNNNNNNNNNNNNNNNNNNNNNNNNNNNNNNNNNNNNNNNNNNNNNNNNNNNNNNNNNNNNNNNNNNNNNNNNNNNNNNNNNNNNNNNNNNNNNNNNNNNNNNNNNNNNNNNNNNNNNNNNNNNNNNNNNNNNNNNNNNNNNNNNNNNNNNNNNNNNNNNNNNNNNNNNNNNNNNNNNNNNNNNNNNNNNNNNNNNNNNNNNNNNNNNNNNNNNNNNNNNNNNNNNNNNNNNNNNNNNNNNNNNNNNNNNNNNNNNNNNNNNNNNNNNNNNNNNNNNNNNNNNNNNNNNNNNNNNNNNNNNNNNNNNNNNNNNNNNNNNNNNNNNNNNNNNNNNNNNNNNNNNNNNNNNNNNNNNNNNNNNNNNNNNNNNNNNNNNNNNNNNNNNNNNNNNNNNNNNNNNNNNNNNNNNCUAGAAUUCCAUUUUGGCCAGAAUUCCAUCUUUCACAUAUGUAACAACGUAACUAUAGUUAGUGUUAGUAAAUCAAUAACCUUUCUUUUUAAAAAAAAAAAAAUAAGUACUUUAAAUCCAUUAAUCAAUAAAUACUGAUUGCACUCUCUCCCCUCAUUUCUCUCCAUCACAAGAACCUGCAACUAUGUAUUGUGGCAACUCCACCACACUCAACAACCCCUAAAUCUCUCUCUUUUUUUUUUUUUUACUAAAAGAGAAAUUUUUAUUCACACAUCCUAAAUCACUUGAUACACAUCCCAAUUUUUUGGGUAAUUAUCUUUUCUCACACAUUACCCACUUUACCCUUAUUUUAUUGUAAGCCAAUAUCGUCUUCCUCGAGUCUCCAACACAGUUCAUCACCAUCGUCAUCUCACACUACAUUAUGUAUAAUCAUAUUUCAAUAAUUGAAAACAAGAAAGGAUGACGAAAGAGUCUAUAAAGAUGAUAAUUUGAAUUUCUUGGAGAGAUUUCAACCUUCUAGCUUUGUUGUCAGGCUAUGAAAAAGAAGAAACCCUAAGCUUCAAAACAAUAAUACAAUCGACCUCAUGUCAACUAUGUUUGAAGUUUUAAUAUUGAAAUUAUUUUUUAGGUGAUUCAGACAUUUAGUAGUUUGGUUUGGAGGCAACCCAAAUAGUUGACCUGCAUCUUAGUUUGUUAUUACAUAUGAUCCAAUUUUACAGUUGCAAUGUUAUAGAAGGUAAAUAUAUAGACUUUUAAGAUUAUGAUUAUGCUGGACACACGAUGAGAAUAACAAAAUCAAAGAAACGUUCAUCUUCUGGGUUUAAGGUUUAGAAUUGGACAAUUUUUUUUCUUUAUCUCAAAUUAGUUAUGAGAGUAAAGGUGUAAUUAAAAAACCUUUUAAAAAAAAGGAAUGUGCAUUUAGUGUUAGGGGAUGUGUGAAUAAAAUUUCUCUUACUAAGGGGGGUGUAUUGUAUAUGGAAUUAGUGGAAGUUUUAAAGAAGUCUAUGGAAUUUGAAAAUUUAGGUGUAUUCAAUACAGACUUUUAAAAAUCUAUCAAAGUCUGGGUGUAUUCAACUAGAUUUUAAAAAAUCAUUAUGAAUUCCAUCAAAGUUCAAAGGUAUUCAAUUAAGACUUUUUAAAAUGAAUAGAAGUUCAGAUGUAUUCAAAAUAUCAUUCAUACUUAUGGAAUUAAUAACUCAUGGAUAAUUGUGGACUUUGUAGUGUAAAUUACACACACCAAACUCCAAUAUUUUUCCAUCCACUAGAGCAAAGAUUUGGAAAAGUCUACGAUAGACUUUCUCUUUACAUGUGAAUAGGUUGAUCCUACAAUACAUCAUCUUUUUUUUCUUUUUAUAAUAUUUUGUGCUAUCAAUAUUCUAUUCUACCUAUUCUUUUCAAUGUUUUUUUAAUGUUAAUAUUUUGUUGUAUUUCAAUUGUAAUGCUUGUAACCCUCGAUAACCUAAAUGUUAUAUACUAACUCUUGAUAUUAGAACCACAUGAUCAUAUAUUAUUAUAUUAGCGUACAUGAAUUAAACUGUGAACAUCUAAUGUCCCACUUUAGAAUAUGUGUCUUUCGUUAACGUACAAGUAUGCAUGUUGUUAAGUUAAUAUAGUUUUUUUUUGUUACUUAUGUUUAUGUAUUUCAAUCAAAUAUUACAACGGUAUGCAUCGAAAUUAGAUAGAUGAGCACUAAACUUAUAAUCGGUGUCAUUAUGUGUUUGUUAUUGCAUCUUUAUUUUUCUUUUCCUUUUAUGUAACUCUGUAAGUAUUAAGAAAUCUACAUAAGUCAUGCAUAUGAAAUCUGUAGAUUUCAGAAAUCAGUUAAAAGUCUGUGAUUAAAAAAUCGAAUGGUUUUUAAGAAAUCAGUGAAAAGUCUAUGAACUUUUCAAAGAGUCUAUAGAACUUUUCAAAAAAGUCAAUUGAUUAAAAUAAGUCUGUAUGAAUCCAAAUACAAUACACCCUCUAAAAAUGAUAUAUUUUUUUUUUGAUCUGGCAUAUACCCGAAGGUAGAGGAGAGAUGAACAUCUGGAAUUGCAGAAAAAUAAAGAGAUAGAACAUAUGCAUUUGGGAUAGCAAAAAUGGAUAUAGAAUUUGGGUUUUCAAAGUUCAAAUUGAAAUAUUCGACCAAAAAAAAAAGUUCAAAUUGAAAUAUAGGUAUAUGAUAUUGAGGAGAAACUGAAUUGGGGAUUGAGGAGAUUUUUCUUGGUUCAAGUUGGAUUCUCAGAACUUACUGAUUCAAAUUUGCAGACUUGCAAUUGAGGUUGAGUUGCGGUGGUCAAGAGAGAGAAAAGAAAAAGAGAAUAUGAAGAUGAACAUCUAAAGGAUUCAAAUUUGCCCACUGCAGAGAGUAAAAGUUGCUGGGAAUUUUAUCUUGAUCUGGAACAGACCCGGAGGUAGAUGAGAGAUUUGGGAAGAUGAGAGAUUUGGGAGUUGCCGGCAAUGCAAAGUUGCAGGUUCUGGUGAUGGAGAGAAAUGAGGGGAGAGAGAGCAAUCAAUAUUAAUUGAUUAAUUAAUUUAAAAGCUAUUUUUUUAGAAAUGAAAAGUUACUGAUUUACUAACACUAACUAUAGUUAAGUUGUUUUCAUCAAAAAAAAAUUAUAGUUAAGUUGUUACACAUAUAGCAAGUUUUAAUUAGGUGGCUAUACUGUGACCAACUUAGUUGUGGUCGGCAAAUUUGAAUAUAGAAAAUUCUAGUAUACAGCGCGAUAUGAUAUACAGAUCCCACUAAAAGCCAAAAUAGCUGAUGUCAUCAAUAGCCUUUUCAAAAAAUGUAACCGGAGAACCUUCCCAACAAGUUUUACUUUUAGUAAAUAUAUUUUUCCUCUUAUCUCUUACCAUAUAAAAUUUUGACGGAGCGUAGUGGGUCUAUAUUUAUGAAUUUGUUUAUUUUGACAUUUUACAGUUGAAAUCUAUCCUCUAUACUCUAAGGUAAACAGUUAAUUUUUCAUUAUCAUAAUUUCGCUUCUUACUAGAACACAAUUGCUUUGCCAUCUGCAAAGAAACUAGAGAUGAAUUGCUAGAAGAACAGAAACAAUUGAUAAUCCUUAAAAAUUUUAGAUCAACACUUGAUAGAGAAGAUCCUAAUUAUUAGGAUAAUAUCUAUUUGGUUCAGAGAAAAAUCUAUAGAGUUCAAAAGAACAUUAAGGUUAUUAAAGAAAUUCUUGAAGUAUACCAAGAACUUUUAGAUUAUCUCAGAAUAGGGUAAGUUGGUCUCGAGCAGAUCACCUUGAACAUAUUUACACUUUGAGUAGAUUGAUUUAUUUCACCUCGAGCAGAUUUCACCUCGAAUAGAUUUCACCUCAAGCAGAUUAUCUCGAGCCAGAUUACUAGCAGAGUACUCUGAUAGAUUUACUGGUAUCAGAGCCUAGCCUUUAGCUGGUGCUCAAAAGAAAUCCCAAGAUGGGAACAGGAAUUGAACAAAUACUAGAAAAGCUUGAAUUUCUAGUACAACAAGUUGAUGCGAGGCAUCAAGAAUCUCUAGCAGAAGUGUCUAGACAUAUAGAAUAUCUAGAAGGAAUUCCAAAUAUAGUCUAUCAGCUGACUAAACUAGAAAGCAAAAUAGACUAUAUUCAAUCCCUUCCAGAAUAGAAAGAAGAACUACUGGCAAAAGUCAAUAGUAAGAUAGAAGAGCUUAACCAGCAACAGGUAAAAAUCUUAGAUUAUGUUCAAAACAUAGUUGGAGAACAUAAAAGGCUAAAAAAUGAGAGCCAAUCUAAGAUGAAUACCACAAAAACUCACGGAUUCAAAGCAUUGGAAGUUCCUCAAGGAAAUUCUUCACCAAGAACUUUCCUUUUUGAACUAACAAUGAGUCCAAGAGUUUUUGAAUCCUCAGAAACUCCAAAGCUUAAAGAUAUAAGAGAUAUGAAGAUGAUGAGCAUCUUUGGAAAGAAGAAAAGAGUACAACUGCUAAACUCCGAAGAAUUCGAAUACAAUGAAUUAGAAAGUAAUGUCAGGAAUUCAGCAAUUCCAAAAUUCGAAUUCAAUCAAAUUUAUAAAAGAGGAAAUUUUGAUUUGUUGGAUAGCCAUCAAUUCAAAAUUUUAGAGUUUACCACUCCAGGAACAACAGGAGAAACAGAUCUCCUCGUAGUAACACCUGAAGAGGUGGCUAAGGCUAGAAAAAGAAAUUAUAAAUUUAUGCACAUUGGAGCAGUCCAAGUAGGCAUAAAACUACUGACCAGAGAAGGAUUAAAUUGUUCAGUUCUAUGUGUUUUACAAGACAAUAGACUAAUAGAUUUUCAGAAAAGUUUGCUAGGAACUCUUCAAGCAUCUCUAUGCAAUCAAGUUGCAUACUUCAACUGCUUCCCAAACUUUUCAACAAGCUUGAAUGAUGCUGCUCACUGUUUAAGACUGAGAGUCAAAACAGAUGGCACAUCUAUGAAAGAAGGCAUUCCAGAACUUGCUAUAGUUUAUAGGAUUUACUAUAAACUAAUGAGUACAACGGUAGAGCCAAAAACCAGGCUAUCAAAUAUCUCUAGCCUUACUACUGGAUUCCUCACAAACCCAAGAAAUCAUUCAGAACAGAUUCAUAAGGUUACUUGGGAUGAGGUAACGUUUCCACUAGAGUGGAAAUUCUCUAGCCCUAAAGAAAAGCCAGAAAGUGCGAGGGCAGCUAUUUAUGAAAACAGGAGAACGGGAGACGUGAAUCUCAAGUUCGAAGGACAUAGGAGAAGUGAUGCAACCCUCGAAUGUCUAAGAAAUGACAACUCAAGAUUACUUAGGAGAUGCAACACUUCUAGAGAAGGAAGUACUUCUAGAGAUUUAAGUACUUCUAGAAGUACUAGAAUUAUAAUUAAUGAUGAAUCUAUUCCAGUAGUGGAAGAAGAUUUAGAAGAACUUCACAGAGAAGUAAACAUGCUAAAAUCAGAAGGACUUUAUGAGCUUUCUGAUGAAGCAGACAACUGUAAAGAUCCCGCUCAUCUAGAGCAACUGAUUGAAGAAAUAAAAAAUUUUAAUCUUGAAAAAAGAAGAAAAGUCGAAAAAAAAGUCUUUCCUUACCACGAUGUCAAAAUGAAAGAUGGAGAAAGCUCCUCAAGACAUCCACAGACUGCCAUUAUCAAAAUUGGUAGAGAUACAAAACCUCUUGAAAGAAAAGAGCCUACAGGAAAGAGAGAUGACAGAAACUCUCAAAGAUUUGUCCCAGAACUAAGCAUACCAAAAAUACCAAUAUCACAGCAUGGUAACUGGUUAGAUCUGGAAAAGGCUCUAGAUAAGAAGAAAGCCAUAGAUGACUGGGUCAAUGCAAUGUUUAUGGCAGCUUGUACAACUUAUGGAAAGUUUGAGGCACAAGACCUACAAACAGUCUAUCAAGCUACUCUUACAGGAAUGACAAAGAAAUUUUAUCUUGCUUGGAAAGAAACCCAAAGGGGUAGAGUAUGACUAGAAACCAUAAAAGAUGAUAAAUCUCCAACAACCUUUGCUACACCAAUCUAUAAGCAAUUUUGUGGAGAUAUAUCAUUUGUUGGUGAUAAAGCUAGAGAAACAGCCAGAACCAACAUAUAUGCUUUCAAGAUAUGCAACAUGGCUUAUUUUGAAGAAUAUUUGAAUGAGUUUCAAGAUUACUGCACCAUAGGAGAUAUGGAGAAUAUAGAUUUGAUAUAUCUUCUAUAUAGGAAACUCUCAAAGCCGUGGAGGACGGCUGUAAAAAAGAGCAUAGAUGUCAAACCUCUAGAAAGACUCUCAGUUGGUGGAGUAGCAAAAAGAAUUAGAGAGUUGAUGAGGGCACAGUGCAAAGCAAACAUAAGAGCUAAAGUUGCAAAGAAACAGCUUAAACGAGCUGAUAAUUUUUGUACUAAACUCCUAGAGGUUCCUUCCAAUUGGGGUUGUAAAGAACCAGAUCAACACAAAAGGAGGAGAAAAGAAAAGAAAUUUCACAAACGUUUCGGAGGAAACAAGAAGAGAAAUUGGAAUUUCAAGAAAAGUUCUAACUACAAAAGGGAGAAGCAUAAUCCUAAAAAGUGAUUUUUCAAAAAGAAAAAAUCAUCGCAUGGAAAAUCAACUUCUCAGGAGUCUGAAAAGAAGAAAACAUGCAGAUGUUGGUUAUGCAAAGUAGAAGGACAUUAUGCUAAUGAGUGUCCUAAGAAAUAAAAAAGAACUUCAAAAGCUCUUUUUAAAGAAUAUGAAGAGGUCAUGGAGAUGGCCAACAUGAAGGGAUUUGAAGUAGUUUACUCUGAGGAAGAAGACAACAUGUCUGUCUACUCAGCAUGGUCAGAAGAAGAUUCUUUAGAAGAAUCUGAAUAUGAUUCAGAAGAAGAUUGUAAACCUAGAGAGGUUUACCUUCUUGAAGUCAAAAACUGGGAAGAAAACACUACAGAAGAAAUAGUUUCUUCUUAUAGUGUAAAACCAGGAACAUUUACCUGUGAUUUUUGUUUGUCUUGAAAAGGAUGGUCUUCCCAUAUCAUGUGAAAAGUUAGGAAAAACUUAUCACAAAGAAUGCUUCAUAGCUGAAGCAAGAACGAAAACAAAAAAUAGUUCAAUAAGUCAGCUUGUUGAACAAGAAUAUGAAGAUUACUUUCUAUGAGAUAGAAGAAAGAAAAGAAAUAUUGAGAACAGAAAUUCAAAGAAUUAAACUUGAAAGAAUGGAAUUUGAUAAAACCUUAGAGGAGGUAAUAUCAUUCGAUACAACUUCAGACAGACCACCAUCAUUAAGUAAUGUCCACAAAAAUUGGCACAGUCAAUUCAUGAUGCUAAACUUGACGUUGAAAUCCACAUAAAUAGAACACAUUCCUUAAGCAUUGACAGAAUUUAUAUCUCUAGCCAUGCUACUUAUUCGGGUGCAACCACGACCCCAAGUGCAACAAUUAAAAGCACACGGCUUACUUUAGCCAUUCCACAAGAAUGAUUCUAAAUGCCAAAACCUUUGGACCCGACAAACCCACUUUUAUUUUUUUUUCUACCUCCAAUAAUAUAUUAAUCUGAUAGAAGAAUACAAACUGAAAAUCAGAUAUGCUCAAUUCUCCUACACCUCCCAGGCGCCACGACUUCCCACAAAAAAGACUCUUCGAUAACCGAGCUUGCAGCACCAAGUUAACCAUCGAAUAUAUUAAAUUUUUUUCCAUAAUAUGCCCACUACUACACAUUUUGGUUCACCAUCCAACGAAAACUAUAAAUUCAAGGAAGAAUCAAGACUCAUGGCCAAUCUUUGUGCAAGUUCCAGAAUAAAUAACUUAAAAUUCAUGAAAGUCAAGUCCCACAACUUCGAGCUCAAAAGCUCCACAAAUCACCGACGUCCACUAGAACCUGUUUCAAAAACGCACUAGAAACCAACAUUUAAUAGUGGUUUCAACUAAUCACCCUGACACCAACGGAUGAACACACCACCAAAUAGUGAAGACCUCCCAAAUUAAACUUGGAUCAAUAAGCGGUCCCUCCACAAUACGAUCCUGAGAAGAGACGUCGUUCAACCUAUCCAUACAUCUACCAUUCACCAUAUUAAAUCUCUUAAUAAACCUUGACUCGAAAUGCUUCUUGAGUCAACAGGGAAAAACCCUCUUCCAUAAGGCUACAACAUAUCUACAACGACACAAACCAUCUAAUCAACAUAACAACACGACUUCCAGUCUACUACAAAGAAUUUACGGCUCCAUGGUUCGUCGCUUAAUCGAACCCAGAUUCACUUAGGAACACCACUAAAUUUAUCAAUGAUCCAUGGCUACAACACAACAAUCAAUUCUUCAUUUGCCUCAAAAAAAAAAAAAAAAACUUUCGACAAAAUAACCAGAAUCUCUAUCCUUCAAAUCGAAGAAUUUGGAAUUCGCACUCUAUAAUUUCAAGCUCUGAGGAUGCUACCCAAAAACAAUAGUAGGAAUAAUUUAUAUAUUCCCACACACACCACAACCAAAACUUUGCUCCAUCUCACCGAAUUAGAAAUAAGGUGAGAACAAAUCCUCCCAUUGUUGUGUUGUAGUUAGUCACCCAUUGCGAACGAAGUGAUGUUAGCAAACAAACUUCGAUCUCAAAUUCAAAACUUACAUCACUACUCGAAACAAUGCAGCUUGAAAUUACUAUGGACACCCACGCACUCUUGCUCCAUAAUUCAGUGGGCUUUAUUCCACUGCUACCACUUCCACCAGCUCCACACAACUGCUAUAGAAUACCCAUGACAACACGUAAUAAAUUCACCAGGUGUUGUCGUAAAACUGGAGUGACCACAACCAUCCUGCUCUCACUCCACCAUUACUUUUCAAUUCCAUUUAAAUUUAUCAUCUUCCCAAACACUCAACAAAUCUGGAAACCACACUUCAACACCUAGAAUUCCGAAAGAAUCCAUAAUGGUCCCACGAUUAAAAUCAUACAACUAACAUCUCAUUCCACGACUCCAAAUUUGCUUGAAACUCAAAACAUUUAGUGCCACCACUCAAAUUCUAAAAUUUCCCGACUGUGGCACAACAACAAGUUGUCACAACGCACUGACCAAUGACUUUUGUAAAACCAACAACCCAAGGAAAAGCAACCCAAGUCAUUUCACUUAGUGCUUUAACAAACUUCAACUAACCCACAAUAGAGACCAAAAUCAUCAGAAAUCUUAUUAUUCAUCGACUACUAUUAUCCGUCAUAUCCAAAAGAUAUUACCACCACCAUCUUAAUAAAUUGCUCAAAAGAUAAAAACUUAUCCAUAAUUAGAGUUGUAGGAACCAGAAUAUGUGCUGACAUAACCAGCAUUAUCCCAAAAUGUUUCCAACUGCUUUCUGUUGCGGAUAAAAAUAGUCGGCAAAUUGGCCUUCAAUCAUGACUUAUCUAAAUUGACAUUUAGCUUUUUAUGUAGCAAUGCCUUACAACGCAAUCACUAGCCAAAAAUCCCACGUGACUAAAUCGCUCAAGCUUAAGGUCCGCAACAACUCAUAAAGGUACCUCCAAGAGUUACUAUAGGUACCCCACCAUAACACUUCAACUAACUUAAACAUCAAAAGAAUACACCACUACUUCGAACUUUCUUUCCAACUAUUUUCUCCCAUAAAUCACUUAACAUGAUGUCAAGAUUUUCUAUCGGACUACUACGACUGCUUACUUGCCCAUCAUAAAUAGAAAACUCCCAGGGCAUAAAUUCAAACAUUUCACUUACCACAGAUUCGCACAAAAUGCCCAACCUAGCAUCUUAAUCAUCAGCCAAACAAACAUUGAUCAAAAGAAAAGAAUGCUGCCACGCUUAUGAGUUCCCAACUCGCAAUUGAACUCUAACAAUUUAUGAUAUCAACUUGAUAACUCUUGGAAAAAGGCAUAAUCCAUACACUUUUUCAAUACUCAAAGCAUAAUGAUUUACUUAAGAGGUCGGUGUACGAAGGCAUAGUCUUAGAGAUGUAGGACAUUUAUGGCACACUACAGUCCAUAAAUAAAAUAAGAACAACUACAUCACAAACUUAAUCAACACAAAGUGUCUAAAGCAUAUAAUGCUAAUCGAUCCGCCGCGGUCGGACCAUCACUCUAUAGACACUAAGCAUGACCAAGAAUAUGAGGUAGUGCUAAAAAAAAGGGAAAAGAAUCGAAUAACCUAAUGCUCUGAUACUAACUGUCAGGACCCACCCCGAAUUUCACCCUGAAACCCGAAGUAAAUCUUGCGGGGACAACCUCUAUGGAAAGUUUACCGAAAAUUCGGCAUAACCUUCCUUCAAAAUGGACAACCCUUCCUAAUAAUACCUGAGAGGUGACAGGAGAAACAAUUUGCAAAGAAGAAACGUGCAAUCCUUUUACAGAGGUAAAAGAAGAUCUCCCACACCAAAAUAUACGUCAAGUAAAGACAGUCUCUACAAGCAGAUUCAGUAAUUAUAUGGAAAUUGGAUUAAAAUUUCCAAAAUACAAGAAAUAUCAUCUACAUGCAUUUAUAGAUAUUGGAUAUGGAUUCAGCUUAGCAAAGAAGUUUGCUAUACCAGAAAAAUAUUAGACAGAAGAUCCAAGAAAAAGUGUCGUUGGAAGAAUCAUAGAAGGAAGGCACAUUCUCAUGAAUACAAUUGCUAAGAAGGUUAAAAUCACCAUCAGAGGUGGAGAUUUUAUCAUUGAGGAACUUUGGCAAUCAGAAAAUCAAGAUGCUGAUAUACUGUUAGGAAAUGAGUUCAUCCUACAACAAACCUUCAUACAAAAGACACCCCUAAACCUAAAAGGUUUUGAAAAGGGCGAAAAAAUCUUCUGGACAAAGCGACUAAAACACUCUAGAAGCGUAGUUGGUCCCGGAUUCACAUCACAAUAUCAGAAGUCGUAGCAAAAUCAUGGUGAUCUUUAUAAGCCAAAAUUUGAAGAAAUCUUACAAUAUAAGCAGUACAGGCUGCAAGAAGAAGUACUUCAAAAUGAAGAAUUUUCAAAAGAAGAAGAAGAAGAAGACGAAGAAGAGAUCAAUGAAGAAAUCAGUUUCGUCCAAUAACAUAAUCUCAAAUAUUUUGAAACCAAGCUGGAGCAGCAGAAAAAGCAUACCCUUGGUGAAAUUAAGGAUAUGCUAAAACAAAACAUUAAUAUAAACCCAUUGAGGUUUAGGAAAAAGACUCAGUGGUCUGUGAAUUAAAACUUCAUGACAUGAAUGCCAUCUGUCAUGUAAAAGCAAUCCCUCAAUACAAAGAAGAAGAUCAGAAAUAAUUCAGAAAAGAUAUAGCUGAUCUCUUGGAAAAAGGGUUGAUAAGACCAUCAAACAGUCCUCAUCAUGCUCCUGCUUUCUAUGUCAGGAAUCAUGCUGAACAAGUAUGAGGUAAAGCAAGAAUGGUGAUUGAUUACAGAGAUGUUAACAAAAAGACUGUUAAGAAUGGCUAUCAAAUAGCACAGGCAAGAGUGCUGAUUAAUAGGCUCAAAGGAGCAAAAGUUUUCUUAAAAUUUGAUGCAAAAUCCGGAUUUUGGCAAGUUAAAAUGCACCCAGGUAGCAUCCCUCUUACUGCCUUCGGAACUCCACAAGGACAUUACGAAUGGUUAGUAAUGCCAUUUGGCUUGAAAUAAGCUCCAUCAAUUUUUCAAACAAAGAUGGAUAAUAUUUUCAAACAUGUGGCCGAUUUUUGUGUUGUCUAUAUUGAUGAUAUAUUGGUGUUCUCCAAAACCAAAGAAGACACUACCAGAAGAAAGACUUUAGCCGACGAAAAAAAAAAACCAGGCCGACGAAUCAAUUUUUCGUCGGCUAAAGCAGACUUUAGCCGACGAAAUUUUCCUUCGUCGGUUAAUUUUUAUUUUCGUCGGCUAUAGUCAACUUUAGCCGACGAAAUAAAAAAUUCGUCGGUUAAAGAAUUUAUUUUCGUCGGCUAAAAUCACAUUUCGUCGGCUAAAGAAUUUAUUUUUGUCGGCUAUAGCCGACGACUUUAAACAUUCUUUAGCCGACGAAAAUAAAUUUCGUCGGCUAAAGUUCUUUAUAUUCGCAGAUUUGGACAACAGCUCAUUUGAGAAAAAAAAACAGGAGAAGAAAAAACGGGAGAAAGAGUUUGGGUGUUGUUGAAAUCUGUCCAUAAUUAAGAAGUGGAGCUAUAUAUAGGUACGUACAUGUGUAUAUAUGUUGAUUUUGAGUUUUAUUUGAGUUUAUCGAUUUUGAGUGUGAUUGAAUUGAUAGAUUUUGAGUACGUUGGAUGUAUAUAUAUAUAUGUGUGUUGAUCGAUUUGGUUGAUGAUUUGAUAAUAUAUAUGAAGUUGUUGUUAAUAAGUAGUAGAUAUAUAUAUAUAUAUGUUAAUUAAUUUAUAAUAUUGUGUUGAUGAUGAUUUUGUGAUGAUGUUGAUAUAUAUAAAUUGUUAUGUAAUUCUUAAUUAAGUAUAUCUAUAUAUAUAUGUGUGUUAAUUAAUUUGUUAUCAAUUAGUUGUAGUACGUAGAAUAUAUAUAUAUAAAUGAAUUGAAAUUUUAUAUAUGGUAUAGAAUUUAAUUAAUAAUUAGCUAGCGUUAUACAUAUAUAUUUUGUUAUAUUUUCAGGAUCGGAUAUGGAUAAGAGUUGGAUUUCGCUUCCAAAAUAGGACAAAAGAUAUGGUAAAGGAAUUAUGAGUUUUCUGGAAUAUGCGCUGGCUAAUGCUAACGGGAAUACAAUUUUCUAUUGCCCGUGCAUGAAAUGUCAAUGUCGCAACGAUAUGCAUCGAUUUGCGAUUGACAAAGUAUGGCAGCACCUGAAGAGUAACGGGUUUUGGGAGAAGUACACAUGUUGGUUAUAUCACGGUGAAAUAUCAUCUGGGGGUCCGCAUGAUCAUGGCCAAUUUUCUGAGACGGGCAGUACAUCCAACGAUCCAACAACGGUCUUCAUCAACGACAUGUUUCCUUAUGAGAGCGGUGUAUGCACUCAAGGACAGUAUAUGCUUGACCCGGUGCAGCCAUUCCCUAGAGCUGUCAACACUGCUGGUAUUGACAAGUACAACAAACUGCUUGCUUUCCAACAGACCCUUGUAUACCCCGGUUGUCAGAAGACCAUUCUUGAAAGUGUGAUAGACGUAAUGAAGAUUAAAGUUGAGACAAAAUCGACUGUGAAAGCUGUUAAUGAUUAUCUACAGUACACUAUUUCGAUGCUGCCUCACGGUCAUCGUCUUCCUACCACUCAUCAUAAGGUCCGAUGUAUCCUGAAAGAUCUUGGGCUUUCCUACAUCAAGAUCCAUGCAUGUAGAUAUGACUGCGUUCUCUUUUGGGGUAAAGAUCCAGAAGGGAAUGACCUUGGUGGCCUUGACGCAUGUCCGGUAUGUCACACUGACAGGUAUAAGCUGACUCCUGCAGGCAACAGGAAACCUGUAAAGGUACUUCGGUAUUUCCCUUUGAGGGAUAGGUUGGAGCGGUUGUACAUGUCUUCACACACGGCCGAAGCUAUGAGAUGGCAUGCUGAUAGGGAAUUGCAUGACUAAGAUACCCUUAUACACCCUGCUGACAGGGAGGCUUGGAAGCAUAUAGACAGGGAGUUUCCUCAUUUUGCGUCAGAGGUCCGAAAUGUGAGGCUCGAGCUCUCAUCCGACGGGUUCAACCUUUUUGGCAACAUGAGUCUUCAAUAUACUGUAUGGUCGGUGAUUUUGGUACCGUACAACCUUCCUCCAUGGAUGUGCAUGAAGAAGGAAUACAAUAUGUUAAGUUUGUUGAUUCCGGGGCCCAGUUAUCCAGGAAAGUGUCUCGAUGUGUAUUUGAGACCUUUGAUUGAAGAGCUUAAAUUUUUGUGGGACGUUGGUCAUCCCACUUAUGACAAGUACAUGCACAAGAUGUUCCAGAUGCAUGUCAUGGUUGUUGGUACCAUCAAUGAUUUUCCUGCCCGUGGGAUGUUGUCGGGCAACGUUGUUAGGGGAUACAGGGCUUGUCCAGAGUGCCUUAGCGAUGAGGGGAGCAGCAGUCAUUGCAACAAGAUAUGCAAAUUGGGUCACCGUACUCUCCUUCCAUAUGAUCACGAAUGGCGGCUCGAUGCACAGGCAUUUGAUGGGAUCAUAGAAAACGGUGUGCCUCCCAGAAAAUAGGCAUUUGAUGGGAUCAUAGAAAACUGUGUGCCUCCCAGAAAAUGGACGGGGGAAGAAAUUUUAGCAGUGCUUAAUGAGUACGAUUUUGGGCAGCUCAACAAUCAUCCCAACAUUGUGGCGGCAAUACCUGAAAGACCCGACAGGUACAAAUUCGGGUUUUUUUAAUUUACUGGAAUGGACUUAUAGCCGACGAAAAACGCCUUAAUUCGUCGGCUAAAGUUUUUUUUUUUUUUUUAAAAUAAAUUUUAGCCGACGAAAUACGCUUUAAUUCGUCGGCUAAAUCCCUAUAAAGCCGACAAAAUAAACUAUUUUCGUCAGCUUUAGUUAUUUUUUAUUUUUUUAUUACAAACUUUAGCCAACGAAUAUUUUAAAUUGUUCGUCGGCUAAAGUUGGAGAAAAAACCGACGACAUGUCUUUCAUCGGCUAAACUCUAGGACUAUAGCCGACGAAUACCUUAAAUAUUUCGUCGGCUAAAGUCUGGGAAGAUAACCGACGACAUUUUUUUCGUCGGCUAAACUCUGGUCUAUAGCCGACGACUUCUACAUGUGUUGUCGGCUAAAGUCACCACAGACGACAUUUUCCCAACGAAAUCUUAACCGACGAAUUAAGCUGACAAGCCGACGAAAAUUUUUCGUCGGCUAAAGUGCUUGUCCUGGUAGUGAGAACACAUGAAACAUUUAUAUGAGGUAGUUAAGCUGAUAGUUCAGCAUGGAAUUAUCCUAGGAGAAAAGAAAGUCUUUUUAGUCCUAGAUGAGAUUGAUUUUUUAGGAUUAAACAUAAAAAAUGGAGUCAUCAAGCUCCAACCUCAUAUCCUGGAGGAAAUCUGGAAAUUCCCAGAUAAAAUUCCAUAUACCAAAAGUCUACAGAGAUUUUUAGGUGUCAUAAAUUAUGGAAGAGAUUUCCUUCCUAAAAUUGUUGGAUUAACAGCAAUGUUGUCUCCAAAAACAAGUUCUAAGAGAACUUGGAAAUCACAGAAGAUGAUGAAAAGAUUGUCAGGCAAAUUAAAAACCUACGUAAAAAUUUGCCACCAUUUCAUCAACCUGAAGAAAAUGAUGAGAUCAUUCUUCAAAUAGAUGCUAGUGACAAUUUUUGGUUUGGUGUUGUUCUCGCAAGAACUCCAGGCACCAACACAGAAAAAAUCUUAAAGUUUUGUAAUGGCAAGUUCAGCCCUACAGAGCAGAAUUAUCCCACAGGGGAAAAGGAAAUUCUUGCGGUAAAGAAAACAAUUGAAAAUUCUCUCACCUUUUUAGGAAAACCAUUUAUUGUGCGCACAGAUUGCGCAAGAGUUAAGAAUUUUAAAAAUUUCAAGCUUGAUAGGGCUGUUGAUAGGGGUAGAUUAGCAAACUGGCAAUUAUUUUUUAAUGAAUAUGAUUAUAAUGUGGAAUUAAUUGCAGGUAAAAAAAAUUAUCUUCAUGACGCCUUAAUUAGAGAAUUGGCAAUGUCCAGCAGAAGUGAAGGAAGCGACGAAAGUCGUAAUCCUAGAAACAGAAGACCAGGAAAAGAACUAGAACAACCAGAAGAAAUCAAAAGAGUUCUUAAGAGUUUCUUGUUGUGUCCUAAAAGACCAGGCACAACUGAUCAAUCCCAAGGUAAAGGAUUGGCUAGCCCGUCUUAAACGGCAGACGGUAAAGGCUUAACAAGACCGUUGAUGGCUGCUGCUUUGCCAAAAAGCAGACUUACUCCUAAGAGAGUCCUAAAUGUUCAUGGUUACCAAUUAAAUACUUUCCUGAACCAAUUUUUCGUUGUGGCAAAAAAUUAGUUUUCUACCAGAAAGCCUUGCUCGAUAAUUUAAUGUUUGCUUUUCAGGAAAAUGAUUUAGGACUCAUGAUACAAUCGCUUCAAGCUCUGUCAGAAGAAUUGCAUGAAGCGCACCAAGGGAAUAAACAACAGAGUGUUGUCCCAGUGAAUUUUUUCAAGGUAAAAUACCUUGAAGGUCCAGAAAGUGCUAGAGUUCCUGUUCUAGCGUUGAAAGAAUCAGAGUGGUUUAAAUUUCAUGAUAGCAUUGGAAUUCUUGUGACCGAGUCCUGCCAGAAACACUUUUUACUGUCCCAGGACCAUAUCCAGGAAGAUAUGUUGUGAAUGUUAAGAGUAAACAUCCUCAAGAACAUAAGCUUUGGCUAGUUGAAAAUGGCUUUGUUCAUAAUAUGUGGACAAAAUCAAAUGAUGAUCUAUAAGGAUUGCCAGCCAUUAUUGUCAAUACAGUUAAGAAUGUUAGAAAGUCAAACUUCAUUCUCAGGCUUAAGUUUAGAUCCACACCUCCUGAGUGGGUGCAGAAGAAAAAUGGAGAAACAGAAUACAUAUCUCCAUACCACUAUGUAAGAAUUAUCCAAGGGCAAUACUUAGAGCCUGCUUGUCAGGGAUACAAUGGGUAACCUAACUCUAGUAUCCCAUGGAAGAAAGCCAUGUCCCUAGAAUAUAUCAAGAAAAUCAUCGAGGAUGAUCAAGAGAAUACUUAUCUUGUAUUUGGAGAAAAAAUAAUUGUUACCGCCUAUGACCAUCCUGAGGUCGUUAGCAGUGAUUUAUUUUUAUCUCUCAAGAAAAGAGAAAUUGAUUCCACCUUAGUAUGUGCUCAGUGGAUUGAAAAGAUUGAAAAUGACAAGCACUACAAGGUGUAUGAAGAUACCGACAUGGAAGAAAAUGAAAGAAAUGCAAGAAGCAGAUAUGAAGAUCCUGUAUUGGGCAAUAAUUCUGAAGAUUUCGAAGACAUGUGAUCUUUUUCUUAUCAAGAAGGAAUCUGCUUUAGUUAGUGAAUGAAUAAUGGAGCUGCCAGCUAGUGGAAGACUAUUAAAAUGCCAGCUAAUGGCAGAAUAAUGGAGCUGUCUUUUACUGUUUUUAAGUUGCAUUUCAAUUCCAAUUUGAGUUCCGCUGCCUAUAUAAGGAACCUUAAGUCUUAGUGUAGAGAGAUCAAAAAAUUGAGCAGAAUCAUUUUCUCUCAAAAAGUAAGAAAGUCUUAGCAAUGUGUUCUUUCUAGUUCGAGUGAGUGUGAAGUGUGGUGUGCAGUGUGCCUUUUAUUCCAAGUAAGUGUUUGUAAUCCUAAGUUAUGAGUAACUAAAAAGUGAGGCUCUGGGUUUCAAUCUGUAUUUAUGCUUGGAUAAAUAAAUUCUACUUGGUGCCCAAUAUCCCGUCGCAAAAAUAUUUUUUAUUAUUCUGUUAUAUUUCUGCAUUUUCCCUGUUAAGUUAAUAUUAUCUCUGCAUUUUAAUUAAAACCAUUUCUAUUUAGACAGCAGUGAUUCCGCCAUAUUUAGUAACCAGGUCGACCAUAGGUCUUUAGGUGAAUUUUUGGCAUGUUGAAUGCUAGUUCUUUCUAGGAGUGUUUUUAGUUAUUUACAAGUAAUAGUAACCUUGUAGUAAAAAAACCUGUUGUACAAAUUUCUAUUAGGUCAUCUUUUGCCACUUGUUAUACAUAUAUUAUAAAAUAAUAGAAAAGCAGUCUGCAUCCCAUGCAGCGCUGCACUAUAAACAUACCCAUUUAUAUAAAGUAAACCAUGCUGUCAUGAGACAAUGGAUUAGCUUCAGUGACGGAGGAUAGUUAUAGGGUCUCUGGGCUACAGCCCAGAUAGUUUUAAUUGAUUUUAAUAGUUAGGCUUAUAACUCAGCUGAUGAACAUGUAAAAAAUAUAAAUGUUAUGCUUUGUAGCCCACCCAAUUCCCAUAAAUUGUAUUUAGCUACAUAACUAAUUAACCAGAAAAAUGAAAAAUAAAAUAAAAUCUAGUGGAAUUCAUAAUAGUUUAUAGUUUUGAAUUAGGUAAUUUUCUUUUUCUUGUUACACUUCUCAUUACAAACCUUUUUUUCUUUCCUUUUUUUCAUGUAUGAAGGAUAUAAAUUCACUAUUUAAUCUACUUUUAUUUAUUAUCAUAUUUUUAUCAUAUAAAAGAAAAUUUUAACCCAGCCUAAAUUGAAAUCUUGGCUCCGUCCCUGAUUAGCUUAUUAGCGCUUCUAACUUAGUAAAGUACGAAAUGAAUGAAUAAGAGACGAUGUCUAACUUUGCGACCUGGUUUAUAAAAUUAGUGAUCUCAUUGAUAUGACCUGUUCAAACUAAACAUACCAUUCCCCACCAAGGCCCCAAGACACCCAAUGCAGGACAAAGAAAAGCGUCUACAAUUAUCUAAUCUUUUAUAAACCAUGCGUUGCCAGAUGAUGAUUGAACCAGACCAAAGAUAACAACACAAAAUACUACUUAUUAUGAAUUGUUGAAAGACAAGAGGAGAAAAAAAUGCAGUCACCUUGCCUGAAAGAGGUCACAGAAGUAUGCAUCAGCGGCUGCUGCUCCUCCUGCUCCUCCCCCUUAUUCAAGUCUACAGCGUCUCACCACACCACCUCAAAGUCUGAAAGAACUUCUUCGGCUUGCCAUCGUGACUUUGCAGCCAAAACUUCAUCAUUUAUCUUCCCAAACACCCAGUUCACCAACCAUGAGUCUAUUCCAUCCUUGCAGAAGUCCUUCUCUGACUUCACCAAGGCUUAUCCCAGAUACUAUGAGACAGCAGAAGUGGACCAAAUACGAGCUCAGGAGUACUACCAUCUCUCACAAUCCAAUCACACCUGCCUUGAUUAUAUAGGCAUCGGUCUAUUCUCCUCUUUCCAGCUGCACAAACAGGAAUCAUCAAAACAAAUGGUACCCUCUUCAUCCACUUCUCUAUUGCCAUCACCUCCAAAAAAUUCAGAUUACCCUUUCUUUAGUAUAUCCUACAAGACUGGGAAUCUCAAGAUGGAGCUUCUUCAUGGCGGCCAUGAAUCAGAGCUGGAAUCUGCAAUGAGAAGAAGAAUCAUGAGUUUUCUUAACAUUUCAGAAAACGAUUACAGCAUGGUUUUCACUGCCAACAGAACUUCAGCUUUCAAACUUGUUGCAGAAUCUUACCCGUACAAAACUAGUAGAAAGCUUCUGUCAGUUUAUGACUAUGAGAGUGAGGCAGUGGAAUCAAUGAUUAACAGCUCGGAAAAGAGAGGCGCCCAAGUCAUGUCAGCUGAGUUUUCAUGGCCAAGGCUGAGGAUUCAGUCGGAAAAAUUGAGGAAGAUGAUAGGAAGUAAGAAGAAGAAAAAGAAAAGAGGGCUUUUUGUCUUCCCAGUACAUUCCAGAGUUACAGGUUCUAGAUAUCCUUACAUAUGGAUGACUAUAGCACAGGAGAAUGGGUGGCAUGUCUUAGUUGAUGUUUGUGCCUUAGGACCAAAGGAUAUGGACAGCUUUGGCCUCUCUCUUUUUCAACCAGAUUUCCUCAUUUCUUCUUUCUACAAGGUGUAUGGGGAAAACCCAUCUGGCUUUGCAUGCCUCUUUGUCAAGAAAUCUGCUAUUGCGGUCCUGGAAGCAUCUAUGAGUACAGGAAUUGUAAACCUUGUCCCAGCACAUGAAUUUCUUCAAACAGGAGGGGAGUCCUCUGGUACCGACAUAGAAGUUGAAGAGAUAUCUAAAUUUCGUUUGCAACAAGAUAUAUUGGAUAUAUCACGUUCUUUCUCUGGUCUGAUAACAAAACACAGUCGGCAGGGAACACCUGCGAAGAGAUUAGAACAAGGAGAACUCUCUGACAGUGCAGAAGAAGGUGCAUACUCAGAAGAACUGGAAAUUUCAGGAGAAUCCGAAAGGCUUGCCAAGAGUAGCAAAAAUGGGAAUCAAGAGGUUGUAUGCAGGAGCUUGGAUCAAGUGGAUUCGCUGGGGCUAACACUGAUCACUAACAGGGCAAGGUACCUGAUCAAUUGGUUGGUAAGUUCAUUGAGAAAGCUUAAGCAUCCUAACUCAGAGGGAGUUCCUUUGGUCAAAAUAUACGGACCAAAGAUCAAAUAUGACAGGGGACCAGCUCUUGCAUUCAAUAUAUUUGACUGGAAGGGAGAAAAAUUUGAGCCUGUUCUUGUCCAGAAACUUGCCGAUAGAAACAACAUUUCUCUUAGCUACGGAUUCUUACACCAUAUCUGGUUCUCAGAUAAGUAUGCUGAAGAGAAAGGAAGAGUCCUAGAGAGAAGAGAUAAUGGAGCAAAGGAAAUGGCUGCAAACAAGUUAAAGACAAAAUCUGGUCCAGGAAUAAGUGUGGUUACAGCUGCACUUGGGUUCCUAACAAAUUUUGAAGACACAUACAGGCUUUGGGCUUUUGUUGCACAGUUCCUAGACGCAGAUUUUGUGGAGAAGGAGAGAUGGAGAUAUACAGCUCUUAAUCAGAAAACAAUCGAAGUAUAAACCAUAUAUGUUUAUUCUAUUUGAUAGAAAACUAUACAUUUUUUGCACACAUGUUCUGUACAUUUAGGAUUUAAAAUCAAAGGAAAACAGAUGUACCGCCAUUCAUUAUUUCAAAGAAAUCUCAAACAGUUCAUGAUGUUUGCUGUGUAGUCAUAUAUUGUGUUAGCUAAAUGUCAUUUUUGCACAAAUUUAUGUUAACGACUUCUUUUCAUAUUCUCAAAUAGAGGGGGAAAACAAAGUGUCUUUUUUUUUUUUGUAACAGGGGCAAAACAAAGUGUCCAGAGAGAGGAGAUUCACUUGAUGCUCAGAAAAACUCGCUUUGUUCUAAAGGGAGUAUUCUGAGUUAGAGCCAUCCAAGUGAUCGAACACCCCAAUCCCAAUAUAUGACAGUUGAUGAAAAANNNNNNNNNNNNNNNNNNNNNNNNNNNNNNNNNNNNNNNNNNNNNNNNNNNNNNNNNNNNNNNNNNNNNNNNNNNNNNNNNNNNNNNNNNNNNNNNNNNNNNNNNNNNNNNNNNNNNNNNNNNNNNNNNNNNNNNNNNNNNNNNNNNNNNNNNNNNNNNNNNNNNNNNNNNNNNNNNNNNNNNNNNNNNNNNNNNNNNNNNNNNNNNNNNNNNNNNNNNNNNNNNNNNNNNNNNNNNNNNNNNNNNNNNNNNNNNNNNNNNNNNNNNNNNNNNNNNNNNNNNNNNNNNNNNNNNNNNNNNNNNNNNNNNNNNNNNNNNNNNNNNNNNNNNNNNNNNNNNNNNNNNNNNNNNNNNNNNNNNNNNNNNNNNNNNNNNNNNNNNNNNNNNNNNNNNNNNNNNNNNNNNNNNNNNNNNNNNNNNNNNNNNNNNNNNNNNNNNNNNNNNNNNNNNNNNNNNNNNNNNNNNNNNNNNNNNNNNNNNNNNNNNNNNNNNNNNNNNNNNNNNNNNNNNNNNNNNNNNNNNNNNNNNNNNNNNNNNNNNNNNNNNNNNNNNNNNNNNNNNNNNNNNNNNNNNNNNNNNNNNNNNNNNNNNNNNNNNNNNNNNNNNNNNNNNNNNNNNNNNNNNNNNNNNNNNNNNNNNNNNNNNNNNNNNNNNNNNNNNNNNNNNNNNNNNNNNNNNNNNNNNNNNNNNNNNNNNNNNNNNNNNNNNNNNNNNNNNNNNNNNNNNNNNNNNNNNNNNNNNNNNNNNNNNNNNNNNNNNNNNNNNNNNNNNNNNNNNNNNNNNNNNNNNNNNNNNNNNNNNNNNNNNNNNNNNNNNNNNNNNNNNNNNNNNNNNNNNNNNNNNNNNNNNNNNNNNNNNNNNNNNNNNNNNNNNNNNNNNNNNNNNNNNNNNNNNNNNNNNNNNNNNNNNNNNNNNNNNNNNNNNNNNNNNNNNNNNNNNNNNNNNNNNNNNNNNNNNNNNNNNNNNNNNNNNNNNNNNNNNNNNNNNNNNNNNNNNNNNNNNNNNNNNNNNNNNNNNNNNNNNNNNNNNNNNNNNNNNNNNNNNNNNNNNNNNNNNNNNNNNNNNNNNNNNNNNNNNNNNNNNNNNNNNNNNNNNNNNNNNNNNNNNNNNNNNNNNNNNNUUUUCAUGAGAAAUGUCUACCAUUUGGAUGAGCAAAAAUCACAAAAAAGUAGACUUUCUGACAAAAUUGUUCUUGAGAUUGAAUCAAUAAUUGAAAGUGAAAGUUGCAAAGUUUACAUUUAAUAUAAAACACAACUACUAUUUUCAUGAGAAAUGUCUACCAUUUAGAUAAGAAAAAUCACAUAAAUGUAGACUAUCUGGAAAUAAAAAUGGUUCUUAAGAUUAAAUCAAUUAUUGAAGGUGAAAGUUGCAAAGUCUACAUUUAACAUAAGACACAACUACUCUUUUCAAGAGAAAUGUCUACCAUUUAGAUGAGCAAAAUCACAAAAAAGUAGACUUUCUAGAAAUCAAAAUUGUUCUUGAGAUUGAAUCAANNNNNNNNNNNNNNNNNNNNNNNNNNNNNNNNNNNNNNNNNNNNNNNNNNNNNNNNNNNNNNNNNNNNNNNNNNNNNNNNNNNNNNNNNNNNNNNNNNNNNNNNNNNNNNNNNNNNNNNNNNNNNNNNNNNNNNNNNNNNNNNNNNNNNNNNNNNNNNNNNNNNNNNNNNNNNNNNNNNNNNNNNNNNNNNNNNNNNNNNNNNNNNNNNNNNNNNNNNNNNNNNNNNNNNNNNNNNNNNNNNNNNNNNNNNNNNNNNNNNNNNNNNNNNNNNNNNNNNNNNNNNNNNNNNNNNNNNNNNNNNNNNNNNNNNNNNNNNNNNNNNNNNNNNNNNNNNNNNNNNNNNNNNNNNNNNNNNNNNNNNNNNNNNNNNNNNNNNNNNNNNNNNNNNNNNNNNNNNNNNNNNNNNNNNNNNNNNNNNNNNNNNNNNNNNNNNNNNNNNNNNNNNNNNNNNNNNNNNNNNNNNNNNNNNNNNNNNNNNNNNNNNNNNNNNNNNNNNNNNNNNNNNNNNNNNNNNNNNNNNNNNNNNNNNNNNNNNNAUCACAUCAGACGGUCAAUUUUUAUUUUGUGAUUUUUAGUCAUCGAAAUCAUAACGUGCCUACUAAUGUAGUAUAACUUGUUUAGUAGGUUAUAUGCUAGUGUACAACUUUGUGAACCAACUAUAUACAUGAAGCAAAAUUUUCAAAAAUCUCGUGAAAUAGGAUGUGAUCGGUAUAGUAAAAUACGGCUACGGUAGGAAAAUCACUUUAAUUUGCCAAUGUUUGGGCCCCGAUCGAAGCGGUCAACCUUAUUUACGCUUAUGCUUCAAUAAGGAGAGCCCUAUCCUCAGGUGGUAAACGUCCCCAAAGUUUUACAUGGGUGGUUAUGUCUCAUCUAUGUGAGACUUUAUUGUGUUGAAGAAUCGACCAAACUAGGUCAUAAAGAGGUAUGUAAGAUAGUUUUUGUGUAAUAAAUAAAGAUGAAUUAGGGUUGACCACUUUGAUCGAGCCCCGAACAUUGUUGAAUCCAGUUGAAUUUUAUACCAUAACCUUGUUUCACUAUAAUGAUCAUAUCAGACGGUCAAUUUUCAUUUUGUGAAUUUUCAUUGAUUCAAUCUCAAGAACAAUUUUGGUUUCCAGACUGUCUACUAUUUUGUAAUUUUACUCAUCUAAAUGGUAGAUAUUUCUCAUGAAAAUAGUAGUUGUGUCUUAUGUUAAAUGUAGACUUUGCAACUUUUGCCUUUAAUGGGUUUAAUAUCAAGAACUAUUUUGAUUUCCAAAAAGUCUACUUUUUUGUGAUUUUGCUUAUCUAAAUGUUGGACAUUUCUCAUGAAAAUAGUAGUUGUGUCUUAUAUUAAAUAUAAACUUUGCAACUUUCCCCUUCAAGUAUUGAUUCAAUCUCAAGAACAAUUUUGAUUUCCAGAAAAUCUACUAUUUUGUGAUUUUGCUUAUCUAAAUGGUAGACAUUUUUAGUAAUUGUGUCUUAUGUUAAAUGUAGACUUGCAAAUUUUACAUUUGGUUGGUUCAAUCUUAAGAACUAUUUUUAUUUCUAGAAAGUCUACAUUUAUGUGAUUUUUCUCAUCUAAAUGAUAGAUAUUUCUCAUAAAAAUAGUAGUUGUGUCUUAUGUUAAUUGUAGACUUUGCAACUUUCACCUUCCAUUAUUGAUUCAAUCUCAAGAACAAUUUUGAUUUCCAGAAAGUCUAAUUUUUUGUGAUUUUGCUCAUCCAAAUGGUAGACAUUUCUCAUGAAAAUAAUAGUUGUGUUUUAUGUUAAAUGUAGACUUUGCAACUUUCAUCUUCAAUUAUUAAUUCAAUCUUUAGAACAAUUUUGAUUUCCAGAAAGUCUACUUUUCUUUGAUUUCGCUUAUGUUAAUGGUAGACACUUCUAAUGAAAAUCGUAGAUGUGUGUUAUGUUAAAUGUAGACUUUCCAUCUUUCAUCUUGGGUAGAUUCAAUUUCAAGAACAAUUUUGAUUUCCAGAAAGUCUACUUUCUUUGAUUUCUCUUAUGUUAACAGUAGACAUUUCUAAUAAAAAAGUAGAUAUGUGUUAUGUUAAAUGUAGACAUUGCAUCUUUUACCUUGGGUUGAUACAGUCUCAAGAACAAUUUUGAUUUCCAGAAAAUCUAUGUUUCUUUGAUUUCUCUUAUGUUAAUGGUAGAUAUUUAUUAUGAAAAGAGUAGAUGUGUCUUAUGUUAAAUGUAGACUUUGCAAUUUUGCCUUCGGUUGAUUCAAUCUCAAGAAUAAUUUUGAUUUCUAGAAAAUCUACUUUUCUUUGAUUUCUCUUAUGUUAACGGUAGACAUUUCUUAUGAAAAUAGUAGACGUGUCUUAUGUUAAAUGUCGACUUUGCAUCUUUUACCUUGGGGUUGAUUCAAUUUUAAGAACAAUUUUGAUUUCUAAAAAGUCUACUUUGAUUUGAUUUGGCUUAUAUUAACGGUAGACAUUUCUAAUGAAAAUAGUAGACGUGUCUUAUGUUAAAUGUAGACUUUGCAUUUUUUACCUUGGGGUUGAUUCAAUCUUUAGAAUAAUUUUGAUUUUCAAAAAGUCUACUUUGCUUCGAUUUGGCUUAUGUUAAUGGUAGAUAUUUCUAAUGAAAAUAGUAGAUGUGUAUUAUGUUAAAUGUAGACUUUGCAACUUUUACCUUCGGUUGAUUCAAUCUCAAGAACAAUUUGAUUUUGCUUAUGUUAAUUGUUGAUAUUUCUAAUGAAAAUAGUAUAUAUGUCUUAUGUUAAAUGUAGACUUUGCAUCUUUUACCUUGGGUUGAUUCAGUCUCAAGAACAAUUUUGAUUUCCAGCUUAUCUCUACUUUUCUUUGAUUUCUCUUAUGUUACUAGUAGACAUUUCUUAUGAAAAAAGUAGUUGUGUCUUAUGUUAAAUGUAGACUUUGCAUCUUUUACCUUGGGUUGCUUCAAUCUCAAGAACAAUUUUGAUUUCCAGAAAGUCUAUUUUUCUUUCAUUUCGCUUAUGUUAAUGGUAAAGAUUCUAAUGAAAAUAGUAGAUGUGUCUUAUGUUAAAUGUUGACUUAGAAAUUUUAGCUUCGGUUUGUUCAACCUCAUUCACAAUUUUGAUUUCUAGAAAGUCUACUUUUCUUUGAUUUCGCUUAUGUUAAUGGUAGAGAUUUAUAAUGUCAGGACCCACCCCGAAUUUCACCUUGAAACCCAAGGUAAAUCCUGCGGGGUCUACCUUCAAGGAAAAUUUACCGAAAAUUCGGCAUAACCAUCCUUGAAAAUGGACAACCUUUUCCUGAAAAAUCCAACUUAACACUUCUAUAAUCAAACAUUCAUCCUCAUCUCCUGGAGCCUUCCUGCUCCCCAAGUUCAUCAAAACUCCCAAUAAUAAUUUCUCAUCUAAUAAAAUUCCACAACCAACAACAAAGACAUUUAAUAAGCUACUACUGGACUUUCAGAGCAUAUCUAAUGAUGAAUGAAAACAAUGAAAACGAAUAAGCGGAAGCAGCCUCUGACUAUGCCUCGACUCCAUGUACGCUCGUCCUCAAAUAACUUAGCCUGCAAACUGGGCAUUUAUAAACCAAAGGGCCCAGGGGAAAGUAAUUUAAAAACGUUAGAGUGAGUAGAAGAAAAUAAAUUCAAUAACUUAACAAUUAUAAAACUUAUAUACUUUCCCACUUUUCAACUUUUAAAACUUAACAGCAUGCAACUUAAACGUCCUUAAAACUUUAAAUCUAAAAUCACUUAAUAAAGGACAAACCAGCCCCGCUGGUUAAUCAAAUAUAUUAUUGAGAAGAAUAAAAUAGGGGAAGAGUUAUCACCAUGAAAAAGGAGCCUCCUAGGCUCAGGUUGAUGCCUCCCAGGCUAUAAUAGCGUCCUACGCUAAGCGCUCAACUCACAUAUGAUGAGGACCACUAUAUAAGGCUAUAAUAGCGUCCCACGCUAAGUGCUCAACUCACAUAUGAUGAGGACCGCAAAUAAGGGUAGCUAACUAAUAAAUAUAAAUACCGAUCGGUUGCCUCCCAGAUUAUAAUAGCGUCCCACGCUAAGCGCUCUACUCACAUAUGAAGAAGACCGCUAAUAAGGCUAUAAUAGCGACUCACAUAUGAUGAAGACCGCCAAUAAGGUUAGCUAGCAAUAAUCAAGAUAAACGACCCAAUAAUAUGGUGACUAAAACAUACGAAGUCACUUAAAUCCAUUAAACUUCCCCCAAGACCAAACGAAUGGUACGGUUCCCAACCGUACAUGAAAAUCAUCAGAAGAAAUCAGAACACAACUCAAUGACGUGUCUCACACGUCAAAAUAUUCUUCAAUUUAUAAAUAUAAGCGAGAUUUCAAUAACAAAUAUGAAUCAUAAAUAAUAGUAUCUUCGCUCGAAAAUACUCGCUAAAAUAUUCUCCAAGUCAAAAUCAUUAUGCCUCAAAUGAACAAUUAAAUUAUGAGAACAACUACCGACAAUCCCAUUUUCGGUAAUCAUUUAUAAAACUCAAAGUCAAGAUCGAUAUUCCACCAAUAAUUUCGAGAAUUAAAAAUAGGAAACUACCGAAAAUCCAAUUUUCGGAAAUCUUAUAUAAAUCUCAAAAUCCACCAUUAAAACCAUUUAAUGAAAUCCGGAAUUUAUAAAAAUAUCCAAACUCAAAUAUCAAAAUAAUAAUCCGCGCUCAACUCCAUAAAUCAUGACCAACACUUAAUAAAUGCACCAAACUCAAAUAAUUUUCAAGCUCAUCUCAUGAACUGAAAAAUUAUAUUAUAUGCUCGGAAAAUAAAAUGAUAGAUUAUAAAAUCUUGCAUGCAUAUUUAUUUUUAAAACCAAAAUGUCCACUCACAAAUUUAGGCAUGAGCCCGACGAUAACCGCAUCGCCACUCAAGCGAGGUUCCCUUCGCAUCUUGGCACAACAACCAUGCUUAUAACCAAACUUCAAUUCCAGAAAAUAAAUACGUGAAUUAAAAUAUUUAACUCUCCUCCGUUUAACCCUCUACUCUUAAUAGGGUUAAACUCGCCGGAUUCACACCAAACUCCACCACAACCUUAAUUCAUCAAUUCUAAUAUUCUAUAAUAAAUACCAAGGAAAUCCAACGGUCGGAUUUUCAUUCUAAUAACCGGCAUUUUCUCCAAUCUCUGAAAAAUUUCAAACCUAACCAAAAACUCAUCCAAAAAUUNNNNNNNNNNNNNNNNNNNNNNNNNNNNNNNNNNNNNNNNNNNNNNNNNNNNNNNNNNNNNNNNNNNNNNNNNNNNNNNNNNNNNNNNNNNNNNNNNNNNNNNNNNNNNNNNNNNNNNNNNNNNNNNNNNNNNNNNNNNNNNNNNNNNNNNNNNNNNNNNNNNNNNNNNNCUUGACCCGGUCCAAACUUAAAACACCCACAAAAUAAAGCCUACAAGAAUUUACCUUUUUUACCAAUAUAGUCAUUUUCGUUUUUAGACCAUAACUUCUUCAUACGAACUCCGUUUUAAGCGUGCCGCGUGUCCACAAACUCUGUUUAACGUCCUCUACAACUUUCAUGAAGAAAGUUUUCCCAAAUUCCAAACGGAAGAAAAAGUCAACUUUAGGAUCCUUAAGUAGUAAACGGUUACUCAACACGGAAAAAGACCAAAAUAACACCAAAGUAAAUAGCCGUAAAAUAACUUAAAAACCGGGGUGUGACAUAUAAUGAAAAUAGUAGAUGUGUCUUAUGUUAAAUGUAGAGUUACAAAUUUUACCUUGGGUUGAUUCAAUCUCAAGAACAAUUUUGAUUUCUAGAAAGUCUACUUUUCUAAUGAAAAUAGUAGAUGUGUCUUAUGUUAAAUGUGACUUUCGACUUGUAACAUUUUCUGUGAUAUUUUUCGUAACAGUAGUAGAUGUUUCUUAUGAUAGUUGUAGACAGUCUCAAGAAUCAUUUUGAUUUCCAGAAAGUCUACUUUUGUGUGAUUUUGCUCAUCUGAAUGGUAGAUAUUUCUAAUGAAAACUGUAGAUAUAGAGAGACUUAACGGAGAGUUAACGGUGUUAGUUUGCUUUAACCUGUUAUAACAAGUCAAAACUGGUUGGGUAUCCAUACCUUAAGGCACACAAGUGGCACCCAACAAACAAUUUGAAUUAUGUUCUAGGAUAUUCUGUAUCUUUCUAGAUAUUCUUUAUGUGUGCCUUGGCCUUAUGCCAAUAGGAUAUGUAGUUUGACUAGAUCUAUGUAUUCUUAUCCUUACCAUAUUGGUAUUGUGUAAUUCCUUAUAUAAAGCCUCUUAUCAAUGAAUAAUACACACAUCUUUCACGAUUCUCUAUUCUGAAAUAUCUCUCACUUCAUUAUGUUAUCAUGCACAUUGUUCUAACCCUAGAGCCAAUAGGCCACAAUUUGUUUUCUAAACCCUAAAAACAAUUUUUUUUUCUUUUCAAACCAAAAGUUCCCGGCCCUGCCUCGGUCCCUACACUGUCGUUGCUCCCAACCCGUCGCUUCCCAGCCGUCAGCUCCGCCUUCUUUUCUGGUUUCGCCGAUCAAGCUUUAGAUCAAGAAAUCCGAGUAGUUUGAAGAAAUUUUACGGUAUGUUUUAAAUCCUAAACUCUUCAAAGUUCAAUAAGGGGAGAUAAAGUGUUUUCUCCCUUUCUCCAUCUCCAUUCUAUGGUUGGGAUUUUGUGCGUGCAGGUACCAAAACCCCAGAAUUUUAUUCGCGGGUCAAGAGUAUGUUUGAUCACUCUUGCUUCCUUGUUCGGGUUCUAUAUGAUCAACCUCGACCUUUCUCCGGAUUGUGUUUGAUCAAUCCGAGCCCUUUGUCGAAUUGUGUUUGAUCAAUUAGCGGCUUUUCCGUAUUAUGUAUGAUCAAUCCGAAGGACAAACCAUUAAAAGCAUUGUUUGUGACCUCUAUCGAGUCUCAUAACAGCUUGGUUUUGUAUGCAAGAGCAACGUAACAUUCUGCUCCUUUAAGUUUUGACGUACUCGAUACCUAAGGCGAAUCUUUGCUUGGUAGCUGUGGAACCUUUCAUUGGAAAAGAUUAAACCACAUGUUUGACCCCCAGGCUAACAAGCCUAGAUGCCGAGAUUUCACAUCUCAUGCGCUCAAACUCUUUGACACGCCACAUCGACAAAAGCCUUCAAUGGCAAUCUGUACAAAAAGUAAUGACCACAAAGUACUGUGGAAUUGACACGACCCACCUCGAAUUUCACCCUGAAACCCGGAGUAAGUGGUGCGGGGACCACCUCCAAGAAAGAUAUUACCGAAAAAUCGGCAUAACCUCCCUUGAAAAUGGACAACCCUUCUUAAAGAAAACCUGCAAACACUUCCAAAAAUUUUAAUCCAACCUUAACUCCUGGAGCCUACGUGCUCCCCAAAUACAACUACCACCAACAACACAACAUUAUCCAAACAUCAAAUAUAAUUAUCCAAAAGAUAACAUAAAUCCUCCAACAAAUAUUCUAAGACGUCAACAAGUCUUCACCCACAACCGAAAUAAUACACAUUAAACCCAAGUAUUCAGAGCUACUAACACUAGCGGAAAAAGAAACCACAGGUAGGUUAAAUAGGUAACCUACUGAUGAAAAGUGGUGGAAAUGCGGGUGACUAUGCCUCGUCUCCUACUAGGUCCAACCCGAACUCUGCAGACUGGGCAUUUUAAAACGAAGGGCCUAGGGGAAACAUUUGAACACGUUAGAGUGAGUGGACAAAAAUAAAAUAAAUGAAAUAAUUCUUUAUGCUUUCCCAAUUUUAUUUUUCCAUAGAAAAAUAUGCUGCAUGCGACAGCUCAAAACACUCAACACGAAAACUGGAAAUUUCAUGACUAGCUCCGGCCAGUCUCUAACGCUCAAUAAAAUACAGCCUCUCAGGCUAAAAUAAAAUAUGUAUGUAUUACACUCGUCAUAUCCCUUGUAUGAAUUUUCUUGAAACAACAAAAACAAAUAGAAAAUUCACACAAGGCUACGACGCUUGCGUCUAACGCUCACGUCGCACCAUAAUGGCAUUUUACCUCAUUAUGGUGGAAAGACGGUGUAUAAAUAUACGCGCAUAUCCCCUAUAUAAAUUAUUAUUUUUAUAUAGGGCUACGAUGAUUGCGUCUAACGCUCACGUCGCACCAAAAUGGAAUUUUACCUCAGUAUGGUGGAAAAGCACGUAUAGCUAGCUAGCAUUCUCUCAUAUACAUAUUAUUCUCAUAAUCAUCCACAUAUGGAUAUAUAUAUAUAUAUAUACUCACCGAAAUUUUCAAUUUCGGUUAUUCUCCAACAACAUAAAUUAUUUCGCAUGCACAUUAUUUAAAACAAAAGUCCACUCACAAAUUAGGCCUAAGCCUGAUGUCGAUCUGGGGCCUCGUCAGCUCGAGCCUCCUCACGACCUGUUCCAAAUAUAAUAUUAAGUUCCCAAUUAACAAUCCAAUAAUUAAUCAAAAUAGGCAAAAUUACCCGAGAGCCAUAAACACGCUCAUCAUUACCUAACUUCGAUAUUCUUGAAUCGGAACGAUCCGAACUUAAAUAUCAUCCUCGACAGUCGUAAAUAUAACCUCCCAAAAAUACGACUUAAAUCUUACGGCCGGAUUCUACAUUAAUUAACCGCCAAAAAUACCAAACUUCGGAAAUUCACAAACCUAUCCAAAUCUCAUCCAAAAAUUCCAUAAAUCACCUCAAUAUAAUCCCCUUAAUAUUCCACAUUUAAAACCCUAAAAAUCUCCCAAACCGGCAGCGGCUCCGCAGGCAGCGGCGGUCGGAGGCUAAAAUCAGCGACCUCCAAUUCCUAUGAAAUUUUAACAGCAUCUUACUCUCAUCAUGCUCUACAACUUUCCUAACUAGCACAAACCCAAAAUCCAAGCCUAGCUAUGCCAAUCGAACAAAAACAUCAAAAACGCCCUAGAGCUUCCACCUCAAAUUUCUCCUUACCUGAAGCAAACCGGAGUGAGUCCUUUUAGGGCAAGGCAGCUGGGUUGGAGACCUACAAAACCAUACCAAGCUUGCCCGGAUUGGUGGCCCGAGGAGGGAAUUCCGGCGAAAAGCUUCCCGGCGUCUCCGGCGAGUUUUCUCUUCUUCCAGCGGGCUAACGGCUCGGGGGCUAGGUCGGGGAGGGAGAGGAGGAGAUCGGGGUCCGAACUGGGGUGGAGCGGCGGCCGGUGGCUGGCCGGACGGCGGCAGACGGCGGCUGGACGAUCCGGCGGGGAGGAAGACUCGGGGGGGGGGCGCUGAAGGGAAAAACGGGAGAGAAGGGAGGGAAAAGGGUUGGGCCUCUCCAACCGGUCCACUCCCCAUUAUACCCAACUCCCACAAAAAUAAAACACCCCGAAAAAUAAUACCCGAAUAAAAAUUACCUUUUACUAGCUAAAAUUUACUAUUUUUACCGUCGUCGUAUUUUCCUCAUACGAAUAAUCCUCCGCACAUAAUCGUCCCCGAAACCCCUCUAGGGACCAAUUAAACUAUUAACUAAAUGAUCGAGACGGUAAAAUUCUUAUUAUAAUCAUGCUAGUAAAUAAGGUAAAAAUAUAAGGGUCGGGAUGUGACAGGAAUGUACUCUACUUGUUGACACGACCCACCCCGAAUUUCACCCUGAAACCCGGAGUAAGUCGUGCGGGGACCACCUCUAAGGAAAAUUUACUGAAAAGAUUAAGAAAAUCUCCCUUGCAGAUGGACAACCCUAACUCGAAAAUUCCAAAUUACACUCUUAAUUCAACACGUCCAAACAUCACAUAAUUAUCCUUCAGAAAUUCUACGCAUAAUAUACAAUAAUCCCAAAGUAUUCAGAGCUACUAAACACUAGCGGAAGCAAGAAAACACGAGUAGGUUGAACAGGUAACCUACUGACGAAAACUGGCAGAAAUGCGGGUGACUAUGCCUCGCCUCCUACUAGAUCCAACCCGAACUCUGCAGACUGGGCAAUUUAAAACGAAGGGCCCAGGGGAAAACAUUUAAUAACGUUAGAGUGAGUGGACAAAAAUAAAAUAAUAAAUAAAAUAUUUAUGUUUCCCCAAAUUAAUUUCUAAGGAAAAAUCGAAUGCAUGCCGCAAGCGAUAAAACUUUUAUCUCAUAAAAUAUUGAGCCUCUCAGACUCUAUAAUAUAUGUAUGUAUUUACACUCGUCCAUACUCCCUAUAUAAAUUCAUGGGUCUAUAUAGGGCUACUACGCUCGCGUCCAACGCUCACGUCACGCCUUAAUGCGGUGCUACACUACGCCAUCAAGGUGGACAGACGGGUGUAUAAAUAUGUGUCCAUACCCCUAUAUGAAUUAAACACACAAAUAGGGCUACUACGCUCACGUCCAACGCUCACGUCACACCAUAAUGCGGCUAUAUGCUACGCCAUUAAGGUGGACAGACACAUAUGGCUAGCUAACAUUUAUAUACAUACUCUCUCAUAAAUACAUAUUUAUAUCCACCGAAAAUCCCAUUUUCGGUAACUCUCCAAGAGAAAUAAAAAUCGUCAAAUUAAAAUGACAUUAAAAUAUUCUGCAACAUUAAUUGUUCAACCAUGAACUAUAGCAUGCAUUUAUAUAAAAUAAAUGUCCACUCACAAAUUAGGCCUAAGCCUGAUGUCGAUCUGGGGCCUCGUCUGCUCGAGCCUCCUCACGUCCUGUUCCAAAUAUAAUAUUAAUUUCCCAACCAAUAAUCCAAUAUUUAAUCAAAAUAGGCAAAAUUACCCGAGAGCCAUAAAUACGCUCAUCAUUGCCUAACUUCAAUAUUCUUAAAUCGGAACGAUCCGAACUUAAAUAUCAUCCUCAACAGUCGUAAAUACAACCUCCCCAAAAUACGACUUAAAUCCUACGGCCGGAUUUUACAUUAAUUAACCGCCAAAAAUACUAAACUUCGGAAAUUCACAAACCUAUCCAAAUCUCCUCCAAAAAUUCCAUAAAUCACAUCAAUAUACUCCUCUUAAUAUUCCACACUUAAUACCCUAAAAAUCUCUUAACCGGCGGCGGCGCCGCCGGCGGCUCCGCCGGCAGCGGCGGCCGGAGUCCAAUUCCGGCCACCUCCAAAACCUAUGAAAUUUUGACAGAAUAAUCUCCUCAUCAUGCUCUACAACUUUCUUAACCAGUACAUUACCCAAUUCCAAGCCUAACUAGGCUAAUCGAACGAAAACAUCCUAAAAGCCCUAGAAAAUUCAACUCCACAUUUCUCCUUACCUAGCUCAAGAGGGAGUGAGCUGAUUGGAGGGGUUGCUGCACGGGAGGAGGGCUACAAAACGAGCCAGGGAUCGCCGGUUUUGGUGGCCAGAGGAGGGAGUUCCGACGGCCGGAAGUUCGGGGCAGCCUAGCCUUUCGGGCGGCACCGCUCUCUCACGGCGGCGCUAGGGGGGCUGUCACCGGUCCUGGAAGAUAGCUGGGUCGGAGGGCAACCGAACGGGACCGGAGCGGCGGCAGAUGGUGGCCGGACGGCGGCGUACGGACGGCGAGAAGUUUCCAGCGGGGGAGAGGCUCGGGAGGAAAACGGGAAGAAGAGAGGAAGAAAAAGAAAAAGUGAGGGUUGGGUUUGGGCCUGACCAACCAGGUCCAUCACCUAUAUAACAACCCAAUUCCAAAAAUAAAACACCCCGAAAAAUAACACCCGAAUAAAAAUUACCUUUUACUAGCUAAAAUUUACCAUUUUUACCGUCGUCGAAAUUUUCUUUUACGAAUAAUCCUCCGCACAUAAUCGUCCCCGAAACCCUUCUAGGGACCAAUUAAAUUAUUAACUCAAUGACGGAGACGGUAAAAUUCUUAUUAUAAUCAGGCUAGUAAAUAAGGUAAAAAUAUAAGGGUCGGGAUGUGACAAUUCUCCCCUCCUUAUAAAAAUUUCGUCCUCGAAAUUUACAUACCUGUCAUUCGAAGAGAUAGGGAUAUUGCUGCAUCAUUUGCUCCUCCGAUUCCAAAGUAGCUUCUUUUACUUGAUGACUUCUCCAAAGCACCUUGACAAGUGGGAUUGUCUUAUUCCUAAGCACUUGCUCCUUUCGGUCGAGAAUCUGAACCGGUUCCUCUUCAUAGGUCAAAUCUCUCAUCAAACUGAUCGGCUGCUCUUGCAGCACAUGAGAAGGAUCGGCAAUAUACUUGCAAAGCAUGGAUACAUGAAACACAUUAUGUAUCCUAGCUAACUCUGGAGGCAAAAGUAGCCGGUAAGCAAGUGAGCCAACUCGCUCAAUAAUCUCAUAAGGGCCAAUAUACCUCGGACUGAGCUUCCCACGCUUACCGAAACGCACAACCCCUUUCCAAGGAGAUAAUUUCAGGAACACCUAAUCACCCACUUGAAAUUCAAGAUCUCUCCUACGGACAUCCGCAUAACUCUUCUGCCUACUUUGAGCAGUCUUGAGUCUAUCUCUAACCACUUUAAUCUUCUCAUUCGUACAUNNNNNNNNNNNNNNNNNNNNNNNNNNNNNNNNNNNNNNNNNNNNNNNNNNNNNNNNNNNNNNNNNNNNNNNNNNNNNNNNNNNNNNNNNNNNNNNNNNNNNNNNNNNNNNNNNNNNNNNNNNNNNNNNNNNNNNNNNNNNNNNNNNNNNNNNNNNNNNNNNNNNNNNNNNNNNNNNNNNNNNNNNNNNNNNNNNNNNNNNNNNNNNNNNNNNNNNNNNNNNNNNNNNNNNNNNNNNNNNNNNNNNNNNNNNNNNNNNNNNNNNNNNNNNNNNNNNNNNNNNNNNNNNNNNNNNNNNNNNNNNNNNNNNNNNNNNNNNNNNNNNNNNNNNNNNNNNNNNNNNNNNNNNNNNNNNNNNNNNNNNNNNNNNNNNNNNNNNNNNNNNNNNNNNNNNNNNNNNNNNNNNNNNNNNNNNNNNNNNNNNNNNNNNNNNNNNNNNNNNNNNNNNNNNNNNNNNNNNNNNNNNNNNNNNNNNNNNNNNNNNNNNNNNNNNNNNNNNNNNNNNNNNNNNNNNNNNNNNNNNNNNNNNNNNNNNNNNNNNNNNNNNNNNNNNNNNNNNNNNNNNNNNNNNNNNNNNNNNNNNNNNNNNNNNNNNNNNNNNNNNNNNNNNNNNNNNNNNNNNNNNNNNNNNNNNNNNNNNNNNNNNNNNNNNNNNNNNNNNNNNNNNNNNNNNNNNNNNNNNNNNNNNNNNNNNNNNNNNNNNNNNUUUUAUCCCAACUCCCUCUGAACUGCAUGGCACAAGCCCUCAACAUAUCCUCCAAAGUCUGAAUAGUCCUCUCGGACUGCCCAUCAGUCUGAGGAUGAAAAGCAGUGCUGAAGAGUAAUUGGGUACCUAAAGCUGCCUGAAGAGCUCCCCAGAAUUUAGAAGCAAAUCGAGGAUCCCGAUCUGACACUAUUGAUUCAGGAACACCAUGAAGCCUCACAAUUUCAUUCACAUAAAGCUCCGCCAAUGUAUCCAAUUUAUACUUUUUCCCACUGGCAAGAAAUGUGCAGAUUUGGUGAGUCUAUCCACAAUCACCCAAAUACCGUCAUGCCCUUCACGGGUAUGAGGUAAACUAAAAACAAAAUCCAUGUUGAUGUGGUCCCACUUCCACACUGGAAUAGGCAACGGCUCAAGCAACCCAGAAGGCUUCUGCCUUUCAGCCUUGACUUGUUGAAAAAUCAGACAUCUACUCACAUAAGCUGCAAUUUCCCUCUUCAUGUUUGGCCACCAAUAAUAAUCCUUCAAAAUCCGAUACAUUUUUGUGCUACCCGGAUGAGCAGCAUAUGCAGAGCUAUGAGCUUCCUCCAUAAUCUCACUUCAACUCUUCAUUUCUUUUUGGAACACAUAGCCGGUUCUUAAACAAUAGAGUCCCAUCUCUUCUAACUGAAAAAAAGAUCGGCUGCGGCUCCAUUCGAAGCUCUUUCCAUCAAUCGAACUAUGGAAGGAUCAUUAUACUGUGCUUCCCGCACUCUAUCAACCAAAACUGGCCUCACAUGAAAACUGGCUAUCAAAGCACCUACCUCAUCCACUGAUAAAUCCACUCCUGUAGCUCGCAACUCACAAAGAAGCGGAACAUGAACCAUCUUUAUAUGAGAUAAAGAUAUGGAGGGAUUUCGAUUAAGAGCAUCAGCUACCACAUUAGUUUUUCCAAGAUGAUACUCAAUAGUGCAAUCAUAAUCAUUGAUUAACUCCAUCCACCUUCUUUGUCUCAUAUUAAGCUCUCUUUGAGUGAACACAUACCGAAGACUCUUGUGAUCGGUAAAUAUCUGACACUUGGCUCCAUAAAGAUAGUGUCUCCACAACUUGAGAGCAAAAACUACCGCUGCAAGCUCCAGAUCAUGAGUAGGAUAAUUCCCCUCAUGCGGCUUCAAUUGCCUAGAAGCGUAGGCAAUUACUCGAUCAUGCUGCAUCAAAACUCCACCUAGACCACGUCUAUAAGCAUCACAAAAAACCACAUACUCUCCACUAUCAUCCGGAAGUGCCAAAACAGGAGCACUUGUUAAGCAAUUCUUCAAUUCUUGGAAACUUUGCUCACAUUGAUCUGACCAUUCAAACUUAACCCCCUUCCUGGUCAAUCUUGUGAGAGGAGCAGCAAUAUAUGAAAAAUCUUUCACAAAGCGCCGAUAAUAACCUGCUAAUCCCAAAAAACUACGAAUCUCCGUCACAGUGGUGGGUCUUCUCCAAUUCGACACUGCUUCCACCUUUUGGGGAUCCACACUAACUCCUUCUGCGGAAAUCACAUGACCCAAGAAUCCCACUUUAUCUAGCCAAAACUCACACUUGCUAAACUUAGCAAAUAACUGCGACUUUUCCAAAGUCCGCAAUAUUAUUCUUAGAUGCUUGGCAUGCUCCUUCUCACUUCUUGAGUAAACCAAUAUGUCAUCUAUGAAUACGAUCACGAAACGAUUAAGGUAUGGACUAAACACCCUAUUCAUGAGAUCCGUGAACGCCGCGGGUGCAUUAAUAAGUCCAAAUGGCAUCACGACAAACUCAUAAUGACCAUAUCGUGACCGAAAAGCAGUCUUGGCUAUGUCCCCCUCUCGGAUCCGCAACUGAUGAUAACCCGAUCUCAAAUCAAUCUUAGAGAAAACAGAGGCACCCCUCAACUGAUCAAACAAAUCAUCGAUCCGAGGCAACGGAUAUAUAUUCUUCACUGUGACCUGAUUCAACUUCCUAUAAUCAAUGCAUAGUCUCAUGGUGCCCUCUUUCUUCUUAUCAAACAACACCGGAGCACCCCAUGGAGACAUGCUAGGCCGAAUAAAACCCUUAUCUACCAACUCCUGCAAUUGAGUCUUCAACUCUUUCAAUUCCGCUGGAGCCAUUCUGUAAGGCGCCUGAGAGAUAGGCAUAGUUCCGGGAAGUAAUUCUAUAGAGAAGUCUAUCUCCCUUGCAGGAGGCAAACCAGGCAACUCCUCAGGAAAAACAUUCGGAAACUCUCCUACUUCUGGAAUAUCUUCUAAUCCCACAACUCCCAUACUUGUAUCCACCACAUGAGCUAAAAAUGCCUGACAGCCUUUACUCAACAAUUUCCUUGCAGCAACAGCGGAAAUUAUGCAACUAGAAAUAACAUCUCUUUCCCCUUGGAAAGCAACCUCAAAACCAUCUCGACUUCGAAGCACCACUACUUUUUGAAAACAAUCUACCAUAGCUCUAUAUGCUUCCAAAAAGUCCAUUCCCAAGAUCACAUCAAACUCCACUAUAUCUAAAGGAAUUAAAUCAGCCUCGAAAUUAACUCCUUCCACUAAAACUUCACAGCCACUAAAUACCCAAUUUAUUCUCAUCACCUCACCGGAGGGUAGAGACACAUGCCACUCGCCUGGAAGAGACGAUGAUGGUACAUUGGCAUGGAGGGCAAAUCUACUAGACAUGAAUGAAUGCGUGGCUCCGGGAUCAAUUAAAGUAAAACCAGGCUGACCAAAAAUUAAUAACGUACCAAUGAUGACAUCUGGAGAAGUACGACCCUCCUGCUGGGUCAUAGCAUGCAGUCUAGCGUGAGUCAUGGGACGUCCACGCUGACCACUUCCCCGCUGAGAGCCACCUCUAACCGAAACACUGCCCUGGGCACCACUACUAGAGCCUCCAGCUGAAGACUGACCAACUGGCUGAGUAGGGGUGGGAGUGGUCCUCUGAGCCAACAAUGGGCAAUCUCUCCUGAAGUGGUCCUGACCACCACACUCAAAGCACCCAGAAAACUGCUGCUGCUACCCAUAUGAAAAAGUCUGGCUACCGGAUGACCCACCAUGGAAACUGCCACCCGAACCAUACUGCCCAGACUGCUGCCUACCCAACUUACUCCUAGUAGGUCUCCUGUGACGUCCUCUAACCCUGAACCGAGAAUUAGAACCUGAUCCCCCACUACUGCCACUACCAGCUGAUGAACCUGAAGCGGAUGAUGAAGCAGCUUUCUUGGAUGGACCCUGACUGGGGCCACCGAAAUCUCAUGGCCGAGCACUAUAAAUCCCCAUAGACUCAAUGGCCAUGGCUGCAUGAACAGCGUCAGAGAAAGUCGGGUAAUAAACACCCGUCAUUUUAUCUGCAAACACUCCACCAAGUGCCCCAAUGAACAUCUUCAUCCUGGUCCUCUCAUCAGGAACCAGAUAUGACACAUGAUAGCUCAGGGAAGUGAAUCUCUCCUGGAACUCUAUAACACCCUCAUCAUCCCUCUUCUUCAUAUUCAGGAAAUCCGACUGAAUUCUGCUGCGGUGGGCAGGACUGAAAUAUUGCCCCAAGAAAAGCGUCUUAAACUGCUCCCACGACAUAUUCAGAGCAUCCUCAACAUUCCUGCUAGCGAGCGACCACUAGUGAUGUCGCUGAAUCAUCCAGGAAAGUCACUGCCAUCUUCUUCAUAUUCAGGAAAUCCGACUGAAUUCUGCUGCGGUGGGCAGGACUGAAAUACUGUCCCAAGAAAAGCGUCUUAAACUGCUCCCACGACAUAUUCAGAGCAUCCUCAACAUUCCUGCUAGCGAGCGACCACUAGUGAUGUGCUGAAUCAUCCAGGAAAGUCACUGCCAUCUUCACCUUCCUUUCUUCUGGCAAAUCUGUGCUCGCAAAAGCCUUUUUCAUUUUGUCCACCCAAGUAUAAGCAUCAAGGGGUCCCAUGGCACCCUUGAACUCUCUUGCUCCAGCCUCAUAAACUUCUCUCCUCUUCACUGCAUGAGGGUGUGGAGCUCGAUCUAUGACAUCCCUCAGCAUAUUUCCAAUAUCAUCAACCAGUCCCCUGACCUCAUUGCCCUCAUCGGCAUUGGUCGAAGUAGCCACACGGGGUUGCCGUGGGCGCCUAGGAGGCAUAGUACCUGAGGAAGAAGAAAUUUAGUAGUCCAUAAACAAGACUAACACAACAAUCACAUAUACCCAAUAACACAUAGCAUCAAAAGCAUAAAAUGCCAAUGAAUCCGCCGCGGUCGGAUCAUCACUCUAUAGACACUACGUGCUACUUAGGCAAAUAUGAUAGUGACAAGGAAGCCGGAAAAGGAAACCUAUAGCUCUGAUACCAACUGACACGACCCACCCCGAAUUUCACCCUGAAACCCGGAGUAAGUCUUGCGGGGACCACCUCCAAGAAAAAUUUACUGAAAAGAUUAAGAAAAUCUCCCUUGUAGAUGGACAACCCUAACUCGAAAAUUCCAAAUUGCCUAACUUCGAUAUUCUUAAAUCGGAACGAUCCGAACUUAAAUAUCAUACUUAACAGUCGUAAAUACAACCUCCCCAAAAUACGACUUAAAUCCUACGGCCGGAUUCUACAUUAAUUAACCGCCAAAAAUACCAAACUUCGGAAAUUCACAAACCUAUCCAAAUCUCAUCCAAAAAUUCCAUAAAUCACAUCAAUAUACUCCUCUUAAUAUUCCACACUUAAUACCCUAAAAAUCUCUUAACCGGCGGCGGCGCCGCCAGCGGCUCCGCGGGCAACGGCGGCCGGAGGCCAAUUCCGGCGACCUCCAAAACCUAUGAAAUUUUGACAGAAUAAUCUCCUCAUCAUGCUCUACAACUUUCUUAACGAGCACAUUACCCAAUUCCAAGCCUAACUAGGCUAAUCGAACGAAGACAUCCUAAAAGCCCUAGAAAAUUCAACUCCACAUUUCUCCUUACUUAGCUCAAGAGGGAGUGAGCUGAUUGGAGGGGUUGCUGCACGGGAGGAGGGCUACAAAAACGAGCCAAGGAUCGCUGGUUUUGGUGGCCGGGGGAGGGAGUUCCGACGGCCGGAAGUUCGGGGCAGCCUUGCCUUUCGGGCGGCACCGCUCUCUCACGGCGGCGCUAGGGUGGCUGUCACCGGUCCUGGAAGAUAGCUGGGUCGAAGGGCAACCGAACGGGACCGGAGCGGCGGCAGAUGGUGGCCGGACGGCGGCGUACGGACGGCGAGAAGUUUCCGACGGAGGAGAGGCUCGGGAGGAAACCGGGAAGAAGAGAGGAAGAAAAAGAAACAGUGAGGGCUGGGUUUGGGCCUGACCAACCCGGUCCAUCACCUAUAUAACAACCCAAUUCCAAAAAUAAAACACCCCGAAAAAUAACACCCGAAUAAAAAUUACCUUUUACUAGCUAAAAUUUACCAUUUUUACCGUCGUCGAAAUUUUCUCUUACGAAUAAUCCUCCGCACAUAAACGUCCCCGAAACCCUUCUAGGGACCAAUUAAACUAUUAACUCAAUGACGGAGACGGUAAAAUUCUUAUUAUAAUCAGGCUAGUAAAUAAGGUAAAAAUAUAAGGGUCGGGAUGUGACACUUGUUGAGUUAUUAGUCAUGUGGAUUGCUUACCACCUUAAUUGACUACAUAUUGUCGAUGAACUUUUAUGGCAUCAUGAUCCAUAAUUUUUAGCGGAUUCGAUCAUCAUCAAGUUCUCUAGGUCCUCCAAGUUGGUUUGGAAUUACCAACGGGACUUGAUUUUUAUCAUACAAUUGCAAACAGGAAUUGUAUAUACGCUAAUGUGAUAAACAUAUUUGACAUUAUCCCCUAAUAUGGGGACAACAAUAUGGGUCAUGUCAACGGCAUAAAAUGCCAUGCCGAUGUCUAGAAAAGAGGGGGAGGUGUCGCCGGCCCUAAUGGCGACACUCCCGGUCUAGACAUCAAUCUGUCAAAACUACUCACGUCCGCUUAUGACAAUGCAACCAUUGUGGAUCUCCGGAUCGUUGGUUGAAGAGUUAUCGAGCUAUCCUUCAAAUUGUUAAUGCAUACAAAAGGGUACAGAAAAUCAAUAUGAGGAGAAGAACGUCAUCCUCAUGAUCGCGGAUUUCAAAGAUUCGGAUCCUGCUCUAGCUACCCAUGACUUUGACGUCAUUGGCUAGACAUUGAUUUUCUUUCCAAGCUAUAUGUAAUACAGCGUCGUAUCGACGUCCUUCGUCUAUUUGAGACCUCGAUGUACUCACAUUAGCAAUAAUGAAUGCCUUGAGAAUUUUUUUUUCGAAGUGAAACUAUUCUCCUCUUAUGGUUCGUAUUGAUUUACAAAAAAUAUAUACAUUCUUACAUCGUCCUUAGAAACAUGGCAUAUUGUGCCAUUUUGGUCCCUUCCUUUGAAGGUGACUCAUGGCACCGCAUCCUCAAGGAGGAUCGCCCACGUGUUUCCGGUUGAGUCUUCUACCCUAUAGCGGAUUUUCCAUCAUCAAUUGUUCAACUAGGCUCAUCUAAGUUCAGUGUGAUGUCUUAGAAUUGUCCGAAAUUAAGAAGAUAGUGGUUUAAGUGUGCCUCGCACUACCGACCCUCUACGGACAAGCCUGGUCAUACUGAUUUGGAGUUACCGAAAGCUUUUGAUUUUGGAUCCCCGUACGCUAUUAAACCAAUUGUCGUCUUGCAAAAGAUGUUGAAGACUUAUCAAAACCGGACAAUCAUCAUCAUGAUCGAAUCCUCUAGGUCUUCUGAGUUAGUUUAUGUUCAUGUCAAGGAGCUUUUGCUAACUAGUCAUGGAGUUUACGACCUUGGAACGACUGAAAGGACUUGAUUUUGAUCAUGCACACAUCACUUUUGGCUAAGGCAAAAGCCUACAUGCAACCUGCAAGCUUCACAGCUUCGCACAUGCCAAUUCUGCGAAAAACAGCAAUCUGUCUCUUCUAGACAGUCAACUUCGUUUGAGCUUUGUGAACAGCUCUGGACGAACUAGAUAGUGAGCUUUAUAUCAUUGGAAAGCUCUACGAGUCUAGUUUUCAGAACCUUUCGCGGUUCAUCCAUAUCUAUUUUAACAAAGAAGUUAUGGCUGUUUUAGUGCGCAAAAGUCAUUCCGCACGGAAAUUUUAAUGCACUCUCAGGAUUGCAGCUUUUUGUAGCUUCUUUCAAUCCUUCUAAAUGGUUCAAGUGGAACUAUUUACUCUCCUAUCUACUCCAUUUUGUACAUCUGUCUCAUAGAGACAUUAAGUGCUUCGCAAACAGUGGAACUAUUCACAACAUUCUAAGGAACCGGCAACUAUCUUUGGAUAUUAUGCCUUUGUAAAUCUUCUGUAUUGAGAGACACGGUUUAGCUUGAAUUUUGAUGCCUCAUGGCACCAUGAUCAACGUCACAGAUGCCCUCUAUGCAUUGAGAGGCAACCGAACCAUGUUGAGCUUUAAAGACAUUCUUGCUAAUAGUUUUUAUUUGAAAACACAUUAUGAGAAUGAACAAGAAUUCUUUUGUGUAUACAUUCUCAUGAAUGUGGACUGAAAUGCAUCUUGGAGAAGUUCAUGAGUCAAUUUAAUGGAUUGUAUGUCACUACGAUUCGAGUAUCGAAUCCCAUGUUGUCGCCAAACAUGAUAUUUGGGACACCGACUCAUAGAGGCUUUGGUUUGACCAAAUCGGUCAACCUCGAAGAGAUAUAAUGGUCCAAAUUUUGAGAAACAUCCAUUCUUCUGCUCAAAACGAAGACAUUCGGGAUCUAACAUCACCAUGAAGCAUGGUGGUGACCCAGGGGACAUUUGUAACACCCCGGACCAAAUUCUACCUAUUUACUAGGUAUUCUACGAGUUACUGAAGAAUUUAACUGUGUUCGGUAAUUUGGUAAUUUAACACUCGAGUUUAUUGUUGAGUUUUUCUUAAAAUGUUAAAUUCCUCUUUUAAGGCCUCGAUAUAGUAGUACGUGUCGACACAGGUUCAACAGUGGCAUUGGAUUAUUUGUUGGAGCUUCGAGUUAUUUUUUCUAUUAUUUAUUAGAGGUUUGGUUUUAGAAAUUUAUUUUCUCGGAAGAAAAUAACUUUUAUCCGGGCUUCCAUUAGGGUUUUGAUAUGAGUUGUAGAAUUUAAGCUUAAAAGGUAAAGAGGAGGUUGACCCAGUCAAAGAACCCAACUCGGGUUUGACCGAGCCCAACAGAGUCUCCUCCUUCUCUCUCACUUCUCUCUCGUCGUUCGCCUUCUCCGGCGCAAUGGCGACGAUUCCGAGCACCUCCCACAGCGUAACUACCACCAAAAUAUUCUUCUCUUCAAUCUCUACAAAACCCAUACCUCAGUUCACACAGGCAUCCACAUACGAGGGAGAUCGAUGUCGAAGAGGCACGGCUGUGUUUCUCGUUUUCCGGCGAGCUCCGACGGCGACGGCGAUAGUGAGGGGUAGGAUUCUUCUCCUUUUUCCUUCUUCUCCCUUCCUAUGUCUUUAAUCUUUUGAUUCGUGCCCUAAUCAGAGGAACCCUUUUCUCCUGUUUUUGGGUUUUCACGGCGUAUCUCCGGCGACCGAGUUCUUGCCGUUUCCGACCUCUUCUCCAUGUUCCGACAAGCAAGGCUACUUCUUGGCAGACCCAGUGGCCGAGUGGAGGAGGUGGUUGGAGUUUGGUAGCAGAUGGGGUUCUUCUGGUUGGGACAGUGAGAGGCAGAGGGCUGCAGGUCGGUCUCCGGCAAGGAGAAGUUUCUGGGUUGGGGUUUUGAGCGGACUGAAGGUAAAGGUUAAAAAUCUGAGCUGCUGUGUUGUUGCUAUGUUGUGCUUAUUGUGUUGUUUAGGUGUUGAUUCGGCUGUUUCCUUUGUGAUAUGUCGAGAACUUGGUGUUUUGAAGAACACGGGGAGGUUAUGGCCAUUUUCUGGUGAGUGGCCGGAAUCCGGUAGAAUAUUCCGGCAAGUCGCCGGAAUCCGACGAAGGCAGUAAUUUUGGAAGAAGGUGAUGAGGUAGUUAUCGACGUUUUUCCUUUCUGAUUUGUAUCGUUUCAGAAAUGGAAAGUUUGUCGGUUUGUAAUCGGAAAUCUUUCUAAGGGAGGAAAGUUUCUAUUUUAGGAAACUUUCCCUUUUUUGGAAGCUUCCUAUUUAUGGAAACCCAUUUGGGUGCCCUUAGUAAAUUUUGGAAGUAAAUUGGUUGUUGUAUUAAAGGCAUGGAAAUUGAUUAUGACUUCGAUUCCAAGUUAAGGUUUUGUUUAGAGGCAACGUUCGAGGAGUAUUCCAAGCAUUAUAUUGAGAAGUUUAAGCCUAACACUGUGAGUGGACAUUUUGGUUUUUCUUAAAUAUGCGUGCAUGACUUUAUAAAUUAUGAUUUUAUUUUCCGAGCAUAUAUUAUAACUUCGGCUUACUAAAUGAUCUUGGAAAUUAUUUUAAGUUUGAUGCAUGGAUUAAUUGUGCACCAUGAUUUAUGGAUUUGAGCUCGGAUCAUUAAUUUGGUACUUGAGUUUGGAUAUCAUUUAUGAUUUCCGGAUUUAAUUAUUAUCGGCUUUAUUGUUGACUUUGAGAUUUAUUAAAGACUACCGAAACUGGGAUUUUCAGUAAUUCUCUUUUUAUAACUUUCUCGGUUAUUUGUGGUUUAUCGACCUUGACAUUGAGAAUAUUUUGACGUGUGAGACACGUCAUUGAGUAUUGUUACAUUGCUUGGUUGAGUGGGCCGGGAUACUUAUCUCGUGAGCUUUAUCUAGUGGGCCGGGAUACCUUUCUCGUGAGCUCUAUCUAGUGGGCCGGGAUAUUUAUCUUGUGAGCUCUAUAUGAUCUUCUUAUUUCAUUAUAUAAGGGUUGUUGUAUAUUAUUAUUGCUAGCUAGCCUUUAGCGUGGGACGUUAUUAAUAGAGUCUGGGAGGCUCCGACCCUAGCCUGGGAGGCUCAUCUUUAUGGUGAAACCCCUUUCUAGUUUCUUGGAUUUAUUCGAACCAACGGGAUUGGUUCGUCAUUUGUACUCUUUUAGAAGUAUUAUGAGUGAGCAUCAAGUGUUGCAUGCAUAGUUGUAUUUUCGUUGAUCAAAUCGGGAAAACAUAAAUAUUUUUAUUGGUUUAUUUCCUUUAAAUUUAUUCUUGUCCACUCACUCUAACGUUUUCGAAUGUUUUCCCCUAGGCCCUUCGGUUUUAAAUGCCCAGUUUGCAAGUUAGUAUAAUUGAGGUCGGGCGUACUUGGAGUCGAGGCAUAGUCCAUCGUAUAGCUUAAGCUUAAAUAUAUAUUUAUCUCCCCUUCACUGUUAGAAUUGCUCUGAACCUAUUAAUUGUUGGUUAUGGGAUUUUUGUUAGAUUAGUAAAUAUAAAUUUUUUAGAUGUUGUGAUUUGUGGGGAGCACGGAGGCUUCAGGAGUUUAUAAGAUUGAAGUUGAAAUUUUUAGAAGUGUUUGCAGGUAUUUUUAUUUAGGAAGGGUUGCCUAUUUUCAAGGGAGGUUAUGCCGAGUUUUCGGUAAAUUUUCCUUGGAGGUGGACCCCGUAGGAUUUACUUCUGGUUUCAGAGUGAAAUUCGGGGUGGGUCCUGACAACAUUGACGUCACCCGAACACGGCUCCAACUUCCCGAAGGCCGUCCGGUCAAUUCCUCAAGCAAUUGAGGUGCACCGGCCUUCCCUCUAUGUCUCAUUGGCCCCUGUAAUGCUCAUUGCUCGUUUUGAAAGCCUAUUUUUAACUAAAUUAGGAGUGAGACUCUCCUAUGCUAAAUUACACAAAGUGAACAUUCCAUUCUUACAUCAACCUAUGUUGAUAGAUACAACCAACUUGCGAACACCUUUUUUUAUGCUUUAUGGUGUUGGUUGAAGUGUUAACACACUGGUCACGUGUUACACUAUUAUCUACUGCUUAUGCUGCUUAUACUUCUACGGGCUCACUACCCAUUCUUUAAAAAAGUUUAUCGGGAUGUCAGUUGAAGUGUCUUGUACCCCAUGUUCACACGCAAUACGGUCUCACCGAGGCUACGACCAAGCAACUUUAGCUUGUCGCUCGAACAUUAUUGAUGCACACCAAUCUUUUUAUUGCGUCUUGGGGCUAUGCAAUAUUUGCAUGCAGCUUUACUAUUCAUCUACGACCCACCAUCAUUGAAUAUUUUUGUACUACAGCUCGUGACUGUCACUACCAGGACAAGCACUUUAGCCGACGAAAAAGUUUCAUCGGCCAGUUAGCUUAAUUCGUCGGCUAAGAUCUUACCCGACGAGCCUUCGUCGGCUAUAGUUUCGUCGGGAAAGAGGCGUCGGUGAUGACUUUAGCCGACGAAAUUAGAAAACGUCGUCGGCUAUUGUCCCAGUAUUUAGCCGACGACAGAAGACGUCGUUGACCAUAGUCUGAGACUUUAGCGAACGAAACAUUUAAGAUAUUCGUCGGCUAAAGUAUGUAAUAAAAAAUUAAAAAAUAACUAUAGCCGACGAAAUAUAGUCUGUUUCGUCGGCUUUAGAAGUGUUUAGCCGACGAAACAUGCCAUAAUUUGUCGGCUAAACCUUAUAAAAAAAUUAAAAAAUACUAUAGCCGAAUAUAGUCGGCUAAAGUAUUUAAAUAUCGUCGGCUAAAGUAUUUAAAUAUCGUCGGCUAAAGUAUUUAAAUAUCGUCGGCUAAAGUUGCUGGUUUUUGAAAAAAAAAACUGUAGAAACUUUCGGCCACCUCCAAUCAUCACCAAAAUUUGACAAAAUCUUCCUCUCAACAUUUCGAACAACUUUCUAGAAGAAGUCAAACCCAAUUCUAAGCCUAAACAGGUCAAUUGAAUCAAAAUAUAAAAAUCCCUAAUUUUAAACCCUAAAAACUUUAAAUCUUCGAUUCUCUUCACACACACCGAAUCGAGCUACCAAAUUCUAGGGGAAUGUAGUACUAAUCAAACUCAACUUAUCCAUAUAUAGAACUCACCAAAUGGUGACCUAAGGAAGGAGAAAUUCGAUCGACACCGAAUCCAAACCGGCGGAGUUUUAGAGCUCGAUUUAUCCCUCACGGCGGCGCCACUCAAUGCACCACCUGUCCAGCAAUGAAGUAGAGAUGACGGCGAAGUUUUUAGGACAAGUGUGGCGGUCUCCGGUGGCUUGACGGCGGAGCUAGGCCGAGAAGAAAAUCCGGCAGGCGAAACAAUAACUUUUUCUGAUUUUCUGACUUCUUACCAUCCACCUCUGGUAAAACUCCUAUAUAAAGAACUUUACCCGACGAAAUUCUUUAUUUUCAUCGGCUAAACUCUUUUGAAAAUUUUGAUUGACCGCAAAAAUUUUUUUGACAAUAGCCGACGAAAUCAUAUAUUUUCGUCGGCUAGAGUCCUUUGAAAAUUUUCCUCCAAAUUUGGUUUACCACCAAAAAAAUUUUGACCUUAGCCGACGACUUUUUUAAGAUCUCGUCAGCUAAAGUCUAUAAAUUCACGAAAACGCUCAUAUCUCCCUCUAUAGUAAGUAGUUUGGUCAAACCUUCCACACGAAAAACUUUCACGUAGAUGAGACGCAACCGCCUAUAUAAAAAUUUGAGACAUUUACCUUCCGACGAUAGGGCUCCCCAUAGGGAAUAAUAACGGUAAAUAGGGUUGACCGCUACUAUCGGUACCGAGACGUUACCUGAUUUACAUGAUUUUUGAACCAUAGCCGUAUUUCACCAUUCUAAACACAUCUUAUUUCACGAGAUUUUUGAUAAUUUUGCUUCCUAUGUAGAGUUGGUUCACAAAGUUGUAUUACCUACUAAACAAGUUAUACAACAUUCGUAGACACGUUGUGAUUACGAUGAUUAAAAUUCACAAACCAAAAUUCGACCAUCAGAUAUGAUCAUUAUGAUAAAAGAUGUCUGGAAUUCAACUGGAUCCGACAACGUUAAGGGCUCGAUCGAAACGGUCAACCCUAAUCCAUCGUCACUUAUCACACAAAAACGCUCAUAUCUCCCUCUAUAUUACAUAGUUUGGUCAAACCUUCCACAUGAAAAACUCUCACGUAGAUGAGACGCAACUGACCAUAUAAAAAUUUUGAGACAUUUACCUUCCGACGAUAGGGCUCCCCAUAGGGAAUAAUAACGGUAAAUAGAGUUGAUCGCUACUAUCGGCACCGUGACGUUACCCGGUUUACGUGAUUUUUGAACCAUAGCCGUGUUUCACCAUUCCAAACAUGUCUUAUUUUUACAAAAUUUUUGAUAAUUUUGCUUCCUAUGUAGAGUUGGUUCACAAAAUAUAAAAAUUUUGAGACAUUUACCUUCCGACGAUAGGGCUCCCCAUAGGGAAUAAUAACGGUAAAUAGAGUUGACCGCUACUAUCGGCACCGAGACGUUACCCGGUUUACAUGAUUUUUGAACCAUAGCCGUAUUUCACCAUUCUAAACACGUCUUAUUUUCACAAGAUUUUUGAUAAUUUUGCUUCCUAUGUAGAGUUGGUUCACAAAGUUGUAUAACCUACUAAACAAGUUAUACAACAUUAGUAGACACGUUGUGAUUCUGAUGACUAAAAUUCACAAACCAAAACUCGACCGUCAGAUAUGAUCAUUAUGAUGAAAGAUGUCUAUGGUAAAAAAUUCAACUGGAUUCGACAACGUUAAGGGCUCGAUCGAAACGGUCAACUCUAAUCGGAAAUAAGAAAACUGCAUUUUGAAGCCCUAAAUAGACUUGGAUGGCCAAAAAGGCCCAUAUUUCAUGGCAUAGCAAUGAGUUUGACUCGUAGGGCCGUUACGCUUCCGGAAAGGUAUCAUAAUAGUCAAUCGGACACUGAACGCCAAAUCUGCAGCAUACCGGGUUUCGAUUGUUCUACAUCAGAGACGUUACCCGAUUUACGUGACUUUUGAACCAUAGUCGUGUUUCACCAUUCUGAACACAUCUUAUUUCAUGAGAUUUUUGUUAAUUUUGCUUCUAUGUAGAGUUGGUUCACAAAGUUGUGUAUUUGUUUAAAACCUACUAAGCAAGUUAUACAACAUUUUAUUGUUUUUCUUUUAGCAGACGGAUAAUAGCCAACGAGAUUUUUUUUCGCCUACUAAAAUACUUUAGCCGACGAGUAAAAACUUUGGCCGACGAAAAAAAAUUUUGUCGGCUAAAGUAUAGUAUAGCAGACGAAAUUUUUUUUCCGUCGCACUAGGAAGAAAACAAACUUAGCAUAACCUGAUCCAUUGAUCAGUGAUACUCAAAUCUGUCUCAUGAAGUCUGAAUUGUGAUUAUCGUUGGGGGACACCUCAAUGUCAAAUCCAAUCCAUAUAGAGAUCUAUACAAGUAUUACACUAGUGUACAUGAGGACGCGGGAUAAUGAGUCUACUAUCGAACCACCCUUCGUUGAUUGGCCAAAUGGAAAGAUGCGAUCCAGCAUUAACAAAGAGAUAGGUCCUUGGGCAGGUGAUGCCGACACCGCAAGUUAAACCCUAUCAACUAUGCCUUUGUUAGAUAGCGUAGUGAGAACAAGAGCUUAGACUCACCUUAUGGCGCAAGGUCUCUCACUAACAAGCACUGAGAUCGACUACGAUGAGAUAUGCUCUCGUAAUGGAUGUCAUUGCACUCCACUACUUUGUCAGUUUGGUAGUUUUCCGAAUAACUGAACAUGCAGCCUAUGAAUGUGGUCAUAAUAACAUCUCUACAGGAUCAGAGAUAUACAUGAAGAUCUUAAACAGACUUCAUUCAUCUUAAUCAAGUUGCUCCAGACCACAGGAGCACGCGUUCGCUAAAGGUUUUGAAACGCACAUUAAGUAACUAAUUUGCGUGUUCAUUCUGGAUUUACAUGGACUCUUGAUGGAUCAAGAGAUGCCAAUAUGUAUCAACAUUUUAAGAAAAAGAUCUUGAGAAGACACAGUCUCGACAAGGCACUCGAUGAUUGUAUUGAUGAUGAUUUUCCAUCAAUCGGCUUAGGCGCUCUAUAACUAGUGAGGCCUACAUAUACUCCCAUGAUUAGUCAAAGUCUUUGCUUUAAAGAGAGAUCCGUUUUUUUGUCUAAAGCAAGAUGACAAAUAUGUGUUAAGAGAUGGAGUUCCCAUCUAAGUACAAUAAGAUGCAUCAAUGUACUCAACACAAUACGAAACACUUGACAUCUCAUUCGUUAUGAAAAGUUGUAAAGCUAAGUGUAGCUAUGCGCCCACGUAACGCCAAUGUAAUGGCAGUAACUCUUUUUUUAAAUAGUUAAUGGUAUGAAAGGUUGAGGCUUAUUCUAUCCCUACAUAAGAAAGACACAUCAAUAGCGAAAUUAGAAUCUGCCAAGUUUCGUAGGUCAAUUUCUACGGGACCUACAGGAAAUUUCACUCACUGGAAAAUGGUGAAAUUGGUGCCACUGGAAAGCUCUAUGUGUCUACUUUCCAGGGACACCAACCAUUUAAUCAUAUCUAUCAUAUUGAGUGAGUUAUGGCUUUUUUCGUAAAGUAGGACGAAUCUGUCCGAGAAUCUGAUUUUGGCAAAACAGUUAAAUUUGACAGGACUUUGUGAAUAGCUCCUGACGAACCAGAACAUGUGUAAUAUACAGUUGGAAAGCUAAAUGAGUCUAGUUUCCAAAACCGUUUACGGUUCAUUCAUAUGUAUUUCCUAGAGGAAGUUACGGCUGUUCUAGUAACUGAAGGUCAUGCUGUGCGGAAAUCUGAUUUCCUGCACGAACUUAUGUUUUGAGUUCACAAGCGGUCUUCUCCUCAAGAUCUAAAUGUAAAAGAUCAUGUUUGAGGACAAUACGGCAUGAUCUAGUUAAUCAUUGCCCAAUGCCACAUUUGAAGACAUGUUAAAGAGCAUUGACAUGCGAAGUUAUUGAAGUUUCCGUGAUUAGUAAGAAUCAGGAAGAGCCCUAUGAUUGAUGUAAGGGAAAAUUUCAAAAACAGUACACCAAUUAUGGUCCACUCUAAAGACUAGUACAUUAUCUUUUGAGAAAAUCAAAACAGUACAUGAAGUUGUAAUUAUGACCCAAAAUCGAUACAUGCCGUUAUUUUUUCUGUUAUUUGGUGUCUCUACCAUUAAACUUCAAAGGAUAAAUUCGUCCUUCUCUUGCUUCCUCCUUCUAUCUCUGAAACUAGAAAAAGCUGCAGCAAUUUUGCAAACUCUUUUAAAUAUAAAACAGAUGAGCAUGAACCAAAAAAAACCCAAAAUCCCAAAACCCUGUAUGGUUCAUUGGUUCUUCUACCAAGGGUUUUAAUCUCCAAUUUAUUUAUGAAACCCAUUGCUUCCUAGUGAGCCCAACCGCUGUCCUCUCACCAGAAUCAUCGUCUUAAAUGAAAAAAGUUAAAAAAAAAAAAAAAAAAGUAGAUUCCUCCUGCAAUUAUGAAUGGGUAUUGCAUGUUCUUCUAUUUGUUCAUAUCUGGGUAAUAUUGUUGCUUUUUUUUGUUGUUGCUAUGGUAUGGUAGGAUUGUCAAACUUCAAGAAUUUGUGAAGAACAUUUCAAACCCGUCACCAUGCGAACUGAAUUUCCAACCCCAAAAUCAAUAGAAAAAACCCAAACUCAUCUAUUUUAUAUUUAAAAAAGUUUGCAAAGUUGCUGUAGUUUUUUCUUGUUACAAAGAUAUAUAGAAGGAGGAAGCAAGAGAAGGACGAAUUUAUCCUUUGAAGUUUAACGGUAGAGACACCAAAUAACAGAAAAAAUAACGGCAUGUAUCGAUUUUGGGUCAUAAUUACAAUUUCAUGUACUGUUUUGAUUUUCUUGAAAGAUAAUGUACUAAUCUUUAGAGUGGACCAUAAUUGGUGUACUGUUUUUGCAAUUUUCCCUUGAUGUAAAGAUCAGGGGGAGGUGCGAACUUCAGGGGGAGUCUAGCACAUACAUACAUGUCACUAUCAAAUGUGAAGGGUGCGUUGUACUCUUUUUCUCCUACGAUUAAGGUUCAGUUUUUCUCCCACAGGGUUUUUGUGACUUGACGAGGUUUUUGACGAGGCAAAAAAUCAGCACCAUCGGCAUAUCAGCGCGCGGCACAAGGGAGAGUGUUCUAGGAUAUUCUGUAUCUUUCUAGAUAUUCUUUAUGUGUGCCUUGGCCUUAUGCCAAUAGGAUAUGUAGUUUGACUAAAUCUAUGUAUUCCUAUCCUUACCAUAUUGGUAUUGUGUAAUUCCUUAUAUAAAGGGCUCCUAUCUUUGAAUAAUACACACAUCUUUCACAAUUCUCUAUUCUCAAAUAUCUCUCACUUCAUCAAAUUAGUAAUUAAUGGUUAUUUGAAUUAUGAGACUAGAGUUAGAAUAAAAAUUAUGAUACUCAUCCUAAUUUAAAGAUAUUGAGGAAAAAGAUGCAGGAAAUGGCCUCAACUUGAAAAGUUAAAACUUAGAAGUAUAUACCUAUCUUCUCAUCAGGAAUGGAGGUAGAAAAUCCCUUUAAGAUUGGUUUAUAUUAGUAAGGAUGUCUAACACAACAUCACACACUAAAUUCAUAAACAAGAGAACCCUGACAAGCAACGAAUUGACAAACACAAUAUAGUAUGCAGGUCUUCAAAUUACAAAGCAAACCAAACUAUCUAACUAGUUGUGCAACAAAACCCCUCAAUUAUAAUUGGUUUUUAGACAACCCAUUUGAUAACUAUUACUUUGAAAAAUUAAUUAUGAUUUGUUGGCAAGUUUGGAGAGCAAGGAACGAUACUAUCUUUAGGGGUAAGAAUCCCAACCCCAAAUCUAUUCCAGUUCUUGCUGCUUGCCAUCAAAGCAAUGCCCUACAAAUUGAUAUGCAAAGGUCUACAAUGCAUGAUCCUGUUGAAAUGAACAUGAUUAGGUGGUCACCACCCCCUUCAAAUUGGGUUAAAAUAAAUUUUAAUGGUUCUGUAAGAAGUAAAGCUGCUGCUGGAGGUUUUAUUUUAAGAACAGAAGAUGGUAAACCUCUUGUGGCAGCUGCCUUCAACUCUAGUGUUGCUAGUCUCUCUCUUGCCGAAACUCUUGCACUAAGAAAUAGUCUAGUAUGCGCUAAAGAGAAAGGCUUAUCAAAGAUUGAAGUAGAAGAUGAUUCCAAGCUCAUCAUUGACAUUGUGAAUGGAGUUUGUGAUCCCCUUUGGAGGCUUCUGAAGAUAUUCCAAGAUAUAAAUUUUUUUGAGAUGUAAUUUUGUAUCCAUCAGCUUCAAACAUGUAUUGAGGAAAGCUAAUUUCGUGGCCAAUGUUUUGGCUAACAUAGGGCAUAGGGUUGAGAAUUGUCACUUCUGGGAGGAGUGUCCCGAAGCAUUUCUUGCCCUUGCCUUCGACAAUGUAAACUCUGGGUGCCGGCGAGCACCUCUAUUUAAUAGAUUUUCUUCUCAUCAAAAAUAAAUAAAAAACAAAACCCCUCAAUUUCCAUAAACUCUAACUGCUCCAAUCAUCAGAAACAACAGUUUCGUACACAUUCGAUUGCAUACACAGAGAAUUAAACCUAUAUUUAUGAAUCUCAAAAGACUGGAUUAUGAAAUUACCUCGAGCUUUUCCUCGUUGUUCGCCAUAUUGAGUUCGGAGCUCUAACACGAUCUCACCUCUCUUUCUUCCUCUCUACCUCUCUCCUCUCUCUCUCUCUCUCAAUCUCACACUGGCACUCUCUCUAUGUGUGUUUCUCGUUCAAUUUUGUGUUUCACUAUAAACCCGUCUAGUGGCAGUAGGGUUUGUUCAGCUUGAGGGGGACAUGUGGCGGCAUCCUACUUGAUUGUAUACUGUCCAAGUUUUAUGAAACAUCGCCGUAUUAAACUGAAGAGCAGGCAUGACAUUGGACAAAGAGAGUCCACCCUAAUAGUUUUACCUAUAUAACUCCACUUUUCUUACUCAAAUUAUUUCCCCUUGACUGUCUUACCCUUGUGCAUAAAGAUAUUAGACCUGUGGCGCUCAAAAUGUCUCUCAUUGCUGUCACCCAAAGGGCCAAAACCUCGCUCUGCAACGCCGGCUCGACUACGAUUGCGGUCACCACCGACAACAACGUCGGCUCGACCUCGACUGCAUCUCCAAUUCUAUCGACGAUGACCUCCGACUCGACAUCGGCUGAAUCUUCGAUUUUGACCUCGAUUGGAUCUCCGAUUCUGUCGUCGACAACCUUGAUUGGAUCUCUUAUUCCGUCCUCGACCGGAUCACCAAUUUGGCCGACAAAAACCUCGAUUGGAUCUCUGAUUCUUUCAAUGACCACCUCAACUCGAUCUCUGAUUCCAUCGACUGAGUCUUGCUCGACCUUAGCUGCAUCUCUAAUUCGGUGACAUAAGUUUCUAAUCUCGUUGGCUUUGGUUUACACGAAUUUAAAACAAGCAACUAUGUGCUUUGCUUAUAUUUGUUGUGUGAUGGUGAUGGUUUUUAGGAUGAAAGAGAAGCACGGGAGCCUCAAUGUGAAGGCGAAGUAGAGAAAUAACCAAUUAGGAUCCGGAUCGAGGGAUAUCUAUUUUUACACAAAUUUUGACACUCGUUUUUAGCUUUUAGAUUUUAAAUUUUUUAACGGUGUAGAUUAAUUGUGGAUAUGAUGUGAACCACUACUAGAAAUAAGUUCUUAGGUGACGAAAUUUUUUCGUCACCUAAGAGCUUCUAUUGUCCUGUAUUGAUGUAUACACUAAUACGACGAAAAUUUCGUCACCUAAGGUUCGUCAUCUAAGGGCGGUGGUUAGAGCACUUAGGUGACGAAAAUAUGAAUUUCGUCAUCUUAGUAAUGACUAAGAUGACGAAAACCUUUUUGUCGCCAAGAUACUUAGCUGACGAAAUAAUUUUCGUCGCCAAACUACUUAGUUGACGAAAAUAAUUUUGUCGCAAAUCUGGUUACAUGACGUAGUAUGACCAGCUAAGGUGACGAAAUCAGUCAUUACGAAAACACUAACACUACGAAAACAGUCAGUUUGCUGACAAUUCUUUCAUCGGGCUAGGGCCACGAAAGUUGAAUUUUCAUCACCUUAGUGCUAUUUAUAUUUAUUAAAUUUGAUCAUUAAUAAUUAUUAAAAUCACAUUUAAUAUUAACAAAAAUAAAUUUAAAAAAAAAGUCUCAAUAUUUCAAAAACCCACUAUUGGCCAAAGCAGCACCUAGGCAGUAGCAAACAUAUAUAUAUAUAUAUAUAAUCAAGUUCAUAUACAAACUCAUCAAGAGUAGUACUUGAUCAAUAUAGACUUGUUCAUACAAAAUAUAUACUAGCUAGAAAAUGAACUAGUGACUAUGAAGGGCUAUCAAUUGAAUCAAUGCCUCCAUCAUCAUGAUCAUCAUCAUUGGGAUGCUCCUGGGGUGGGACUGCCGGCUGGCAUACGCCGAAUUUGGUGAAAAGAAACUGCUCACAUUGUUGAAGACGUGCCAUGAUUUGUAUGUUCUCUUCCUUGGCUUUUCGGGCUUCCUCAUUGGCUUUCCGGGCUUCCUCCUUAGCCUUUCAAGCUUCCUCCACAGCAAUAUCAACAAGUGCAGCUCGUUGGGAACGUGAAGUGCAGCUCCUAUCGGGCCCUUGACUCAAACCAUAACUGCCUACUAGUCCCAUGACCCAGAUCUCAUUCAUGUUUCUAUGUCUAAAUGCUUUUUCAAACACAAUCGCUUGAGUUUGUUGGUCAAAAUGAAGAUCAAUAUCUUCUUCCGGAAUGCCAGGGUAUUCCUUCCUCACAUUGUCACGGAUCUCAUCAAGCUUAUCCAUCAGUUUAGCCUAACAAAAGAAGUAUAUGUUUUACAAAAACAAUUACUAUGGAGAAUAGAGUUUUGAGGGCAGUAAUAUCUAUAUUGCUGAAAGUCAUUAAUCAUAGGCUCUCAUCUAGCAUUAUUAACCCAUCUAUAUAUAUUGAUUACCACCACAUAUUAAUCAACCUCCAUAUAUCAAGGUAUCAAGAAACUUAGUCUGAGAUGCACUAUGAAUGACAUUAACUGCCACAAUUCUUUUUUGAGAAGUCACUAGUAUAUGUUCCUUAUUGUGGUUUUUGCUUAUGACAUGCAUUAUUAUAUAUUACAAGUUACUCAUGCAUUUGGCAGGAAGUAAUGCAAGUUAACUAGUUAAUAUCGUGCAAAAAAAAACUAAUUCACAAUAUUGUUGCUUCCAGAGACCAAGAAGUAAUGCAAAGGCAGGAUGUAAACCACUUACUUCAUUUUCAGCUGCUUUCAAGUUGUGAGCUGAGUCAUACACCUGUGAGUAACUUUUAAUAAAAUAGAGGUGUUCACCCUUGUCCUUCAAUUCCUUCGCAUUGUAGAUGAAAGGCCUCGCCCCGGUGUAGUGGUACAAUGUCUUCUUGUCCCGGUUACUCUUGUUUGCAGCCGAUCUUCUCUGUAAUUUCAUCAUAUUAACAAUUUGGUUAUUAACAUCAAGCUUAAUCAUCAAAAACCAUAAACACAAAACUGACCAAAUGAACAGUAGUAAUGCAAAACCCAGAUAUAUACUUGUACCCAGAGAAACUGUUGUAGUAAUGCAAGUAAUAUAUAUAUACUUGUACCUAGAGAAACUACUGUAGUAAUCAGUGGAAUAUAUAUACUUGUACCUAGAGAAAAUGCAAGCAAUAUACUUGUACCUUAAUCUACCUUGUACAGCAAAGAAAAAACUAAAGCCUUAUUUAUUUUCUGCUGGAUACAAAGUUAACCAAUUGAACUAAUCAUUCGAAGGAGCCAGAGAAUGGGGAGUAACAAUUGCAGCUGAUCAAUGGAUUGCCUUGUCAUCAGUUAAAAAAAUCUACCAACUUUUUGUGUAACACAAAAUGUCUCAAACUUUAAAUAGAUCAAUACUUUUGGUAGUCCAAAAUCCAGUAUACUUCUUCUCUACUCACAAGUUUGUGUUUGCUAAUAGAAUGAUGGGGCUAUUUCCGCAUUGCUUAAAAAAACCAAAUUCUAAACCACUUUGGUAAUUCAACAUGGAAGGAUUCCAUAAGGGAUUCCAAGAUUUCAAGUCCAUGGGAUAGAGGCGAAAUGGAUGACGUUAAUAUGAAAUAACAAGCACAAUAUAUGGAUGCAAUAGAGGUUCAAUAUCCUACACAGAUUCAAAACAAGGGUAUCUGAGGACUAAUUAAUCAAGAACUCAAGAAAAAGACAUGCAAAAGCCAAGAAACUGGUUUUCCAAAAAUCAAAUGGUCAGAAACAAGGCAGAACAACAAAGGUAAAACAACCUUGGCACCAACUAGCAAUAGCCAGCUACACAUAACACUGAAUACAAUAAGGGAGAAACUAAUCCUUUUGAUUAAACCAACAAAGUUUUGAAUAAACCAACAAACUUUCAGUAGCAACAGUUAGUUAUAAAAUGAAAGUAAUAUACUAUGAAUCCAUCAGACUCGAAGGGUUUGAGGAGCCAGUUCCACUCAUCCAGCCUGUCACACCCCGGUUCUUAAGUUAUUUUACGGUUAUCUUUGGUAUUAUUUUGGUCUUUUACUGUUUACUAUUUUAAGACUCCAAAAGUUGACUUUUUCUUCCAUUUGGACUUUAGGAAAAAUUCCUUCAUGAAAGUCGUAGAGGACAUUAAUACGAGUUCGUAGCAUGCUAUGCGUUAAAUUCGAUGUUUGCAUGACAAAGUUAUCAAUUAAAAGGGUAAACAUUAGUUGGUAAGGGGUAAAUUUUUAUUGGGUUUUAUUUUGUGGGUGUUUUAAGUGUUGGACCGGGUGUGGAGAAGCCCAACACCCACAUUCUCUUUCUCUCUCUCUUCACUCUCUCUCCCGAGCCUUCCCCGAGCUCUCGCUCCCGCCGAAAACUUUCCCAGCGUCGUCCGCGGCCGUCCGGCCACCAUAGACCGCCGCACCGGUCCCAAACGGUCGGCCGUCGACCCAGCUCUCUUCUUGGACCGGUGGGAACCGCCCUAGCUCCGCCGUGAGAGAGGAAAAGCUCUCGGAAGCUCCGGUUGCGUGGUGGAGUCCCGACGCAGGAACUCGCUCCUCCGGCCACCAUCUCCAGUGAUUUCAGUCCCAUUUGGAAGUGCUCUCCGUGUGUAACAUUUCCAUAGAAGGUAAUGAUCCAAUUCGAAGUGUGUAGGAGGAUUUUCGGGCUAGGGUUUGAAUUGGGGGAUUUUUGGAUGUUUUGAUUUGAUUACCCUAGUUAAGCUUAGAAUUGGACUAAGUGCUAGUUAUGAAAGUUGUUAUGCUUGAUGAGAGGAUUAUUCUGUUAAAUUUUGGGAGGCAAUGGGCACCGCCGGAGGUUUUUUUUCAGGUUUUUGGGUUUGUUAUAAUGAGAGGAGUCUAAUGAAGUAUAGUUUGGAAUUUUUGGAGGAGUUUUGAUAAGGUUUGGGAUUUUUAAAAGAUUAAGGAUUUUGCCGGUUAUUAGAAUGAAAAUCCGGCCUUGGAUUUCCUUGAUAUUUAUUAUUGGAAAAUGGGAAAGUAAUUAAGUUUGGUUAGUUAUGUUGCGAUCAGUUACUUGAUUAUUUUUCGUCCACUCACUCUAACGUUUUUAAAUUACUUUCCCUUGGGCCCUUUGGUUUUAAAUUCCCAGUUUGUAGGCUAAGUCUAAGUGAGGUCGAGCGUACAUGGAGUCGAGGCAUAGUCAGAGGCUGCUUCCGCUUAUUCUUUAUUCUUUGUUUUUCUUUCAUUAUAGAUGUGCUCUGAUAACUAUUUGAGAUAGUUGUUAGUUGAUUAAGGUUUGUUGUAUUUUUGGGAGAUGUGUGGAACUUGAGGAGCAGGAAGGCUCCAGGUUGAGGCUGGUUUAUUUGUUUAUAGAAGUGUAAAUUGGAUUUUUCAGGUAAGGGUUGUCCAUUUUCAAGGUAGAUUAUGCCGAAUUUUUGGAAAAUUUUCCUUGGAAGUGAACCCCGCAAGAUUUACCUCGGGUUUCAGGGUAAAUUUUCCAAGGUAGAUUAUGCCGAAUUUUCGUUAAAAUGCUCAAUGAAAUAACCAAUCCAAAUAAUCAACAUAUUUCAAACCUCAAAUCCUUGAAUCAUUAUAAUUAAUAUAACUUAAAAUACCAAAUCUUUUACCCAAGCUCAAAUUCAUAACUUCCUCAAUGAAUUCAUAAUCAAUGGGUCAAUCACACAUAAAUCCCAUAACCAAUUCAAAAGCCGUAAUUAUAAUUUAAGCUUGGAAAAAUGUAUAAUGAACAACUUAAAAAUCAUGCAUGCAUAUUAGUUAAUAACCAAAAUGUCCACUCACAGAAAAACCCGCUACGUCGGUCCGCGGUCAAAACCCUUCUCACGUGGGGUCUCCUCUCAUCCUGUACAAAAUGAGAUUUAAGACCCGAGACAACAAUCACAAAAUUAAUCAAUUAUAAGGAAAAGCUAUCCUAGCACUAAUCUCACUCACCCAAACUUUCCAAAAUCUACUUAUAGCUCUACUUUAUCAACAACUUCCUACAAUACGACGAGGAAUGGACCAAACGAAUGAGCCUCCUCAAUUUCUCCCCUACCAAAACUAAUUCCAACACCAUAUCCCAAAUUUCAAGCAACCAUCUCCAAAAAUCCCCUACACUAAAUCAACAUUAGUCCCUUCUAAAAAUCAUCACCAUGUAAGGCAGCAGCCACCAGCAGUGGCGGUCAACCACCACCACCAUAUCAACUUCAACCAAAACUAGUAAAGCAUAUACCAAUCUCUUCUUCUCAACAAACACAACAACAAUCAAAACUAGCACGAACUCUAGAAAUCAAAGACUUGGCCGAAAAUUACCUCUAAAGCACAACAACACCAAAAAUUCCGAUUUGCCUUCUACUCCGAAUCAUUCUACCACUUUUGGGUGGUUGAAUGGCCAAUCAAUGAGCUAUAAAACCCCUCAAAGAUCACUUGAAUCGGUGGCCGAAAAAAUGGAGUUCUGGCUAGGGCAAGACUCACGACGGCAGCAGCGUCACCGCGCCUCAACACCGCCGAUUCUGGGCCGGUCACCACCCUAGGCUGGACGAGCGGCGUCUCAACUAUCAAACGUGACCCGCGAGGCAGCCAGGCGUGAUCGGACGACGGCGAUCGGUAGGGGAGAGGUUGGACUGGUCUGGGUCGGGGUCGGGGUCGGGGAGAGAGAAGGUGAGGUGCGGUUAUUUCUGUUUUCUAUCUUAACCCAAAAAAAUAACAAGUUUCCCCCCACUUAUACCCCAGCCCAAAAAUGGUAAUUAUCAUUAUUUUAGCUACCCUUCACUUACAAACUCCAGUUCGGGUAACUAAAAGUCUACACGUUUGUCUACACCACCUCUACCGAAAAUAAAAAUAAAUUCCUGAGUUGACAAGCUACAGUUAAAUCGAAAACCACAAUAUAAAAAUAAUUACUAGGUUCGGGGUGUAUCACCACUUGUACCACUACUGCAAACCCACCUCUCGACAUGCAAACCCGACUUCUCCUCUAGCUCAGCAAUUCUGUCACUCAGUUAGCUACACGAAUCGAAGGCGUUGAGAGUCGCGGGAGCCAGCGACCUCUAUUCUCGGGGUAUGGACAUCGCCCAAGUCCCUUCACGGCACGGGUGCAAAUGGAAAAGAGGCCACCCAAGGCCAAGCCUUUCAAAGUGGACAAAUAUAAGGGGACUGGGGACCCUCAUCUCCAUCUCGAAACAUUCCUUUCGUUGUGUAGUUCCACUCGAUACACAGAUGCCAUGGUUUGUCAUGCCUUCUAAGAAACCCUCUCAAAUGAAGCACUCAGUUGGUUCCUCAACCUGCCACACAACUCCAUUGAUAAUUUUAUGAAAAUCUACCGAAAUUUGUAUUCAUGCAUCACUGGUGUCUCCCUUCUUUCUAUUUUCAUAAUGUAUUACAUGCUAUUCAUAUAUUGUAAGUUUGCAUACAUCUAUAUAUAUAAGCGAAGAGUGUUUUUCACUGUUCACGUGAACAGUGACGUGACCCUUUUGUCUUUCCUUUUUAAAUCUUUUUACACCUCUGCCAUUCAGUUCUUAGGUUUUUUUUUUUUUUUUUUNNNNNNNNNNNNNNNNNNNNUUACAAUCCACCCCCCUUCGGGAGUCCGACGCCCUCGUCGGCACACUCGCACCACACGGCAGAGUGGCUCUGAUACCAUUUGUCACACCCCAGGACCCAUUCCGCCGUAACACGAUAUUGUCCGCUUUGGGCCCACCGGCCCUCACGGUUUUGUUUCCGGCAGCUCAGGAGCAGCUUCCUAGUAGGUCACCCAUCUUGGGAUUGCUCUAGCAUCAACAUGCUUAACCUCGGAGUACCCAUCCCCUCCGAAGCCGCUGAGCCACCAAAAGGCCUCGUGUUAGAUUGGAGGUGGGCAUGUAUAUAUACAGCACAUAACCCCUCUCCGUUUGGCCGAUGUGGGAUAUUACAAUAAAAAAUUUGGACCAUUUCUAGAUUUAUGCGUGUCAUCCUUGCGCAGGGGCCAUGCUAAUCUUCUCUAUAUCGUUCCAAUUUUAUCGGAUGUCCACGUAACACGAUAUUGUCCGCUUUGGGCCCACCGGCCCCCACGGUUUUGUUUCCGGCAGCUCAGGAGCAGCUUCCCAGUAGGUCACCCAUCCUGGGAUUGCUCUAGCAUCAUCAUGCUUAACCUCAGAGUACCCAUCCCCUCCGAAGCCGCUGAGCCACCAAAAGGCCUCGUGUUAGAUUGAAGUUGGGCAUGUACAUAUACAGCACAUAACCCCUCUCUGUUUGGCCGAUAUGGGAUAUUACAGUUUAAUUCAUAUAAGGGGUAUGGACACAUAUUUAUACACCCGUCUGUCCACCUUGAUGGCGUAGUGUAGCACCGCAUUAAGGCGUGACGUGAGCGUUGGACGCGAGCGUAGUAGCCCUAUAUAGACCCAUGAAUUUAUAUAGGGAGUAUGGACGAGUGUAAAUACAUACAUAUAUUAUAGAGUCUGAGAGGCUCGAUAUUUUAUGAGAUAAAAGUUUUAUCGCUUGCGGCAUGCAUUCGAUUUUUCCUUAGAAAUUAAUUUGGGGAAACAUAAAUAUUUUAUUUAUUAUUUUAUUUUUUGUCCACUCACUCUAACGUUAUUAAAUGUUUUCCCCUGGGCCCUUCGUUUUAAAUUGCCCAGUCUGCAGAGUUCGGGUUGGAUCUAGUAGGAGGGGAGGCAUAGUCACCCGCAUUUCUGCCAGUUUUCGUUAGUAGGUUACUUGUUCAACCUACUCGUGUUUUCUUGCUUCCGCUAGUGUUUAGUAGCUCUGAAUACUUUGGGAUUAUUGUAUAUUAUGUGUAGAAUUUCUGAAGGAUAAUUAUGUGAUGUUUGGAAGUGCUAAAUUAAGAGUGUAAUUUGGAAUUUUCGAGUUAGGGUUGUCUAUCUGCAAGGGAGAUUUUCUUAAUCUUUUCAGUAAAUUUUCCUUGGAGGUGGUCCUCGCACGACUUACUCCGGGUUUUAGGGUGAAAUUUGGGGUGGGUCGUGUCAUUGACUAUGCCUUUUCUCCAUGUACGCCCGACCUCAACUAUACUAACCUGCAUACUAGGCAUUUUUGAAACGAAGGGCCCAAGGGAAAACAUUUGAAAUUGUUAGAGUGAGUGGACAAAAAUGAAUUUAAUGAAAAAUGUCACGCCCCGGUUCUUAAGUUAUUUUACGGUUAUUUACUUUAGUAUUAUUUUGGUCUUUUACCGUGUUAAGUAACCGGUUACCCCUUAAGGACCCUAAAGUUGACUUUCUUUUCCGUUUGGAUUUUGGGGAAACUUUCUUCAUGAAAGUUGUAGAGGACGUUAAUACGAGUUCGUAGACAUGCUAUGUGUUAAAAUCGGAGUUAGCAUGAAAAAGUUAUUAUUAAAAGAGUAAAUUUUGAGUUAGAAAAGGGGCGUAAUUAUUAAUGGGUAUUAUUUUUUGGUCGGGUUUAUAGCUGGGCCGGCUGUGGAGAAGCCCAAAACCCUCACCCCUCAUUUCCUCUCUCUCCCUCUCUCCCUCACCCGUCACUUUCUCUCCCUCCCUCACCCGUGCAACUUGACCGCCGGAGAAGAGCCUCUGUCCGCUGCCGUCCGGCCGCCAGGGACCGCCGGACCACCUCUACCUGGACCCCCCGCCACCUCCUCUCCCUCCCCGGCCUAGCCCCCGAGCCGUUAGCCCGCUGGAAGAGGAGAAAACCCGCCGGAGACGCCGGGAAGCUUUUCGUCGGAAAUCCCACCUUCGGCCGCCAUAAGUCGAAAUCUUUAACUCAUCUUGUAGCCCUCAUCAAGGUGAGUAAUCCCUCAAAAGGAAUUAGUCUAUCUCGUUGUGGUUAUAGAGAAAUGUAUAAUUGAAGUUUUAGGGAUUUAUGGAUGUUUUGGUUCGAUUGCCCUAGUUAGCCUUAGAAAUGGACUAAGUGCUAGUUAUGAAUGUUGUUGAGCAUGAUGAGAGGAAUAUUCUGUGAAAAUUUGAGAAGUAUUGGAGGUCUCCGGAAAACGGCUGCCGGCCGCCGCCACCGGCAGGGCAGCUGCCGCCGCCGCCCCUUAAGGGCAGUUUUUCCUGUUUUUGAGAUGGUUUUAAUAAGAGGAGUUUAUUGAAAUAUAGUUUGGAAUUUUUGGAUGAGUUUUGGUUUGGUUUGGAAUUUUUCGGAGAUUGGAGAAAAGGCCGGUUAUUAGAAUGAAAAUCCGGCCGUUGGAUUUCCUUGGUAUUUAUUAUAGAAUGUUAGAAUUGAUGAAUUAAGGUUGUGGUGGAGUUUGGUGUGAAUCCGGCAAGUUUAACCCUAUUAAGAGUAGAGGGUUAAACGGAGGAGAGUUAGAUAUUUUAAUUCACGUAUUUAUUUUCUAGAAUUGAAGUUUGGUUCUAAGCAUGGUUGUUGUACCAGGAUGCGAAGGGAACCUCGCUUGAGUGGCGUUGCGGUUAUCGUCGGGCUUAUGCCCAAAUUUCUGAGUGGACAUUUUGGUUUUAAAAAUAAAUAUGCAUGCAAGAUUUUAUAAUCUAUCAUUUUAUUUUCCGAGCAUAUAAUAUAAUUUUUCAGUUCAUGAGAUGAGCUUGAAAAUUAUUUGAGUUUGGUGCAUUUAUUAAGUGUUGGUCAUGAUUUAUGGAGUUGAGCUCGGAUUAUUAUUUUGAUAUUUGAGUUUGGAUAUUUUUAUAAAUUCCGGAUUUCAUUAAAUGGUUUUAAUGGUGGAUUUUGAGAUUUAUAUAAGAUUUCCGAAAAUGGGAUUUUCGGUAGUUUCCUAUUUUUAAUUCUCGAAAUUAUUGGUGGAAUAUCGAUCUUGACUUUGAGUUUUAUAAAUGAUUACCGAAAAUGGGAUUGUCGGUAGUUCUCCUCAUAAUUUAAUUGUUCAUUUGAGGCAUAAUGAUUUUGACUUGGAGAAUAUUUUAGCGAGUAUUUCGGGCGUAGAUACUAUUAUUUAUGAUUCAUAUUUGUUAUUGAAAUCUCGCUUAUAUUUAUAAAUUGGAGAAUAUUUUGACGUGUGAGACACGUCAUUGAGUUGUGUUAUGAUUUCUUCUGAUGAUUUUCAUGUACGGUUGGGAACCGUACCAUUCGUUUGGUCUUGGGGGAAGUUUAAUGGAUUUAAGUGACUUCGUAUGUUUUAGUCACCAUAUUAUAGGGUCGUUUAUCUUAAUUAUUGCUAGCUAAUCUUAUUGGCGGUCCUCAUCAUAUGUGAGUCGCUAUUAUAGCCUUAUUAGCGGUCUUCUUCAUAUGUGAGUAGAGCGCUUAGCAUGGGACGCUAUUAUAGCUUGGGAGGCAACCGAUCGGUAUUUAUAUUUAUUAGUUAGCUAGCCUUAUUAGCGGUCCUCAUCAUAUGUGAGUUGAGCACUUAGCGUGGGACGCUAUUAUAGCCUUAUUUAGUGGUCCUCAUCAUAUGUGAGUUGAGCGUUUAGUGUGGGACGCUAUUAUAGCCUAGGAGGCAUCGACCUGAGCCUGGGAGGCUCCUUUUUCAUGGUGAUAACUCUUCCCCUAUUUUAUUCUUCUCAAUAAUAUAUUUGAUUAACCAGCGGGGCUGGUUUAUCUCCUCUUAUGAGAUUUAUGUUUUAACUAACCAGCGGGGCUGGUUUGUCCUUUAUUAAGUGAUUUUGGAUUUAAAGUUUUAAGGACGUUUAAGUUGCAUGUUGUUAAGUUUUAAAAGUUGAAAAGUGGGAAAGUAUAUAAGUUUUAUAAUUGUUAAGUUACUGAAUUUAUUUUCGUCCACUCACUCUAACAUUUUUAAAUUAUUUUCCCCUAGGCCAUUUGGUUUAUAAAUGCCCAGUUUGCAGGCUAAGUUAUUUGAGGACGAGCGUACAUGGAGUCGAGGCAUAGUCAGAGGCUGUUUCCGCUUAUUCAUUUUCAUUGUUUUCAUUCAUCAUUAGAUAUGCUCUGAAAGUCCAAUAAUAGCUUAUUAAAUGUCUUUGUUGUUGAUUGUGGAAUUAUUAUUAGAUGAGAAAUUGUUAUUGGGAGUUUUGAUGAACUUGGGGAGCAUGAAGGCUCCAGGAGACGAGGAUGGAUGUUUGUUUAUAGAAGUGUUAAGUUGGAUUUUUCAGGAAAGGGUUGUCCAUUUUCAAGGAAGGUUAUGCCGAAUUUUCGGUAAAUUUUCCUUGAAGGUGGACCCUGCAGGAUUUACCUCGGGUUUCAGGAUGAAAUUCGGGGUGGGUCCUGACAAAAAAUAUUUACGCUUUCCUAGUUUAAAUUUCCAUAGAAAAUAUACUGCAUGCGACAGCUCAAAAGCUCUCAACUCAUCAAUUGGCAAUUACAUGACUAGCUCCGGCUAGUCUCCAAACUUAAUAAAAUAAAGCCUCUCAGGCUAAAAUAAUAUAUAUAUAUAUAUAUAUAUGUAUUUACACUCGUCAUACUCUUUGUACGAAUUCCAUGAAGGAAUAAGAAAAAUAGAAAUUCAUACAAGGCUACUACGCUUGUGUCUAACAUUCACGUCACACCGUAAUUGGAUUUUACCUCAUUAUGGCGGAAAAGCACGAGUGUAUAUAUACGUGCAUAUUCCCUAUAUAAAUUACUAAAUUUAUAUAGGGCUAUGACGAUUGUGUCUAACGCUCACGUCACACCAUAAUAGAAUUUUACCUCAUUAUGGCGGAAAAGCACGUAUAGCUAGCUAGCAUUUAUUUAUAUGCAUACUAUCCUCAUAAUCAUCCAUAUACAUAUGCACCGAAAAUCUCAUUUUCAGUAACUCUCCAGAAAGAAUGAAAAUUGCCAAUUAUAAAAGACGCAAUAAAUAUAUGACUCCACCGAAAAUCUCAUUUUCGGUAACUUUCCAAAUAGCGAAGUUAACAAAUAAAAUAAGAGCAUUUACUUCCAAAAAUAACUUCGCGAAAAUAAACAAUUCCACAAAUUGAUAUUCAAUAAAAUCACCGCAUGCUUAUAAUUUAAAACGAACGUCCACUCACAACUUUAGGGAUAAGCCCGACGAUAUCCAAUUUGCUACUUAAGUGAGGUCUCCUCGAAUCUUGGCACAAUAACCAUGCUUAGGACCAAACUUCAAUUUCAGAAAAAAUAAUUCUUAAAUAUAUCACCCAAAACUCUUCCGCCUAGUCCACUACCCUUUCUAGGGUUAAGCUUAUUGGAUUGACGCCAAACUCCACCCAAAGCCUCAAUUCAUUCAUUUCAACAUUCUAAAACAAUAAUAAGGGAAAUCCAACGGUCAGAUUCUACCCCAUUAACCGCCAAAUUCACCAAUCUUUCAAAAAUCUCAAACCUAUCCAAAACUCCUCCAAAAAUUCCAAACUUCACAUCAUUAAACUCCCCUUAAUAUUACACAUUUAAAACCAUGAAAAUCCCCCUAGGGUCGUCUGCUCCGUCGGCAGCAGCGGCCGGCGACUGACUCUGGAGACCCCCAAUGCCUACUAAAUUUUAACAGCUUCAUCCUCUCAACACGCUCUACAACUUUCCUAACUAGCACCAAGACCAAUUUCAAGCUUAACUAGGCCAAUCGAACAAAAACUUACAAUAAAACCCUAGAACUUCAAACACUUGAAUCUCCUUACCUAGGCCAAGAGGGAGUGAAACCUUUGGAGGGAUGAAUGCACGGGAGAAGAGCUUCCUUUUGAGCUAAGUAGCUUCGGCUAUGGCAGCCGGAGGAGGAAGUUCCGGCGACGGAACACCACGGACAGCCCGAGCUUCCAAGCGCGAUUUCUCUUUCACAGCGGCGCUAGGGAGGCUGCCACCGGUCCAAGAAGGAAGAGGAGAUGAUGGCCGACCGUUUGUGACCGGUACGGUGACCUACGGUGGCCGAACGACAGCGGAUUGACGACGGGAAAAUCCGGUAGGAAAGAGGGAGGGCGUCGGGAGGAAAGAGAGAGAGAAGAGAGAAGAAAAGUGUUAGGCUUUUCCCAACCGGUUUCUACCGAAACCAAAUAUAAACCCAACUCCAAAAUAACACCACCAAAAUAAUACCCUAAUAAAAAUUACCUUUUUACUAGCUAAAAUUUACUAUUUUACCGUCAUCAAAUAUUUCUUCUACGAAUCAUUCCUCCGAAAAAAUCGCUCCUCAAAACCCCUCUAGGGACCUUUGAAACUAUAAACUCAUUUAUGAAGACGGUAAAACUCUUAUUAAUACCAAGCUAGUAAAUAAGGUAAAAAUUUAAGAGUCGGGAUGUGACAUGUCUUGUCCGGACCCGUCCCGGAUUUCACCUUGAAACUCGAAGUAAAUCCUGUGGAGUCCACCUCUGAGGAAAAUUUACCGAAAAUUCGGCAUAACCUCCCUUAAAAAUAGACAACCCUUCCUAAAUAAAAACACCUGCAAACACUUCUAAAAGUUCCAACUCCAACCUUAUAACUCCUGGAGCCUUCGUGCUCCCCAAAACACAACAUCUCCCAAUUUAUUUACUAACUUUAACACUUAAAAUCUCACAACCAACAAUCACAGUUCAGAGCAACUCUAUUAGAGGAGAAAAGAACUAGAAAUAUAGAAAUGAGCAGAAGCUAUACUAUUAACUAUGCCUCUUCUCCAUGUACGCUGGACCUCAAUUAUGCUAACCUGCAUACUGGGCAUUUUUAAAAUAAAGGCCCAGGGGAAAACAUUUGCAAACGUUACAGUGAGUGGACAAAAAUGAAUUCAAUAAAAAUUAUUUAUGCAUUCCCAAUUUAAUUUUCAUAGAAAAUAUGCUGCAUGCGACAGCUCAAAGCUUUCUACUCACAAACUGGCAAAUACAUGACUAGCUCCGGCCAGUCUCCAAAACUCAAUAAAAUGGAGCCUCUCAGGCUAAACUAUAUAUAAAUAUAUAUGUGUAUGUAUUUACACUCGUCAGACUCCUUGUACGAAUUCUAUGAAUAAAAUAGAAAAAUAGAAAUUCAUACAAGGCUACUACGCUUGGGUCUAACGAUCACGUCACACCAUAACGGAAUUUUACCUCAUUAUGGCGGAAAAGCACGAGUGUUUAUACGUGUAGACUCCCUAUAUGAAAACCUAUAUGAAUCGGAUAAGAAAGUAGUUUUCAUAUAGGGCUAUGAUGCUUGUGUCCAACACUCACGUCACGCCGUAAUAGAAUUUUACCUCAUUAUGAUGGACCAAGCACGUAUGGCUAGCUAGCAUUUAUAUACAUACUAUACUCAUAAACAUCCAAUAUACAUAUCCACCGAAAAUCUCAUUUUCGGUAACUCUCCAAAAGAUGAAAAUUGCCAAAUAUCAAAAAAAGCAAUAAAUUUCAGCAGAAGAAUAACUGAUCAACAAUAGAAUGCAUCGCAUGCUUUUAAUUAAAACAAAAGUUCACUCACAGUGAUUCUGUUGCAUUUGCUGUCAAGACAAGACAACGAAGACGAGCUCGGAAAAUCCUCCUAUUCUUUUUCGAUUUAACCCCCUUCUUUCACUUCUAAGAAUGCACAGUAAAGUCCCUAAUAAAAACUAAAGGGUAAGAGAACAAUAUAACCAACUCCCCUUCAUAACCAUUGAAACCAAUUCUCUUAUAUCCUUUUAAUUAAACAAACACACACAUGACUCCCAAAACAAUAAUACCCUUAACUACCAUUUAACUUAGGAGAUUCACCUCUCGGUCAAAAUGGCAAAUGCACCCAAAAUACUCUUUGCAUUCAGAAGUUUUCAUUGUGCACCCAAACCUUUCCUCUAGUCCAAGCCUACAUGCAACCCCACAAUUCCAUAAUUAUAUUCAAAACUCACAACACAAUUCCGAAUUCAAUAGCCGAGAAUUAAAACCUUCUCACCUUGCGGUUUCAAAAGAUUAACACACGGUGCUCCUCCAAUUACUCUUUGCACCCAAAGUGGAAAUUAGCAUCCAACACCAAUCUUCAUUUGCUACACUGCCCUCCACCAAAACUAAACCCAAUAAUAACAUUAACUCCAUCUCCCUAUCCAACACCAAUCUUUCUAACUGUUAAUUUGCUGCCACCUAUUAAUGUAAAAACACUUGAAGUUUAUCUUCCAGUGCCAGUAGUUGUUUUUAAACUUGAUGCCCAAGUUUAAGCUGCUCACUCGGCAGCUAUUUGCAACCCACAAGUCUGAUUGAGGUUUUCAGACUUUCACUUGUGAUUGGCUGCAUGUAGUCAUGUGUUAGGCAUAAGCUAGCAAGUAGGUGAACCAGCAUUUCAAAUAAGACAAAGCAGCAAUCCAAAUUAUUGUUAUUAUUAUUAUUAUUAUUUUUUUUUUAAGUUUGGGGUUUCACAGAACGUCACGGGGUUAAGACUUAACAUGGAUCUCCUGGAAGAGCGCCGCGACAGGGUACACCUCAGGAAUGUCAACUACAAACAAAAGAUUGCUCAACACUACACCAAGAAAGUUGUUCCCCGCCCCCUAAAGGUAGGCGAUUGGGUUAUGAAGGAAGUCAUUCCCCACCCCACUGGACUCAAAUCAAAGUGGGAAGGCCCUCUCGAGAUAGUCAAUGCCUCAGGACCAGCUACAUUCUAUCUCCGGGACACUGAUGGCUGAGUACUACCCCGCACCUGGAACGCUCUCCACCUCCACCUCUACCCCAUUUAAAUUAACAGACCCGGCAUAGUAGCUAGUACUUCAUUAUUGUGUACUUCAACCCGUUAGUGGCUCACAUUAAGUGUACACCUUGCCCAUUAGCGGCCUACCCUAAAUGAAGAUGUUAUGUUUUUUAUCAUUUUUAUAACAUACCGUAUCAAGAACACGAAACAACAAAGCAAACAGUAGUCCACAAACAAAAGCAUUCAUUAAAACAAAUAAGAAUCAACAUGGACUCCUAAGCAAUGCAUAAAAAACAAAUUGUUCAGAUGGCUAACAUUGUUUUACAAGCAAACAAAAGAAAGCAAAUAAACCUAACAAUAACAGCAAAUUACAAAGCAUCAUCAUUUCUCCCCAGAGGACGCGCCACUUGACUUAUUCACGCUUCUGCCACUCCUUGAACCGCUACCACACCCACGACUGUGGCUGAUAUUCACCGACACCCUCUGUCCAUAAGCAUGCUUAGAGCGGUCACGUGACGUUGGUGGAGGCCUCACUGAAACAUUAGGGCGCACCAGGGAACUCACUUGUUGCACCUCAGUGAUAGGGGACUUGCUCGCUGAGGUCUUUUGCACUUCAGAACGCGGUGGCGCCACAAGUCUAGGUGCUUGAGGGAUAGUUGGUUCAAUAACAGAGGAUGUGACCUGAGAUACCACCACUUGAGCAGAAGGGGAUCCCUCAGGACGCGAAGCCCUUAGUGGAGAAGCAACGAUCACCGCAAGUGGCUGAGGCGUACCCACAGUAGGAACUUCUUUUGGCACGGCAGAGGAUGUAGCGCGCUAGGCCUCAUGCUGCUUAGCCAGAGAUCAAGAGAUCUCAGCUUGCUUCCUUUGCUCUGAGGUCAUCUGUUCCCAAGCCUUCUUCGCCACAUCCCUCUCGGCAUACCACUUGCGGAUGGCCGCUUCAUUUAUCCAGCCAAUUUGGCACCAGUCUUGCUUAGCUCAUCUUGUCCCCGGUUAUAAGCGCUCCUCAGUUGCUGCUUACACACUUCACUCUCCCGAAACACCCUCUCCCCAGCCCCAGCAGCCCUUGCACACUUCAGCUUCCACACUCUCUCUUACUUCGCCAGGGCUUGCGUUAACCUCGCCACCUCAGCUUCCAGAGACACCGCCUUGGCAAUGGCCACCUCCCCAGCCUCCACCUGCUUGUUUUUCUCCUGCACAGCUUCCUUCAACUCAGCCACCUCCUUCCCAGAUGCAGCAGCCUGAUCUCGGAAGAUAGCAACAUCUUGCUCCAGACGCUGCGAGAGGGCUCGGUUAUUCUCUUCCGCCUCCCUCAACUGCUGGCAUUUAGCCUCGGCAUCCCCCUGCAAGUGAGCAACAACCCUCUCACUUGCAGCAUACAUCAGCAGCGUCGCCUGCAGACAGCACCAAAAUGUAAGCAAAAAGGCAGGGAACUAAAGGACAAAAUGACCAUUGUGCACACUUACCCGAGUUAGUUUCUCCUUGGCAAGAGCUACACAAGCUAGAGGAUCAAUCUCCUCCAUGCAUGGAUGUCACGAGAGCGGUGACACAUGUCAUAUGCCAUCUGAGCUAGGGAAGGCUGCACCUCCCCGGUCCCCUCUAGAGCUUGGGUGAUCUCGGCCAGGCUCCCCAAGCUCUUGGAACGCCCCUCCUUACGGGACUUCUUUGGUUGGCCUUCACGUGACGACUCGACCCUUUCUUUCCUCUUUCGGGUCCUUGUCAUGACAACCUCUUCUUACCCUUGCCCAAUGGGUUCCACCUCCUUCACCACAACAUCCUCGCCACCAGUUUGGGGCUCACCCACAUUACCCAAAGACGUAUCUUCCACUCCUACUGGCUCCGCAUAAGCUCUUCCUCCACCGGAACCUGCUCAUGAUAGUCCCCGUGGUCGCCACCCUCAGUGUCCGUUUCCUCGUCAUUCACCUCUUGAUCACCCAAGCCCAUAUAUUGCUUCUGCCACCAAGGGAGGCAAAUAAGCAUAAUCCUCGUCCGCCAGCUUCAACCUCAAAAAAUCAUCCUCACCCUCAUCCAGCUCCACCUCUUUCCUCUCGCUAGUCUCCAAGUCGAUAUCGUACCGCUUGACAUGAUCAACCUUGGCACGUAACCCAUCCAGUACGUCCUCAUCCGACACCUUGUCAUAAGGACCUUCCUUCUUCCGCGACCCACCGUCCCGAGGCAUUGUCACUACACCAAACAAAAGAUGAGGAUCAAGUAGAGACCAGAAAGCAUAACCGAAAUGACUAUAUAUGCCAAGGCAGCAUAUCCGAUACGAGCUCCUAGACUCGAAUGCCCACAGCACCCGGCGUAUUCGACGCUCCAUCAGCUCGGUUAAUUUAUACUCUUGGGGCAUGACUUGUAUACAAUUCAUGCAAGCGAACGUAUCGUUGUCAAGAUAGGGAAGUAUUUGUGCCCAAGUUAUCGUACCAUGGGGAUUAGUGGCUAACCCACAAUCCUAAGCUAAUCGGAACAAAAGUCACUAAGCAAACAAAGAAAAAGAAAAAAAAUACUACUCUAAAGCACCAAGCCUUAGCAAUGCUCGGCCUCAGUUAUCACCAAAGCCUAAUCAAUACUAAAUGCCUAGUGAUGGGUAAUUACAAUGAGUCGAUAUAUAAAAUGGAGAUUGAAUGGGGAAUUAACUAAAUUGACGAAAAACUAAAUAAAAAUAAACUACUAACUAAUGAACUAGAGAAUGAUGAGAACAUGGGAGUGUCGGGUGAUUCACACUAACUCAUAUGCAAACAUCGAUACCAAUUUCACAAAUGCAUAUCCUAUUGUAUCAAAUCCCGUAUCUAAUACCGGUUAAGGCUACUAGACCAAUUAUCCUUUCGGUGUAUCGAUUAUGCCGGUUAAGGCCACAAUCAACUCUCUAACAUGGGCAUUACAUCGGUUAAGGCCGUAACAUCCAAAUUAGAGGCCUAGAGUGCAAGAUAAUAGAGACCCAAGCAAGCUUAGCUACAAUCAAGCUAGCUAAUGGUUACCACACUUCAAAUCCUAGAUGCACAAGACUAAUAAGUUGUCAAUUUAUCAAUCUAUCCAUCAAAUUGUCCACAACAUAAUCUCAAAGGGUGACAAAACCUAGAAACAUAUUUCUAAGGACCAACACAUUCAGAUUCAAAGCAUACACAAUGUAAAUUGCAUUUAUAUCAAUCAAAGUACCAACAUUAUACAAAAUGAGUUUAGGGCUUCAAUACCCUAACUCCCAAAAUUAAAUCACUCACAACCCAUAGUCAAAUAGAUCAUCAAUAGCAUAUAAGUUAAAUAGCUAUCAUUCUAGCAUUGGUAUGGCGCCCUUUGAGGCUCUUUAUGGGAGGCAGUGUCGUACGCCUUUGUGUUGGAAUGAAGUAGGGGAAAAAGAGCUUUGUGGCCCAGAGUUAAUCCAUGUUACGAAUGAGAAGAUUAAAGUGGUUAGAGAUAGACUCAAGACUGCUCAGAGUAGGCAGAAGAGUUAUGCGGAUGUCCGUAGGAGAGAUCUUGAAUUUCAAGUGGGUGAUUGGGUGUUCCUGAAAUUAUCUCCUUGGAAAGGGGUUGUGCGUUUCGGUAAGCGUGGGAAGCUUAGUCCGAGGUAUAUUGGCCCUUAUGAGAUUAUAGAGCGAGUUGGCUCACUUGCUUAUCGAUUAGCUUUGCCUCCAGAGUUAUCCCGGAUACAUAAUGUGUUUCAUGUAUCCAUGCUUCGCAAAUAUAUUGCCGAUCCUUCUCAUGUGCUGCAAGAGCAGCCGAUCAGUUUAACGAGAGAUUUGACCUAUGAAGAGGAACCGGUUCAGAUUCUCGACCGAAAGGAGCAAGUGCUUAGGAAUAAGACAAUCCCGCUUGUCAAGGUUCUGUGGAGAAGUCAUCAAGUAGAAGAAGCUACUUGGGAAUCAGAGGAGCAAAUGAUGCAGCAGUAUCCGUAUCUCUUCGGAUGACAUGUAUGUUAAUUUCGAGGACGAAAUUUUUAUAAGGAGGGGAGAAUUGUCACAUCCCGACCCUUAUAUUUUUACCUUAUUUACUAGCGUGAUUAUUAUAAGAAUUUUACCGUCCCAGUCAUGGAGUAAAUAGUUUAAUUGGUCCCUAGAGGGGUUUCGGGGACGAUUAUGUGCGGAGGAUAAUUCGUAUGGGGAAAAUACGACGACGGUAAAAAUAGUAAAUUUUAGCUAGUAAAAGGUAAUUUUUAUUCGGGUAUUAUUUUUCGGGGUGUUUUUAUUUUUGGAAGUUUGGGUUAAGUGUUGUGGACUGGGUUGGGGUGAGGCCCAAAACCCUUUUUCUCUUCUCCCUCUCUCCCGAUUUUCUCUCCUCCCACCCGGUUUUCCCCUCUCUACACCCAGAAGAAUUUCCGGCCGUCCUUCCGCCGCCGUCCGACCUCCGUUCGCCGCCGGACCGGUCCCGUUCGGUCGGUCUCCCUCCCAGCAACAUUUCUAGACCGGUGAGAGGAGCCCUAGCUCCGCCGUGAGAGAGCGGUGCCACCCGAAAGCUCCGACUGCCGAAUCGGUUUUCUCGCCGGAACUUCCUCCUCCGGCCACCAAUCCGGGCAAGCUUGGUACGGUUUUGUAGCCCUCCUCCCGUGCAACAACCCCUCCAAACAGCUCCCUCCCUCUUGAGCUAGGUAAGGAGAAAUUUGAGGUGGAAGUUUUAUGGUGUUUAAGUUGUUUUCGUUCGAUUAGCCUAGUUAGGCUUGGAAUUGGGUGAUGUGUUAGUCAUGAAAGUUGUAGAGGAGAUUGAGAGGAAGAUUCUGUUAAAAUUUGGUAGCAUUUGCAGGUUGCCGGAAAACGGCUGCCGGCCGCCGCUGCCGGCGCCGGCGCCGGUUAGGAGAUUUUUAGGGUUUUAAAUGUGGAAUAUUAAGAGGAGUAUAUUGGUGUGAUUUAUGGAAUUUUUGGAUGAGAUUUGGUUAGGUUUGUGAAUUUCCGAAGUUUGGUAUUUUUGGCGGUUAAUUAAUGUAGAAUCCGGCCGUAGGAUUUAAGUCGUAUUUUGGAGAGGUUGUAUUUACGACUGUUGAGUAUGAUAUUUAAGUUCGGAUCGUUCCGAUGUAAGAAUAUCGAAGUUAGGCAAUGAUGAGCGUAAUUAUGGCUCUCGGGUAAUUUUGCCUAUUUUGAUUAAAUAUUGGAUUUUUUUGGUUGGGAAUUAAUAUUAUAUUUGGAACAGGACGUGAGGAGGCUCGAGCAGACGAGACCCCAGAUCGGCAUCAGGCUUAGGCCUAAUUUGUGAGUGGACGUUUAUUUUAAAUAAAUGCGUGCUAAAGUUCACGAUUGAAUAAUUAAUGUCGUGGAGUAUUUUGACGUCAUUUUAAUUUUUGACGAUUUUUAUUUCUCGCGGAGAGAUACCGAAAAUGGGAUUUUCGGUGGAUAUAAAUAUGUAUUUAUGAGAGAGUAUGUAUAUAAAAUGCUAGCUAGCCAUAUGUGUCUGUCCACCUUAAUGGCGUAGCAUGUAGCCGCAUUAUGGUGUGACGUGAGCGUUGGACGUAAGCGUAGUAGCCAUAUUUGAGUGUUUAAUUCAUAUAGGGGGUAUGGACACAUAUUUAUACACCCGUCUGUCCACCUUGAUGGCGUAGUGUAGCACCGCAUUAAGGCGUGACGUGAGCGUUGGACGCGAGCGUAGUAGCCCUAUAUAGACCCAUGAAUUUAUAUAGGGAGUAUGGACGAGUGUAAAUACAUACAUAUAUUAUAGAGUCUAAGAGGCUCGAUAUUUUAUGGGAUAAAAGUUUUAUCGCUUGCGGCAUGCAUUCGAUUUUUCCUUAGAAAUUAAUUUGGGGAAACAUAAAUAUUUUAUUUAUUAUUUUAUUUUUGUCCACUCACUCUAACGUUAUUAAAUGUUUUCCCCUGGGCCCUUCGUUUUAAAUUGCCCAGUCUGCAGAGUUCGGGUUGGAUCUAGUAGGAGACGAGGCAUAGUCACCCGCAUUUCUGCCAGUUUUCGCCAGUAGGUUACCUGUUCAACCUACUCGUGUUUUCUUGCUUCCGCUUGUGUUUAGUAGCUCUGAAUACUUUAGAAUUUUUGUAUAGUAUGCGAUGUUCAGAAGUGAUAAAUUAAGAGUGUAAUUUGAAAUUUUCGAGUUAGGGUUGUCCAUCUGCAAGGGAGAUUUUCUUAAUCUUUUCAGUAAAUUUUCCUUGGAGGUGGUCCCCGCACGACUUACUCUGGGUUUCAGGGUGAAAUUCGGGGUGGGUCGUGUCAUCGGAGCUAUUUUUAAUAAUAUUUGGAAGUUGGUAUUAUCCAGAAAUUUAUUAAAAAUAAUAUUCUAAGUCGGUUUAAUCUCAGCCGUUAGAUUGGGAAUACAUAUACGUUUGGGUUAGAUUGUAAAACAGAAGAACCGAGCUUGGACCGACUCGGUCUCGAGUUGCGAUUCCUCCUCCGUCGAGCGGCUGUCUCUCGACAUCCAACCGGUGGCCAGAGCUCCAUAUCGUCGUCCCCAACAUGACUGUGUUGUUAGAUUUCCAAAACAAGCUCGGAGAAGGGAGAAUCGAGUAGAAGAAGGAUUUCUGGGUUCGCCGGUGAUCUUCGGAUUCCGGCCACGGCGGUGAGCAUGAACGGUGCUGGUAGCUUUGCCUCAACUCCCUGAACAUCGUUGUGCUAUUGGUUUUUGAAUAGAAGCCUUGAGGAGGGAGAAUCGAACCUCAAAAGUUUUUAGGGUUUUCCGGUCGUGUUCUUCAUUUUCCGGCGAGCUUCAAGUAUCAAUUCAGGUAUCAAAGUUGGUCCAUUUGUCGAACUCUACCUGUUUAUAUGCUUGAAUUCGAGUUUGAUUAAGUUUUGGAGAAGUUGGUGUUUGGGCAGACGUCAGCCGCCGUGAGUACUGCUGUGUACGGCGAUGACAGGUGGUGGUUCUUGUAGUUUCUGGUUUUUCAUAGUAUACUGAUUGUGGAGGGAUGCUUUGAUAUGUAUUUGAAUGGCAGGAGAUUGAAAAUUGGAUGAAGUGGGUUUUGGGGCAGUGUUGUUCGGUGGCGAAAAUGAUGGUUGAUAGUUCUGGGUUUGGUUUAUGUUUUGGAUGAAAUUGCAGGACAUGAUGUUGGUGUUGUAUAUGCUUGAAGUCUAGAAAUGGAAGAGUUGGGAAGUAGAGGAUUCAAGUCGAAUUGUGUUGUUGGAAUGAAGAACAGUAGUGUUCUUCUAUUCAUUGAAGUGCUUGAAUUCAAGAGUUUGAAAGUUGAUAUCGGCAAAAUAGAACAUGGGUGUCCAUAGUAGAUUUGGAGUCAAGUUGGUACUUGGAGCGCAAUUUGGAUAUGAUGACGGCAUUGAGCGUAAAGGCGAAUAAGAAUGUGGAAAUAAAUUGAAAUGAGUACAUUUGAUUCGGAAAUCAUUGGAAAAGAAAAAGGAUUCGGUACGAGGAUCGAAUGCGAGUAGCUGGAUUGCAGAAGGAUAAGGAUUUCUGAAUGUGUGUUGCAAAGUUACUAAUUUUAGCUAGUGUCAGAAGUAGCACUUGGAUUCCAGGUAGGGUCUCUCUCGGGGAACUUUUCUUUAAAUCGGUAAUUAGAUUUUAAUUGAAAUGGGUGAUUUGUGUGUCAUUGAGUGAUUAACUCUUGGUUGUUACCAUUUUCGAUAAAAGUAUGUGAUAUCGUUGAAAUAUAUGAACGAUGUUUUCGCUUAUCAGAAAAGAAUGUAUUGAAUGUUAUGAUAUGAGUAUUGAUAUUUGUUGCAUACAUUUUGCAUUGUGAGAAAUUGUGAGAUUAGUGAGAAUGGUGAUUAUGGAGAUGUGAAUGAGAUUUGAUAGAAUGGAUACAUUUUGUGUAGUUGAGUUUCCUGAUGGGUUGUCCAAGAUCCAAGGUAGCCCACACGUGCACAAAUUCAGGGAAUGUAUGCCUUUCGAUGGCAGACAUCGACAAAACGAUCUUAUCGGGUUUCGGGUUUGGAGGCCAUGAGUAUAACAAGAUGACUAACAAAAGAGGUACAAGCGGUGAGAUAUUACUGAUUGUUAGAUCAUAUAUUCGAGACAUCUGAGUCACCCCCGGUUGGUAAAAUACACGGUAUGGGACGUGUAGGCUCACAUGUCUUUGAUGUAUGGACUGAAUGCCAGUAAUCGAGGAAGUCAUUCAUUAGCAUAAAUGCAUCAAAUUUUCGUUAUAUAUUUAAAGUAUUGUUUGAUUGUUUGAUAACUUGUUUGUGCGAAGUAGUUAAGAAUAACUUAAGAAGGUUAGGCCCUACUGAGCGUAAGCUCACCCCUAUAGAGUUUUUGUUCAGGUUUGUACGAGGACACAUGUUUCUAGAAGACUAACUGUGACGUUAGCUUAAGUGUACAAGAGACGAGAAGUACUGAAGAUUAGAAGCCUCAAGACCUAUUUUGUUUUUGUAAUUGGUUUUGUUAUUUGUAAACGUUUUAUUUUCUUUUAUUUCUGGAAAAGUAGUUGAAAUUUGUAUUAUUUUUUUUACUUUUCCCGCUCACGCCUCGGGUUCGGCGUCAGGUGCUUGGAAACCACUGACACCGGGUUCGGGGUGUGACACCACACGUAUAUACACCCAUCCUCUUCGGUCAUAAUGAGGAAAAAUUUGAUUAUGGCGUGACGUGAGCGUUAGAUGCAAGACUCGUAGCCUUGUAUGAAUUUCUAUUCUUCUACUUUGUUCAUAGAAUUCAUACAAGGAGUCUGACGAGUAUAAAUACAUACAUAUAUAUAUAUAUAUAUAUAUUUAUGUAUAGUUUAGCCUGAGAGGCUCCAUUUUAUUGAGUUUUGGAGACUGGCCGGAGGUAGUCAUGUAUUUGCCAGUUUGUAAGUAAAAAGCUUUGAGCUGUUGCAUGCAGCAUAAUUUCUAUGAAAAUUAAAUUGGGAAUGCAUAAAUAUUUUUAUUGAAUUCAUUUUUGUCUACUCACUUUAACGUUUGCAAAUGUUUUCCCCUGGGCCUUUAUUUUAAAAUGCCCAGUAUGCAGGUUAGCAUAGUUGAGGUCGAGCGUACAUGGAGAAGAGGCAUAAUCAAUAGUAUAGCUUUCGCUUAUUUUUAUAUUUCUAGUUCCUUUCCUCUCAAUUAGAGUUGCUCUGAACUGUGAUUGUUGGUUGUGGGAUUAUUCUUAUUAAAGUUAGUAAAUAAAUUGGGAGAUGUUGUGUCACACCCCGGUUCUUAAGUUAUUUUACGGUUAUUUACUUUGGUAUUAUUUUAGUCUUUUACCGUGUUGAAUAACCGUUUAUUACCUAAGGACCCUAAAGUUGACUUUCUUUUCCGUUUAGAAUUUGGAGAAACUUUCUUCAUGAAAGUUGUAGAGGACGUUAAUAUGAGUUCGUAGACAUGCUAAGUGUUAAAAUCGGAGUUAGCAUGAAAAAGUUAUUAUCUAAAAGAGUAAAUUUUUGAGGUGGUAAAAGAAGGUAUUUUUUUAGUGGGUAAAAUUUAUUGGGUUUAAGGGUUAUGGAUUGGCUGUGAGCAGCCCAUAUCCUCCUUCACUCUCUCUCUUUCUCCCUUCCCUCUUUUCCCCGAGCUCCCCGAGCCCCUCUCCGCCGGAAGCUCCCAGCCACCAGCUGCCAUCGUCCGGCCAGCGUUCGGCUGCUGCUCCAGCCCAGUUCGGACCCCCAUCUCCUCCUCUCCCUCCCCGGCCUAGCCCCCGAGCCUCUAACCCGCCGGAAGAGGAGAAAACCCGCCGGAGACGCCGGGAAGCAUUUCGCCGAAAAUCCCAUUUCCGGCCACCAAAACUUGCAAUUCUUAGCUCAUUUUGUAGCUCUCAUCAAGGUGAGUAUCCCCUCAAAAGGAAUAAAUCUUUCUCGUUGUGGUUACGGAGAAAUGUAUAAUUGAAGUUUUAGGGAUUUUUGAUGUUUUUAGUCGAUUACCCUAGUUAGCCUGAGAAUUGGACUAAGUGCUAGUUAGGAAAGUUGUUGUGCUUGAUAAGAGGAUUAUUCUGUUAAACUUUGGUAGAAAUUGGAGGUCGCCGGAAUCGGCCUCCGGCCGUCGCUGCCGGCCGAGCCGGCGCCGGCGCAGGAGCUGUUUGGGAGAUUUUAAUGUUUUUAGAUUUGGAAUAUUAAGGGGAGUUUAUUGAAGUGAGUUAUGGAAGUUUUGGAUAGGUUUGUGAAUUUCCGAAGUUUGGUAAUUUUGGCAGUUAAUUAAUAUAGAAUCCGGCCGUAGGAUUUAAGUCGUAUUUUGUGGGAAGUUGUUUUUACGGCUGCCGGUAUGUUCGGUGAAGUUUGAACCGUAUUGAGUUAAGAAUGGCGAAUUUGGGCAAUGAUGAGUGUGUGGGAGGCUCACGUUUAAUUUUGCCCAUUUUGUUCAAUUAUUGGAUUUUUGGUGGGAAAUUAAUUAUAUAUUUGGAACAGGACGAGAGGAGGCCCGAGCAGAGGAAGCCUCGGAGCGUCAUCAGGCUUAGGCCUAAGUUGUGAGUGGACCUUUAUUUUAAUUGAAAAGCAUGCGAUGAAUUAUCUGUUGAUCAUUUAUGUCUUUUCCUGAGAUUUAUUUAUUUCUCGGAUAUUUGGCAAUUUUCCUCCUUUGGAGAGAUCCCGAAAAUGAGAUUUUCGGUGGAUAUGUUUAUUGGAUGUUUAUGAUGAUAGUAUGUAUAUAUAAAUGCUAGCUAGCCAUACGUGUUUGAUCCGCCAUAAUGAGGUAAAAUACCAUUAUGGUGUGACGUGAGUGUUAGACACAAGCGUAGUAGCCCUAUAUGAAAAAUAUUUUCUUAUUUGGUUUAUUUAAGUUUUCAUAUAGGGAGUCCACACGUAUAUACACUCGUGCUUUUUCCGCCACACUGAGGUACAAUUCUAUUAUGGUGUGACGUGAGCCUUAGACGCAAGCGUAGUAGCCUUGUAUGAAUUUCUAUUUUUCUAAUUUGUUCUUAGAAUUCAUACAAGGAGUCUGACGAGUGUAAAUACAUACACUUAUAUAUGUUUAUAUAUACUUUAGCCUGAGAGGCUGUAUUUUAUUAAGUUUUGGAGACUAGCCGGUGCUGGUCGUGAAGUUGUCAGUUUUUGAGUUGAGCGCUUUUGAGUGAUUGCAUGCAGUAUUAUUUUAUUUGGAAAUUAAAUUGGGGAAGCAUAAAGAAAUACUUUUAUUUUAAUUUAUUUUUGUCUACUCACUCUAACUGUUCCACAUGUUUUCCCCUGGGCUCUUCGUUUUAAAUUGCCCAGUCUGCAGAGUUCGGGUUGGAUCUAGUAGGAGGCGAGGCAUAGUCACCCGCAUUUCCGCCCGUUUUCAUCAGUAGGUUACAUGUUUAACCUACUCGUGUUUUCUUGCUUCUGCUAGUGUCUAGUAGCUCUGAAUACUUUGGGAUUAUUGUAUUUUAUGUUUAGAAUUUCUGAAGGUUAAUUAUGUGAUGUUUGGACGUGUUGUAUUAAUAGUGUAUUUUGGAAUUUUCGAGUUAGGGUUGUCCAUUUUCAAGGGAGAUUUUAUCAAUCUUUUCAGUAAAUUUUCCUUGGAGGUGGUCCCCGCACGACUUACUCCGGGUUUCAGGGUGAAAUUCGGGGUGGGUCGUGUCAUGUUGUGAUGUGGGCAGCACGAAGGCUCUAGGAGUAGAAGGUUGUAGAUGGAUUUUUUUGAAGUGUAUGCAUGUAUUAUUAGGAAGGGUUGUCUAUUUUCAAGGGAGGUUAUACCGAAUUUUUUCGGUAAUAUUUUUUUUGGAGGUGGUCCCCGCAGGAUUUACUUCAGGUUUCAGGGUGAAAUUCAGGGUGGGUCUUGACACAGAAGCUGAAGAUACUAGGAGCUGAAAAUACUUACCUGUCUUCCGUACCGUCUCUCCCAAACAGGGCCAAACAAACUAGAUGGCAAAUCCACAACCCAACCUCUGCCGCUCAGAUUGGGCCUGACACGAAGUACGUUCUCGCCCAUCCAACGACACCGCCUCAAGGAUGUGUCGUCGAACUGGGCAUGCACUAUGAACAAGGGGCUGCUAGAUAGGGUUUUGAAGAGAAAAGUCUCUUUGUUUUAUCAAUUCUUGUUAAAAUUUGUAGCCCUGAUUUGAUGUCAACAGGUGAAAUCAAUCCUAAAAAUUAAUCAAAUAGUAAUUAAUCAGAGAUCUCCAAUGACCUAAUGUAUGGAUUUGUUACUAAGACAAUUGCGGUAACAAAAUUUGGGUACAAGGUUGGUUGUAACAGCUUGGAAACAGUCCCGCAUUGAUCAAAAAGAACAAAUUGUUUUUUUUAUGGAAGGGCCCUUACGACCAAUUUCAUUGAUCAAAAGCCAAAAUGGCGCGGAUACAUGCUUUCCCUUGCCAAACGUUUGGGAAAGUUAAUGACUUGACAUGGCAUGCUAGUACCAUUCAUUACAAAUUCCACUCACUUAAUUCGAUACAGAAAAGAAAAAAGUGAACCUAAUUAGACCAUGAAACAAAUCACAACAAUUAGGCACACACACAAAAUGCUUAGACUCCUAAAAAAGGAAUUAUUGUAAAUAGACAAGCUACAUACUUAGAAAAUGAGCUAAGGCAUGAACCCUAGCCCAAAUCUAGGCCCAAGCAACUCCAAAAUGGCCCAACCCAAAGCUCGAACAAGGGAGACCCAUGCCUGCAUCCACCACACCCUUUGCCGUCACUACUUCCCAAAGCAUCUUUGAAUCCUUCGUCCACGCCAUCGCCAUCCGAAACGAGUCAGAUCCACCAUGACCCUUACCACACAUGACAACAGCCAUGAUACCAUCAAUUUGCACCGAUCCAACAAGCUUCGCUGUCGACAAUAGAUAGCAAAAAAAUUCUGACGAAAACACGCCGUCGCAAUGCUCAGAUGAAAACAUGCCGCCGCAGGACUCAAAGCCAACAAGCCCCGAUCCCUUCGCUCAAAACUUCAAGCCAAAAAAACCAUGAAGAAACUACUUGGCAACUUGUAGAUCCCGUCCGACGGUCUCUACUCGGAGUCAUCAAAGCCCAAAGGCCAGCCUCUAACCGAGUUCGGCCACCGGAUGAGAUGGAGAUUUGGGUGUGGGAGUCGAGUGUCUUUCGGUUAUGUGUCUUGACCUAAUCGUUUCUUUAUUAUAAUAGAUUACAACAAAAUAACAAAAUGACAUGACAUGGACAAAGAAAAACGUGGUGUUAUAAGAAGUACAACACGAACAAUCAUAGAAAGUGCCAUAUAAGUUGAAGAAGCGGAGACACCAAUGCAAAGAGGAGUUAGCUACACUUCACUAGACUACAGAUUACAGAAUAAAUACAUAGAGCGAGGGAGUGUGUGAGGAAGAAAAGGGAUCAUGUUCCAUUGCCAGCCAAUCGUUCAUAAAUAUACGUCCCCCAUCUUUGUAAUUACCCAAAAAGCCCACUUCAAAGCUGGCACACCCAAACCUCAAAAACUUAAAUAAAAAAUAAUAAUAAUAAAAAGAAAAUAGAAACGGGAUGUUGUGGACUGUAGGAGCACUCUGCACUCCUAUUGAAGAAGCACCGCCCAAUUACUAAACUAGCAGCAUUUUUUCAGUCUUAGACCUAUUUUUGAAAGAUAAUAGUAAUUAAAAAUAAAUAGAAUAAUAGUUUUGGGAUUUGAGUAGUGCCCCCAGAUUAUGUAUUACAGAAAACAACCAAAUGGAGUGGCGCCCAUGUUCUAGUCAAUAUCAAAAUUCCCCACUUGGUCAAUCACCAAACCCCCGCUCUCUCUCCACUGCCCUACUCCCCUCGUCCCCUCACUAUCUUUAAGAUCAUAGCAAUCCCACAUCACAUAUCAACAUGCUUAACUGAUUUCUGAAAUUCUAGGGUUAUAAAAAAGUAACCCAACAUUUUUCUAUUUAACCCUUUCCCAAAAAAAUCAACUCUAAACUUUGAUUGAUCGUAACUUUAUCGUACGACAUCCGUUUUACGCGUGCCACAUGUCUACGAACUCGUAUCGCCGUGCUCUACAAAUUCCGUGAAAGAAGUUUCUUGAGAAACCCAAUGAAUAAAAAGUCAACUAAAAAGUCAACCAAAUAAAAUAAAUAAAUAAUAAUAGAAACUAGUAUCUAAAUUCCGGGGUAUUACAUGUACUCUUGGUUUACCUUAUGUGAUGUUGGGUUGAGUCCGUUAAUGUAGAUUUACUCAUACGACCUGUUAAAGCUUACCGGGUUUGUUGUUUAUAACCCGGUGCACUAAUUCAUGAUGUAGGGGUUAUACCUGCAAGUGAUGAUCAGCAGGGUUGAGGCGGAGGCAUAGUAGCUGGGUUCUAGAGGCUGUACAUUUUAUUUUUAAUAUUAUGGCUGUUUGUUUUUACGCUCUUGCAAGCGACUGUAUUUUACUAGACUUUUUGAAGUUGAUGUAAUUAAGGAGAGAUAAUGUUUAACUCAGUUAAUGAGUUUUGUUGACAUUUACAUUUCUAGCAUUUGAUUUUAGUUGGAAGUUGUUAAGCAGGUUUUGGAAUAUUAAGAUUUUGAGUUAUAUCAUGCCCAAAUUUUUGAAAAUUAUCCUUAAAAAAAUUGGGGUGUGACAAAUGACAUCCAUUACGAGAGCAUAUCUCAUCCCAGUGCGUGUUAGUGAGAGACCUAGCGCUAUAAGGUGAGUAUAAGCUUUUGUUCUUACUACGCUAUCUAACAAACACUACAAGAAUUCGGGGCAUUUACCGAGCAAAAUUUAUGGUGUGCACCAAUGCACACCGUAUUAUGUGCUCUUUUAUGGCGUGCUUUUAAUGCGUGUCGUAAAAAACCUCUGACAUGUAUUCUUUUACUGCGUGCUUUUAAUGCAUGCCAUAAAUGACCAAUCACAUUAAGUCUUUCGUUGCACGCAUGUAUAACGUGCCGUAAUCGUGAUAUGUUUUUACUGCACACAUAUCAAAUGUUUUCCUCUUCUAAGAAGUCCCGCACCUUUGCAAAGCCUCAAACGUCAACCCCCAAACCUCAAUAAUCUCGAUAGAGUUAGAAAGAAGCUCUAAUCCUCCAUCGAAUUCUACAAUGAGUUGCAAACCGGAAAGCCUGCAAAUCGGUUUCUAGGGAUUUCUGGCUGUGGUGGUGCAAGGUAGGUUUGUUUCUUCUUCUUCUUCUCUCUUAUCUUAAUCGAUUUUUGUAUUCUACUUUCUCUUUGAAGCGAUUAGAAUCGCUGAAACCCUUAAUCCUUUUAUUUCUCCGGUUAUGAAUGUCGUUGUUUCAACCCCAGCCGUCAGCCUUCCUCAUCAAUCGCAGCCCCAAACUAUCGUCGGCCACAAACUCUUGGGCUAUCAGACUUCGUGACAUUCGUUGUUGUGUACGGCUGAGAUUGUGAUUCUUAAUCAUAAAAUUCAGGUAUGGCUAAUAGUAAUCCCUAUUAUAGUGUGGGAUUGUAAAUUUCACAGUAAUGUCAAAAGUAAUUUUCUUUUAUAACCUAAGUAAGCUGUGAGUAGGUUGUUAAGUGUUUCAUUGUUAUGUCGAUUGCAAUAUGCUUAUAUGCAGAAGUGUAAAUGUAUUUUUUUGCUAGUAUCAAUUUUGGGAGUGUAAUGAUCUCAAUUUUAUUUAGGUUUAUUUAUCGAAUUGCUUUUGUGUGUUUUUUUUUUCUCUGACUAGGAUUUUGAUUUUGAUUAUAUUUUGGACUACCAAUUAUAUUUCCAAAUUAGAUUUUCUUUUCUACGUGUAUAGUUGUUCUUUAUUUAAUUUUGGGUGAAAAUAUUUAUUUGGGUCUAGAACUAUCCAGUCAUCAUCAGAAGCAGAACACGUUGCCCAUUCUUUUUCGUUCACGUGUCCCUAACUGAUUUCUCCAGAAUUUACUCGUCAGUCUCUCUUCCUCUUCUCCCUUCUCUUCUUGUUCUUCUUCCCCUUUUCUCUACUCUUCACUUCUGUCUCUACUCUGAUCAUCACUCUCUUCUCUAAAUCAACAACACCGAUUUCACUAGCUCACAAGGAAGAGGGGAGGAAUCGCCAUGAAAUUCGUUGCCAAAGAAUCUGAAAUUCUUUGUCUAUUCGCAGCUAACUCCUAUAAGUUUCAAUCUCUUGUAAGUUUCAGUCUUCUCUCUCUCAAACUAGUUAUCCAAUCUCAGUUGUUUCUGUCAAGACCCACCCUGAAUUUCACACUGAAACAUGAAGUAAAUUCUACGGGGACCACCUCUAAGGAAAGUUUACCGAAAAUUCGGCAUAACCUCUCUUGAAAAUGAACAACCCUUCCUAAUAAAACCUGCAUACACUUAUGAUAAACCAAAUCCAACCUUAAACUCCUGGAGCCUUCAUGCUCCCCCAAAUCACAACAUCUCCCAAUUAUUUACUAACUUUAAUAAGAAUAAUCCCACAACCAACAAUCACAGUUUAGAGCAAUUCUAAUUGAGAGGAAAUGAACUAGAAAUUUAGAAAUGAGCGGAAGCUAUACUAUUAACUAUGCCUCUUCUCCAUGUACGCCCGACCUCAACUAUGCUAACCUGCAAACUGGGCAUUUUUAAAACGAAGAGCCCAGGGGAAAACAUUUGAAACCGUUAAAGUGAGUGGACAAAGAUAAAUUAAUAAAUAAAAUAUUUAUGUUUCCCCAAAUCAAUUUCCAAGGAAAAAUCAAAUGUAUGCUGCAAGCGAUAAAACUUUAAUCUCGUAAAAUAUCGAGCCUCUCAGGCUCUAAAAUAUAUGUAUGUAUUUACACACGUCCAUACUCCCUAUAUAAAUUCAUGGGUCUAUAUAGGGCUACUACGCUCGCGUCCAAUGCUCACGUGACGUCUUAAUGCGGUGCUACACUACGCCAUUAAGGUGGACAGACGGGUGUAUAAAUAUGUGUCCAUACCCCCUAUAUGAAUUAAACACUCAUAUAGGGCUACUACGCUCACGUCCAACGCUCACGUCACACCAUAAUGCGGCUAUAUGCUACGCCAUUACGGUGGACAGACACAUAUGGCUAGCUAGCAUUUAUAUACAUACUCUCCUCAAUAUACAUAUUUAUACUCAACGAAAAAUCUCAUUUUUCGGUAACUCUCCAAAAGAAAUAAAAACGUCAAAAAUUAAAUGACGUCAAAACUCCAACAAUUUAAAUGUUCAACCAUGACCAUAGCAUGCAUAUUAUUUAAAACAAAAGUCCCCCCACAACUUUAGGCCUAAGUCUGACGUCGAUCCGAGGUCUCUUCUGCUUGAGCCUCCUCACGUCCUGUUUCCAAAUGUAAAAAUAAUUUCGCAACUAAAAAUCCAAAUAUUUAUACAAAAUAGGCAAAAUAAACAUGAGCUACUAUAUGAACUCCCUAUAUGAAAGCCUAAAUAAACCAAAUAAGAAAAUAGUUUUCAUAUAGGGCUACUACGCUUGUGUCUAACACUCACGUCACACCAUAAUGGUAUUUUACCUCAUUAUGGCGGAUCAAACACGUAUGGCUAGCUACCAUUUACAUAUACAUACUAUCAUCAUAAACAUCCAAUAAACAUAUCCACCGAAAAUCUCAUUUUCGGGAUCUCUCCAAAGGAGGAAAAUUGCCAAAUAUCCGAGAAAUAAAUAAAUUUCAGGAAAAGAAAUAAAUAAUCAACAGAUAAUUCAUCGCAUGCUUUUCAAUUAAAAUAAAGGUCCACUCACAAAUUAGGCCUAAGCCUGAUGACGCUCCGAGGUUUCCUCUGCUCGGGCCUCCUCUCGUCCUGUUCCAAAUAUAUAAUUAAUUUCCCACCAAAAAUCCAAUAAUUAAACAAAAUGGGCAAAAUUAAACGUGAGGCUCCUACACACUCAUCAUUGCCCAAAUUCGCCAUUCUUAACUCAAUACCGCUCAAACUUCGCAGAACAUACCGGCAGCCGUAAAAACAACUUCCCACAGAAUACGACUUAAAUCCUACGGCCGGAUUCUACAUUAAUUAACCGCCAAAAAUACCAAACUUCGGAAAUUCACAAACCUAUCCAAAACUCAUCCAAAAAUACCAUAACUCACUUCAAUAAACUCCCCUUAAUAUUCCAAAUCUAAAAAAACAUUAAAAUCUCCCAAACAACUCCGGUAGCGGCGGCCGGAGGCCGAUUCCGGCGACCUCCAAUUCUUAUGAAAUUUUAACAGCAUCUUCCUCUCAUCAUGCUCUACAACUUUCCUAACUAGCACAAACCCAAAAUCCAAGCCUAGCUAUGCCAAUCGAACAAAAACAUCAAAAACGCCCUAGAGCUUCCACCUCAAAUUUCUCCUUACCUGAAGCAAACCGGGGUGACUCCAUUUAGGGCAAGGCAGCUGGGUUAGAGACCUACAAAACCGUACCAAGCUUGCCCGGAUUGGUGGUCGGAGGAGGGAGAGGAGGUGAUGGGGGUCCGAACUGGGGUGGAGUGGUGGCUGGUGGCUAGUCGGACGGCGGCAGCUGGCAGCUGGAAAUUUCCGGCGAAGGGAGAGAGAGCACGGGAGGGAGAAGGAAGAGAAAAGAGAGAAGAAGAGAAAGAGAGGAAAUGGGUUGGGCCUCUCCAACCGGUCCAACUCCACUAAUAUACCUAACUCCCACAAAUAAAACACCCCGAAAAAUAAUACCCGAAAAAAAUUACCUUUUACUAGCUAAAAUUUACCCCUUUUACCGUCGCCAUAUUUUCGUCCUACGAGUAAUCCUCCGCACAUAAUCGUCCCCGUAACCCCUCUAGGGACCAAUUAAACUAUUAACUCAGUGACGGAGACGGUAAAAUUCUUAUUAAAAACAAGGUAGUAAAUAAGGUAAAAAUAUAAGAGUCGGGAUAUGAUAAUUCUCCCCUCCUUAUAAAAAUUUCGUCCUCGAAAUUUGCAUACCUGUCAUCCGAAGAGAUAGGGAUACUGCUGCAUCAUUUGCUGCUCUGAUUCCCAAGUAGCUUCUUCUACUUGAUGACUUCUCCAAAGCACCUUGACAAGUGAGAUUGUCUUAUUCCUAAGCACUUGCUCCUUUCGGUCGAGAAUCUGAACCGGUUCCUCUUCAUAUGUCAAAUCUCUCGUCAAACUGAUCGGCUGCUCUUGCAGCACAUGAGAAGGAUCGGCAAUAUACUUGCAAAGCAUGGAUACAUGAAACACAUUAUGUAUCCUAGCUAACUCUGGAGGCAAAAGUAGCCGAUAAGCAAGUGAGCCAACUCGCUCUAUGAUCACAUAAGGGCCAAUAUACCUCAGACUAAGCUUCCCACGCUUACCGAAACGCACAACCCCUUUCCAAGGAGAUAAUUUCAGGAACACCCAAUCACCCACUUGAAAUUCAAGAUCUCUCCUACGGACAUCUGCAUAACUCUUCUGCCUACUUUGAGCGGUCUUGAGUCUAUCUCUAACCACUUUAAUCUUCUCAUUCGUAACAUGGAUUAAUUCUGGGCCACAGAGCUCUUUUUCCCCCACUUCAUUUCAACACAAAGGCGUGCGACACAGCCUCCCAUAAAGACCCUCAAAGGGAGCCAUACCAAUGCUAGAAUGAAAGAUAUUAUUAUAGGCAAAUUCCAUCAAAGAUAGGUUUUUAUCCCAACUUCCUCUGAACUGCAAGACACAAGCCCUCAACAUAUCCUCCAACGUCAGAAUUGUCCUCUCGGACUGCCCAUCAGUCUGAGGAUGAAAAGCAGUGCUGAAGAGUAAUUGGGUACCUAAAGCUGCCUGAAGAGCUCCCCAGAAUUUAGAAGCAAAUCGAGGAUCCCGAUCUGACACUAUUGAUUCAGGAACACCAUGAAGCCUCACAAUUUCAUUCACAUAAAGCUCCGCCAAUUUAUCCAAUUUAUACUUCUUUCCCACUGGCAAGAAAUGUGCAGACUUGGUGAGUCGAUCCACAAUCACCCAAAUACCGUCAUGCCCUUUACGGGUACGAGGUAAACUGAAAACGAAAUCCAUGGUGAUGUGGUCCCACUUCCACACUGGAAUAGGCAACGGCUCAAGCAAUCCAGAAGGCUUCUGCCUUUCAGCUUUUACUUGCUGACAAACCAGACAUCUACUCACAUAAGCUGCAAUUUCCCUCUUCAUGUUUGGCCACCAAUAAUAAUUCUUCAAAAUCCGAUACAUUUUUGUGCUACCCGGAUGAGCAGCAUAUGCAGAGCUAUGAGCUUCCUCCAUAAUCUCAUUCUUCAACUCUUCAUUUCUUUUUGGAACUACAUUAGCCGAUUCUUAAACAUAGAGUCCCAUCUCUUCUAACUGAAAAAUGAUCGGCAGCGGCUCCAUUCGAAGCUCUUUCCAUUCAAUCAAACUAUGGAAGGAUCAUUAUACUGUGCUUCCCGCACUCUAUCAACCAAAACUGGCCUCACAUGAAAACUGGCUAUCAAAGCACCAACCUCAUCUACUGAUAAAUCCACUCCUGUAGCUUGCAACUCACAAAGAAGCGGAACACGAACCAUCUUUAUAUGAGAUAAAGAUAUAGAGGGAUUUCGACUAAGAGCAUCCGCUACCACAUUAGCUUUUCCAGGGUGAUACUCAAUAGUGCAAUCAUAAUCAUUGAUUAACUCCAUCCACCUUCUCUGUCCCAUAUUUAGCUCUCUUUGAGUGAAUACAUACCGAAGACUCUUGUGAUCGGUAAAUAUCUGACACUUGCCUCCAUAAAGAUAGUGUUUCCACAACUUGAGAGCAAAAACUACCGCUGCAAGCUCCAGAUCAUGAGUAGGAUAAUUCCCCUCAUGCGGCUUUAAUUGCCUAGAAGCGUAGGCAAUAACUCGUCCAUGCUGCAUCAAUACUCCACCUAGACCAUGUCUAGAAGCAUCACAAUAGAUCACAUACUCUCCACUAUCAUCCGGAAGUGCCAAAACAGGAGCACUUGUUAAGCAAUUCUUCAAUUCUUGGAAACUUUGCUCACAUUGAUCUGACCAUUCAAACUUAACCCUCUUCCUGGUCAAUCUUGUGAGAGGAGCAACAAUCUUUGAAAAAUCUUUCACAAAGCGCCGAUAAUAACCUACUAAUCCCAAGAAACUACGAAUCUCCAUCACAGUGGUGGGUCUUCUCCAAUUCGACACUGCUUUCACCUUUUGGGGAUCCCCACUAACUCCUUCUACCGAAAUCACAUGACCCAAAAACCCCUCUUUAUCUAGCCAAAACUCACACUUGCUAAACUUAGCAAAUAACUGCGACUUUUCCAAAGUCCGUAAUAUUAUUCUUAGAUGCUUGGCAUGCUCCUUCUCACUUCUUGAGUAAACCAAUAUGUCAUCUAUGAAUACGAUCACGAAACGAUCAAGAUAUGGACUAAACACCCUAUUCAUGAGAUCCAUGAACGCCACGGGUGCAUUAGUAAGUCCAAAUAGCAUCACCAUAAACUCAUAAUGACCAUAUCGUGACCGAAAAGCAGUCUUGGCUAUGUCCCCCUCUCGGAUCCGCAACUGAUGAUAACCCGAUCUCAAAUCAAUNNNNNNNNNNNNNNNNNNNNUUAGAGAAAACAGAGGCACCCGUCAACUGAUCAAAUAAAUCAUCGAUCCGAGGCAACGGAUAUUUAUUCUUCACUGUGACCUGAUUCAACUUCCUAUAAUCAAUGCAUAGUCUCAUGGUGCCGUCUUUCUUCUUAACAAACAACACCGGAGCACCCCAUGGAGACAUGCUAGGCCGAAUAAAACCCUUAUGUACCAACUUCUGCAAUUGAGUCUUCAACUCUUUCAAUUCCGCUGGAGCCAUUUUGUAAGGUGCCUGAGAGAUAGAUAUAGUUCCAGGAAGUAAUUCUAUAGAGAAGUCUAUCUCCCUUGCAGGAGGCAAACCAGGCAACUCCUCAGGAAAAACAUCCGGAAACUCCCUUACUACCGGAAUAUCUUCUAAUCCCACAACUCCCAUAAUUGUAUCCACGACAUGAGCUAAAUAUGCCUGACAGCCUUUACUCAACAAUUUCCUUGUAGCAACAGCGGAAAUUAUGCAACUAGAAAUAACAUCUCUUUCCCCUUGGAAAGCAACCUCAAAACCAUCUGGACUUCGAAGCACCACUACUUUUUGAAAACAAUCUACCAUAGCUCUAUAUGCUUCCAAAAAGUCCAUUCCCAAGAUCACAUCAAACUCCACUAUAUCUAAAGGAAUUAAAUCAGCCUCAAAAUUAACUCCUUCCACUAAAACUUCACAACCACUAAAUACCCAAUUUAUUCUCAUCACCUCACCGGAGGGUAGAGACACAUGCCACUCGCCUGGAAGAGACGAUGAUAGCACAUUGGCAUGGAGAGCGAAUCUACUAGACAUGAAUGAAUGCGUGGCUCCUGGAUCAAUUAAAGUAAAAGCAGGCUGACCGAAAAUUAAUAACGUACCAAUGAUGACAUCUGGAGAAGUACGACCCUCCUGCUGGGUCAUAGUAUGUAGUCUAGCGCGAGUCAUGGGACGUCUAUGCUGACCACCACCCCGCUGAGAGCCACCUCUGACCGAUGCACUGCCCUGGGCACCACUACUGGAGCCUCCAGCUGAAGACUGACCAACUGGCUGAGUAGGGGUGGGGGUGGUCCUCUGAGCCAACAAUGGGCAAUCUCUCCUGAAGUUGUCUUGACCACCACACUCAAAGCACCCAGAAAACUGCUGCUACCCAUAAGAAAAAGUCUAGCUACCGGAUGACCCACCAUGGAAAUUACCACCAGAACCAUACUGCCCAGACUGCUGCCUACCCAAAUGACUCCGAGAAGGUCUCCUGAAACAUCCUCUAGUCCUGUUUCGAGCACCAGAGCUCGAUCCCCCACUACUGCCACUACCAGCAGAAGACCCAGAAGCGGAUGAUGUAGCAGCCUUCUUAGAUGGACCUUGACUAGGGCCACCGUAAUCACGAGGCCGAACACCAUAUGUCCCCCUAAACUCAAUGGCCAUGGCUGCACCAACUGCAUCCUCAAAAGUCGGGUAAAUUACCCAUGUCAUCUUGUCCGCAUACACUCCACCAAGUACCCCAAUGAACAUCUCAAUCCUGGUCCUCUCAUCAGAAACCAGAUAUGACACAUGGUAGCUCAGGGAAGUGAAUCUUUCCUGAAACUCUAAGAUACCCUCAUCGUCCCUCUUUGACAUAUGCAGGAAAUCCGACUGAAUUCUGCUGCGGUGGGCAUGAUUGAAAUACUGCCCCAAGAAGAGAGUCUUAAACUACUCCCACGACAUAUUCAGCGCAUCCUCAACAUUCCUGUUGGCAAGUGACCACCAGUGAUGUGCUGAAUCAUCCAGAAAAGUCACUGCUAUCUUCACCUUUCUUUCUUCUGGCAGCUCAGUGCUCGCAAAAGCCUUUUCCAUCUUAUCCACCUAAUUGUGAGCAUCAAGAGGUCCCUUGGCACCCUUGAACUCUCUGGCUCCAGCAUAAAAAACUUCUCUCCUUUUCACAGUAGGAGGGCGUGGAGCUCGAUCCAUGACAUCCCUUAGCAUAUUUCCAAUAUCAUCAACCAGUCCCCUGACCUCAUUGCCCUCAUCGGCAUUGGUUGAAGUGGCCACACGGGGUUGCCGUGGGCGCCUAGGAGGCAUAGUACCUGAGAAAGAAGAAAUUUAGUAGUCCAUAAACAAGACUAACACAACAAUCACACAUACCCAAUAACACAUAGCAUCAAAAGCAUAAAAUGCCAAUGAAUCCGCCGCGGUCUGAUCAUCACUCUAUAGACACUACGUGCUACUUAGGCAAAUAUGAUAGUGACAAGGAAGCAGGAAAAGGAAACCUAAAGCUCUGAUACCAACUGACACGACCCACCCCAAAUUUCACCCUGAAACCCGAAGUCGUGCGGGGACCACCUCCAAGAAAAAUUUACUGAAAAGAUUGAUAAAAUCUCCCUUGAAAAUGGACAACCCUAACUCGAAAAUUCCAAAUUACACUCUUAAUACAACACGUCCAAACAUCACAUAAUUAACCUUCAGAAAUUCUAAACAUAAUAUACAAUAAUCUCAAAGUAUUCAGAGCUACUAGACACUAGCGGAAGCAAGAAAACACGAGUAGGUUAAACAUGUAAUCUACUGAUGAAAACUGGCGGAAAUCCGGGUGACUAUGCCUCGCCUCCUACUAGAUCCAACUCGAACUCUGCAGACUGGGCAAUUUAAAACGAAGAGCCCAAGGGAAAACAUGUGGAACAGUUAGAGUGAGUGGACAAAAACUAAAUUAAAUAAAAAUAUUUCUUUAUGCUUUCCCAAUUUAAUUUCCAAAUAAAAUAAUACUGCAUGCAAUCGCUCAAAAGCGCUCAACUCAAAAACUGACAACUUCACGACUAGCACCGGCUAGUCUCCAAAACUUAAUAAAAUACAGCCUCUCAGGCUAAAUUAUAUAUAAACAUAUAUAAGUGUAUGUAUUUACACUCGUCAGACUCCUUGUAUGAAUUCUAAGAACAAAUUAGAAAAAUAGAAAUUCAUACAAGGCUACUACGCUUGCGUCUAACGCUCACGUCACACCAUAAUGGAAUUGUACCUCAGUAUGGCGGAAAAAGCACGAGUGUAUAUACGUGUGGACUCCCUAUAUGAAAACCUAAAUAAACCAAAUAAGAAAAUAGUUUUCAUAUAGGGCUACUACGCUUGUGUCUAACACUCACGUCACACCAUAAUGGUAUUUUACCUCAUUAUGGCAGAUCAAACACGUAUGGCUAGCUAGCAUUUACAUAUACAUACUAUCAUCAUAAACAUCCAAUAAACAUAUCCACCGAAAAUCUCAUUUUCGGGAUCUUUCCAAAGGAGGAAAAUUGCCAAAUAUCCGAGAAAUAAAUAAAUCUCAUGAAAAGAAAUAAAUAAUCAACAUAUAAUUCAUCGCAUGCUUUUCAAUUAAAAUAGAGGUCCACUCACAAAUUAGGCCUAAGCCUGAUGACGCUCCGACGCUUCCUCUGCUCGGGCCUCCUCUCGUCCUGUUCCAAAUAUAUAAUUAAUUUCCCACCAAAAAUCCAAUAAUUAAACAAAAUGGGCAAAAUUAAACGUGAGCCUCCAACACACUCAUCAUUGCCCAAACCAAAUUCGUCAUUCUUAACUCAAUACAGCUCAAACUUCGGCGAACAUACCGGCAGCUGUAAAAACAACUUCCCACAGAAUACGACUUAAAUCCUACGGCCGGAUUCUACAUUAAUUAACCGCCAAAAAUACCAAACUUCGAAAAUUCAUAAACCUAUCCAAAACUCAUCCAAAAAUUCCAUAACUCACUUCAAUAAACUCCCCUUAAUAUUCCUAAUCUAAAAACAUUAAAAUCUCCCAAACAGCUCCGGUAGCGGCGGCCGGAGGCCGAUUCCGGCGACCUCCAAUUCCUAUGAAAUUUUAACAGCAUCUUCCUCUCAUCAUGCUCUACAACUUUCCUAACUAGCACAAACCCAAAAUCCAAGCCUAGCUAUGUCAAUCGAACAAAAACAUCAAAAACGCCCUAGAGCUUCCACCUCAAAUUGCUCCUUACCUGAAGCAAACCGGAGUGAGUCCUUUUAGGGCAAGGCAGCUGGGUUAGAGACCUACAAAACCGUACCAAGCUUGCCCGGAUUGGUGGCCGGAGGAGGGAUUUCCGACGAAAAGCUUCCCGGCGUUUCCGGUGCGUUUUCUCUUCUUCCGGCGGGCUAACGGCUCGGGGGCUAGGCCGGGGAGGGAGAGGAGGUGAUGGGGGUCCGAACUGGGGUGGAGUGGUGGCUGGUGGCUGGCCGAACGGCGGCAGCUGGCAGCUGGAAGUUUCCGGCGAAGGGAGAGAGAGCACGGGAGGGAGAAGGAAGAGAAAAGAGAGAAGAAGAGAAAGAGAGGAAAUGGGUUGGGCCUCUCCAACCGGUCCAACUCCACUAAUAUACCUAACUCCCACAAAUAAAACACCCCGAAAAAAAAUUACCUUUUACUAACUAAAAUUUACCAUUUUUACCGUCGCCAUAUUUUCCUCCUACGAAUAAUCCUCCGCCCAUAAUCGUCCCCGAAACCCCUCUAAGGACCAAUUAAACUAUUAACUCAAUGACGGAGAUGGUAAAAUUCUUAUUAUAAACAAGCUAGUAAAUAAGGUAAAAAUAUAAGAGUCGGGAUGUGACAGGAGCAGUCGGCGUUUCCGGUGGUUUUCUUCUCUCCGGCGGCGCUACCAGCUCGGACACUAGGCCGGGAAGAGAGAAGAGGUGGCAGGGCUCCAAACUGGGCUGGAGCGGCGGCCGGUUGCUGGCCGGAUGGCGGCAGGCGAUGGUCGGAAGUCGGACGGAGAGAUAAGCUCUGGGGGAGAGGGAGAGAGAAGAGAAAGAGGAGGAAAAAGAAGGAAGAAAAAAAAUGGGCCACUCCUCUAACCCAGUCCAACACCUUAAACAAAACCCCAACUCCCAAAAAUUAACACCUCAGAAUAAUACCCAAAUAAAAAUUACCUUUUACCAGCUAAAAUUUACUAUUUUUACCGUCGUCAAAUUUUUCUCUUACGAAUAGUUCCUCCGAAAUAAUCGUCCAUCAAAACCCCUCUAGGGACUAUUUAAACUAUAAACUCAUUGACAAAGACGGUAAAACUCUUAUUAUUACCAAGCUAGUAAAUAAGUUAAGAAUUUAAGGGUCGGGAUGUGACAGUUUUCCUAAUAAAAUUGGACUCUGAAUUGUAUCAUGAAUCUCAAAUUAGGGAACUUGAAUUGCUUGGGUGCAAGCUGGGACUUUGCUUUCGGAAUCAAACUGCUAUUGUUUGAUUUGGGUGCUUAUGUGUUUGGAGUUGCUUGCUUAUGCCGGUUGCUAUGACAUGAGGUAGGGAAAACAAACUUUUCUUUAUAGCUUUGAUUCUAGUUUCAUGUGUAUUUGGUGUGAUUGUGUUGGAAUGUCUUCUCUGCUAUUUUUCCUUGAUUGAAACUGUCAAGCAUACAUAGCUUGUCGAAUAGAAAUCUUGUUGAGUGUCAUUGUUACUCUGAUUCAAGGUAAUAUGUACCCUUGUCUUAUAUUUAAUAUUGAAAUGAUAGCCUUGAGUAUUUUGGCUGGUAUUCUUUGAAGAAGUUCACAUUGGACAAGGUCCUUCUCGUUCCCAACUCUCUUCUUAUUAUGUUAGUUGCAGCCGUGGCUUGUAUCUUGUUAUACCAUCUAAAGUGGUUUUAUCUGUGUCUACUUUGUCUUAUGUUACUGCUUUCUUGGCUUCUCCUUUGAGUCUAUUACUUAGUUUAGUCCUGCUCUCUGUUAAUGCUCAUGAACUCACUGUACAAAGCUGCUCAAGUUAGUGUCUUUACCCAUUGAUAUUUAUAUUCUUGAGGCCGAUACAAAUCUGAUUCUUGCCCUGUUCUUUAUAAUUUAAAAGGAAGUUUUUAUACAUGGUUUUACUUGAACCAAAAAUUCAAGGCUUUGCUUAUUUUCACUGAUAUGACCUCUGUAAGGGAAUAGAUAAAUGAGAUAACUAGAUUUCUUGCUCUUAGCUAUUCUACUUGUUUGUUUUAUUCUUGGUGCCCGCUACCCUAUAAUUUCUGAAAUUAAUCAAGUACGACUUUUGAAACUGAAGUAUGUCUUCUCACAAUUAUCUGAUUUGUAGCAAAAAGACGUCGUACAUGUGUUAUAUACUUACCUAUACAUACGUUCUUGGUCUUUUGACCUCAAAGUGAAAUUAGCUUUUGGCCUAUUUCAUGUCCAGGCUUACCUAUCAAAUGUUGGUGUUUAAAAUAUACCACUUUUACCUGGUUUUCGACCUAUGAUGCGGCUCCUUAUUUAACGUAUUUUGAAAUAGUCUCAUACUCAUUACCUGGACUUCAUAACCAUAAGUACUGUACAGUUUCUAUGUUAUAUAUCUUAAGAUGCAGCAAAGUGAUUUAUGCAUCCUUUCAAAACCAAAGGUAUAUCUUGUGUACUUCUGGCCAUAUGAAACCAUGAAUUCCAAGUCAAUUUGUACAUGGUUGUACUUGAGUUUAUUCCUACCACUUGAUUGCAAUUUGAAAGUGAUCGUACCUCAUUGUCAUUAUUCUUAGAAAGCUACUUUUGUUCAUAGAAUGAUCCAAUGCUUUGUAUUAUGAGUUGGAGUAUGCGCUUAUUACUAGCUCAUUGUUCGUUGAGGUCUUCUCCAUCAGUCAUGGUCUUUGUUGUUGAUUACUCCAACAGUUUGAAAACCCAAGUCUUUGCUGCUGGCUUUGAAAUCCAUGUAUUGAUGCUUAUCUCAUAACCAGUUUGCUAUUGAAAGUUGAUUCCUCUGUUAUGCCUGUUCAAAUUUACUUGGAAAUAAGCUCCCAUUCUUUGAUAAUUUCCUCUUGUCAUCUGUGAGUUUAUGAACUCAAGUUCUCUACCUCAUUGUCAUUAGUUCUAAACUCGUGUACCUAUUGCUUUGAUCUUCACCUAAAGAUCUGCUCUGUUCAGAUUCCUUUCUAUUGAAAGAACAGAGGUCCAUGUUACAGUACUAUUUCUGGGCAGUGUCAUAUGAUAUUCUGAAAAGGGAUUUCAAGUUUGUUUCUGAAAUCCUUGUUUGAUCAGUUGGUUUGGAAAAUGAAACUUCCUGGAAAGAAAUGAUUGUAUUUCAAAUUUUCUGUUCGGUUAGGCCCGGUGAAUUAUGUGAGUGGGGAUUGUGCCUCCCUUGGGUUGUUUAACCCUAAACCUGAUCAGGGUACCGCAUGUGCGGGGUUUGCUCGGUGGUAUAGCUGGGCGAUGGGCUCUAACCGGCAUCUUAAGGAUUUGUUGAAAUUCGAGUGAAAGAAAGUUCUAUGAGCUUCAUGAGUUUUUCUCAUCAACACCUUUGUUGGUUCAUGAUUAUUCUUAUUUGUUGACCUGGUUGUCAGGUUAUCCUUAUGAUUAGCUUUCUUCUACCUCGUAUGUGUAUAUUGACUGCUGAUGCUUGUUAUACUUGGUAAAGUGUGAUAUCUGAAAUUCCAAUGUUAUGUUUGAGUCGAGUUCAUUUAUUCUACUUCCAGACUUCUGAUUUUCUCUCUCUCACUAGUGUAGCAGCAAUUAUUGGGGUUAAUCUCAUUUCAUUGGUUAUAUCUCUUAAGCUUCAUGUAUGUUCCUACCUUUCAUUUCCAAGUGCAUAUUGAAUUAGAGUCUUUGUUAUAAAGAUUAUUUUGGUCGUACCUACUGAGCUUGUGAAGCUCAUUUCUUAUAUUCUUAUUGUUUUCAGGGAGUCUAUUAGUGGACAAGAUAAUGAUAUUCUGGAGUUUCUUAAGCUUAAGUAUGUUUGUUUCUUACUUUGGGUUGGUGUUGCUGCUAUGGUGUUGUUGGAUGUGUUAUGUUUAAAGGAUUGGAAUAGUUGUCAAGCUCUUAAGCAAUAACCUGGUAUGGUUAUGAUACAAAAUGUGAUGUUUCUUCUAAAAAGUAUCUUCCAUGUUUGUACAAAAUGUAAAGUUGUAUUCAGCCUUCCUCUUAUCAGAUUUAAUUAUUGCUGUGUACUUUUAAAAGGAUUCUACAUUUAUCCAUUGCUUCUGUACAGUUUUACAAUCUUUGGAAAAGAGUGUAGUUUUAUUUCAUGGGAUGUUUAUUGCUCAAGUUCAUGCUUAAUGUUGUUAUUAGAGUGAUUCUUCAGGCAAAUAUUUUGAAUCAGUUGGUUUUAACAAAAUGGUUAUUCCUUCAAAGUUUUAGUGACUAUUUUCGGGUUUUUAUAAAAGUUCCUCAUUCCAAAAGUUUGUUUUAAAAAGAAAUAAUAAUAAUUUCACCGAUCUUUCUUUCGAUUUAUUCCAUCACAUUAGUCAUACCUUGAGGUCAGGGUGUGGCAGGGAGUGUGAUGUUUAGUGGUAGUAGACAGUCAACCUUUUCGCUGGGCUUUUGAUUUGAAUAAAGUUUUGAACUUGGUUGUAAAGGAGGGUUUUAGUUAAUGAUUCUAAUUGCUUGAGAUGCAGGGAUGCACUUGAUGCAUUGGGGUUGGUUCGUUACUGCUACAGGCGCAUGCUUAUGACUCAUGUUAAUCUCAUUGAGAAGCUUCUCAACUACAACAGUAAGUUUUAACUCUUUUUCUAGCUGUCUUUCUCCUGCACAUACACGCAUAGAGUUCCCACAGGUGUAAUCUGUCCUGAGUGUGGCUGAUUUGUUUAUUGGAACUGAGAUUGAAUCUUUGUUACAGCUUUGGAGAAGUCAGAUUUAGUGUCCUGAGUAAUACUUAUGGGAUACUCAUCAGAAUUGGGAGUUGGCUUGAGUUUUUAUCGAAAUGUGACGUUUCUUGUUAGAUUGGAUGAUUCUCUUACUCAUGUGUUGUUUUGUUGAAUGCAAAUAUGGCUUUAUUUUGUUGGAUUUUUAUUUCUUUUUAUCAAUUGGGAUAUAAAUUUUAGCUUUUUAAAACUUCAAUUGAGUUUCAUAUUAGCUUCUACUUGUUGAAAUGUAGAAGGAACAAAGUGAAAAUCUAGAAGCAAUAACAAGGUCUAUUGUAUGGGUACAUGCUUAUGAAACAAAGAAGAAGAAGGGCUCAGAUGAAGUAGUUGAGGAUCAUGAAAUAGUGGUUAGUAUACUCUUCUUGUCGUGUUUGCAGAUAUCAUGUCAAUUUAUCAAAGUUGCAUGAGAUUAACAUUAGUCUUUUUUAGAAACAAGUGAAAUAAUAUCAUGCAGAGGAACAACCUUCACAACCUUGUUCUUUAAAACACAAUGUUGUAGCAAAAGUUCUAGGUCCGGAUCCACGAGGAAGGGUAAGAGGGUUAGGAUUUGGAGAAGUUCCUUCAAGGGUAGAAUAUCAAACUACUGUUGGAAACAAAGUUGCUAAAUUAGAGAAUGCUUUGUCCGCUCAAGCACAAGAGAUGCUUUCUCAAUCGCAAGAGAUUGAACGAUUAAAAGAAGUGUUUAACACUCUUUUAGCUCGAUCAGAGAAAGAAGGGGAUAACUAUGUAAGUUAGUUAGAAUUAUUAACUUUUGGCAGAUAACUCAACUAGGUUACUGAUUUCCUGAACUUUAAAAUGACAGGGUAGUACCAGUGUUCAGCAUUCUGCUAAUAAGGUUGCACAAUAGAAAGAGAAUGCGAAUCAAAGUGUAACCCAAAGCAAGCAAAACAGUCCAAGUGUUCAGAGAUCUGAAAUUCGAAGUCCAAAGAGAAAGCAGAGUAACCAAAGAAAAACUUCACGUCUUCAACACUCUACUGAUCAUGGGAUGCAAAGUAAAGACAAGGAAGGUACAAGGGCCAAAAGUACAAAGGAUGAUCAAAAUAGAAUUGAAUUGUUAAGUUGGUUUGAGAUGAGCAAAGGUGUUGUUGCAAUUGCAAAACUUGAUUCCAAAGAUCCAAAUGCUAUGGUUCAUCAUAUGCCCUUUGGUCCUGAAUGCUGGAAAGUUUGGGUGCUUGAUGUUUUUGAUGAUAUAGCUUUAUAUCGACCAACCAGGGAGUUUGGAACACUGAGCGAGGCUACAGGAAGUACAAUUGCCUAGCCUAUCCAAUACAUCAGACAAAUUUAAUCUAUUAACAAGAUAUAGCAGGUAACAUACUCUUAACAUAUACUUCUUGCAAUAUUUGUUUUCAGUAUUGUACUCUAUUCAUUCAUUAAAUUAAACUCAGUAUAUAUUCAUCGAGAUUCUAUGUUUUGGUUUGUUCUUGUAGAUAGUGCAACCACUCAAUUUGCUUAUAAAUUAAUUACUUUGGCGUAGUUGUAGAUUUGAUAGGUUAUAUGAGGACUGCCACAUUCUUGUCAGCUGGAUACCUAAACUCAAUUUUACAUGUGCUAGGAGACCAUAACUCAUCAUAUUUGGAGAUCUAAACUGAACUCAUAUUUUCUUUUUUCUUGAGUAUUGCCUUAUAUAUGUACGCAAUUAUUUGGAUUCUUAUGAUUCUUAGAUCAACCAAUGUGUAAUAUGUAUAUUUUCAAACUUGUUUCUAGCAGGUAAUGUGAAGUUUUGAGGUGAAUGAAGAUUAAUGCUUAUGUUGCUACUGGUGGGACAUUUUGCAGUUGGAUAAUGGAGUUUGAAAGCUUCCAAGUACUAUGAAUUGUAAUGUUAUUUUUUGAUGGAAUUUUUAGGGGCAUAUAUGCAGUUGUUAUGUGUUGAGAUACAUAAUGAAUAUCCAAAUUGUUCAGAUAUGAAUGUGUAUAUAUAUAUAUAUGAUGUUAGUUCACCUUUGCUAGCUUUAAAUUAGAUUGUUGUUCUUGUAUAAGGUUUUGAAGUUAGUUAUUGUUAACUCUGAUUUGAGUAGCCAAUGGAAUGUAGUACCAUGAAUUUGGAAUAUGAUCAGUAAAUCAUAUAUAAUUGUGGAAACAAUAAAUGCAAAAAGCAACAUGCAGAGCAAAUAGGUUAUUACGGCAUACUUGUGCGCCGUAAAUGUCUUUAAACUAAUACUCUUUUACGGCACGCUAGAGCGCCGUGAAAACAUUCUAAUCCAAGUCUUUGACAGCAUUCUUUUGGAUCAUAUACGGCGCACAAAUAUGCUCAUUUGGAUGUUAUAACGUUGGAGGGAACAUGUCACACCCCGGUCCCGGCGUCAGUGGGUUUUAAGCACCGGACGCCGAUCCUGAAGCGUGAACGAGUGUUACAAAGCGGAAUAAAACAAAAACACUGUCUUCUAGGCUCGUCGGCUACCCUUUCCCGGCUCGAUCAAAUCUAAGUACUUCUCUGCAAAAAAUAUUAGAGAUGGGUGGGUGAGCAUAACCACGCGCUCAGUGAGUAGACCAAUGUAAUAUGCCCGCAAAGCCAUGUCAUUUUACAUACGCUACAAAAUACGUAUAUCGUAUACACAUCACUUCAAGCAAUUCAUCACAUCGCACAAUCCCUUUUUAUUGGAUAUCCUUCAAUUUAGUGAUCCCCAUGGGAACUUAAUGACCUUCAAGUCCAAUACCUCCAUGUGUCACAUCCUUACUUCGGCAUAACCAAUCAAGAAGUUCACAUGUUUUAUGACCAGUCAAACAAUGGAUCCAACACAAAAUAAUAUAUAAAACUCCAUAUAUUUCGCAAAUCGACAUGCUUCACUAUAAAAAUAGAGAGAUAUUUUGUAAAUAGAUCAAAAUCAUGCUUUUUGAAUAUUUGAUAACAAACAAGAAUAUUUAAAACAUAUUACACAAAUCCACUCACCUCGUCAAUACGAAUCCCUACCAAAAACGUCGAGUAAACUGAGCCUCCUAAAACAAGCCAUCUAGAAUCACCGUUGGAUCUAGCUCAAACCUCUAGGGAAGAAAGAGGACAUCGAGACGAACUCGUAGCACUUCACGGAUUCGAAAUCAGAGUUACAGAUCAAAAGUUAUGAUCCGCUAAAGUUUAGUCACAAAAUUCUAGAGAGAGAAAAUUUAGGAGAGAGAGAGAGAAUCUCUCGAAAAAACUACAGAAUGAGAGAAGAAAUGGUGCUGCUCCUCUCUAUAUAUAGCUUCACAAUUGACACGUGUCAACAAAUGAUUGGUCUAUUUGUUGUCACGUGUCAAACCCACACAAUACCUCUCCACUUGAUGACACAUGGGAGGUGACUAAUUGCAGAUGAUGACAUCAUCAGCCCACAUGGGUGACGUCAUCGUCAGCUGUUAUCUUUUUAAAAUGCCACGUGUCAGCUUCUUGGCCAAUUCGAGUUCAACACGUCAUCGUCUCUAUCUUCUUCCGAGAAACUUCGAAAAAUCGUUAAAAAUAGCUCGGAAGUCUGAAAAAUUCACCGAAAAAUACGACGAACUCGUGGCAACAUCUAGUUUCUAAUUCUAAGAAGAAAAAUGAAUUUUGAGAAAUUUCAAAAAUUCGGAAUGUUACAAUCUACCCUCCUAACAAGAAUUUCGUCCCCGAAAUUCAACACACCUCCAAAAACUCCAAAAACACUUAUGGUUCUACGCUAAGAUGCUAGAAUCCUAAUCUACCACAGAUCCUGGGGUUCUAAUCCCUAGUUUGCUCUGAUACCAUUCUCACACCCCAGUCCCGGCGUCGGUGGGUUUUAAGCACCGAACGCCGACUCGAGGCGUGAACGAGUGUUACAAAGCGGAAUAAAACAAAAAACACUAUCUUCUAGGCUCGUCGGCUACCCUUUCCCGGCUCGAUCAAAUCUAAGUACUUCUCUGCAAAAAAUAUUAGAGAUGGGUGGGUGAGCAUAACCACGCGCUCAGUGAGUAGACCAAUGUAAUAUGCCCGCAAAGCCAUGUCAUUUUACACACGCUACAAAAUACGUAUAUCGUAUACACAUCACUUCAAGCAAUUCAUCACAUCGCACAAUCCUUUCUUAUUGGAUAUCCUUCAAUUUAGUGAUCCCCAUGGGAACCUAAUGACCUUCAAGUCCUAUACCUCCAUGUGUCACAUCGUUACUUCGGCAUAACCAAUCAAGAAGUUCACAUGUUUCAUGACUAGUCAAACAAUGGAUCCAACACAAAAUAAUAUAUAAAAAUGGAGAGAUAUUUCGUAAAUAGAUCAAAAUCAUGCUUUUCGAAUAUUUUGAUAACAAAUAAGAAUAUUUAAAACAUAUUACACAAAUCCACUCACCUCGUCAAUACAAAUCCCCACCAAGAACGUCGAUUGUAAACCGAGCCUCCUAAAACGAGCCAUCUAGAAUCACUAUUGGAUCUAGCUCAAACCUCUAGGAUAGAAAGAGGACAUCGAGACGAACCCGUAGCACUUCACAGAUUCGAAAUCGGAGUUACAGAUCAAUAGUUAUGAUCCGCCGAAGUUUAGUCGCAAAAUUCUAGAGAGAAAAUUUAGGGGAGAGAGAGAGAGAGAAUCUCUACGGAAAAACUACAGAAUGAGAGAAGAAAUAGUGCUGCUCCUCUCUAUAUAUAGCUUCACAAUUGACACUUGUCAACAAAUGAUUGGUCCAUUUGUUGUCACGUGUCAAACCCACACAAUACCUUUCCACUUGACGACAUAUGGGAGGUGACUAAUUGCAAAUGAUGACAUCAUCAGCCCACAUGGGUGACGUUAUCGUCAGCUGUUUUCUUUUCAAAAUGCCACGUGUUAGCUUAUUGGCCAAUCCGAGUUCGACACGUCAUCGUCUCUAUCUUCUUCCGAGAAACUUUGAAAAAUUCACCGAAAAAUACGGCGAACUCGUGGCGACAUCUAGUUUCUAAUUCUAAGAAGAAAAAUGAAUUUUGAGAAAUUUCAAAAAUUCGGAAUGUUACAGAUCAGUUUUACAGCGUGUAUUUAUCUAUUUUUAUGGCUCGCAUUGGCGCGCCGUUAAUGUAAUGCGUCUUUUACGGCGUGCAUUGCUGGCCGUAAAAGCCUGUUUUUGGCGUAGUGGAAGACAUAGUUGAUAGGUUUUAGCUUACGGUGUCGGCAUCACUUGUCCAAGGACCUAUCUCUUUGUUAAUGCUGGAUUGCAUCUUUCCAUUGUUCUUACUACGCUAUCUAACAAAGACAUAGUUGAUAGGUUUUAGCUUGCGGUGUCGGCAUCACUUGCCCAAUGACUUAUCUCUUUGUUAAUGCUGGAUCGCAUCUUUCCAUUUGGCUAAUCAACUAAGUUGAUAUCCAUCAAUAAAGGGUGGUUCGAUAGUAGACUCAUUAUCCCACGUUCUCAUGUACACUAGUGUAAUACUUGUAGAGAUCUCUAUAUAGAUUGGAUUUGACAUUGAGGCGUCCCCCAACGAUAAUCACAAUUCAGACUUCAUGAGACCGAUUUGAGUAUCACUGAUCAAUGGAUCACGUUGUGCCAAGCUCGCUUUCUUCCUAGUGCGAGAAAGUAUCGAACCUAAGGGCCUCCUUCCUUUUUAGGGAGCCACACGGCCUUCUGACACCAAUUUUGCCACCAUAUGGUGUCAGCCUAUCACCAUCUAUGGUGAUGGCAUCAAGACCAACUCCUUUUGGUCGUGCUUGAUAGGACAUCAAUCCUUGCAGACAUAUUUGUAGCAUGUGAUCUCAUCACUUUAAAACUUUAAGCAUUUGGGAUUAAGAUGAGAUUUAGUGGGAACAAACCACGACAAUUCAUGACGUUCCACUUGAACACUUGUGUUCUUAUCUCCCCCUAACGGUGGGAAUAUUGUCUCACCAAAAUGAAUCCUACGGAGCUCAAGGAUUGCAAUUUCGUGUCAAUCCUCGUACACAGUCACGAGUUGUCACACCCUGACCUUAGAGUAUGACUAAAGUGGUGGAUUUUUGAAAAUAGAAAAUCUGUGGAAUUUUUUUUUUUUUUUUCUGGAAUUUAGAAAAUAUGAAUCUGCAUCCUUUUGUUUUAAAAGCAUUUGAAUUUGAACAAAAUAAUAACUAGUAUGUAAUGCAUAUGGUGAGCCAAAGAAUUUGGUUUAACAAUAAAACUGAAAGCUUGUAAUAUGUUCUGAGUGAAACAAAACCUAUACAAGGUUCAACAAAAGAAAAGGCUAACUGUACAAGGAUAUUUUCCUAUUGUAAAAGAGAGUACAUUUAACACCAAAGUGGACAUUUAGGAAUUUGAGUUUAACUUUAAAGAUCAAGUAGUUCAAGUCUAAAACAUAAACAGUUGCUGGAACUUAGUAAGAUAAAAUACUUCAUUUUUAUACAUGUGCGAAAUAUACAUUUUACUUACAAAAUAUCUCACCACUUAGCAUCAAAAUUUACAUCAAAUUUACCCAGAUCAGUGUGGACUUUCUACUUCAUACAACUAUCUUAACAAAAACCUCCAUUCCGAACAAAAUGCAUACUGAGCACAAACUAAUGAAAACCAUAGCACAUACUCAAUAAAGCCAAAAUAGAGGCACUUAAUCUACAAGUAAGCAAAACUUGAUCAUGAACUCUGAUUUAAGACAACUCUGGAAUGUCAGAAAUAUCACCAAACUUUUUUCCUGAAAACACAUGAAACAUAGGGAAAUGAGCUUCACAAGCUCAAUAGGUACAACAUAAUAAUCGUUAUAACUAAGAUUCUAAACCAGCAACUACAUCUGAAAUGUGAAGGAUGGUAGAGAUGCUUCAAAUGUACUUUUAAAUGAGAAUAAGAAUAUGGCUGCAAACAAAUUUGGAAUUAAGCUUGAGGAACAAAUGCCAACCGUUAACUGAAUCAAGCACAGAUGAUAACAUGAUAACAUAGAAUUAUUAGGCUGCAACUCACCAAGCAACUCAUAUCAAAUGAGCAGACAACUGAACAUGAAGGAAUCAAGGACAGAUAAUAACAAUCUAAAAUACUUUACUGCAAAUAGACCAAUCAAUUCUGAUCCAAAUCAAUAGAUAACUGAACAAAUGAAGGAUCAAGAGAUAGAUUACGACAUAUAAUCAAUUAUUUCAGAUCAACUAAGUAGACUAAUAAUGAACAGGAAAGGAAAAGUGAGCAAACUGAAAUUCGAGAUUUUCUCACUGGAUACUCAAACACAAGGGAAAGAUUUUCUUUAACUUCCUUUUCUCUUUUUCAAAGUCUAAAAUCUUUCCUUUCCUUUCCAAAACAUUUGUAAAACUCUUUUCCAUAAACCAAACUUCAGCGAAAUCCUUGGAAACCGGUUAGAGCCCACUGCCCAGCUAUACCACUGAGCAAACCCCGCACAUGCGGUACCCUAAUCAGGUUUAGGGUUAAACAACCCAAGGGAGGCACAAUCCCUACUCACACAAUUCACCGGGUCUAACUAAAUAAAACAAAUAAAACCAAAUCUGAUCUUUCCAUGAAACACUUUGCUUUUCCAAACCUAGUCAAUCUGUGACAACCCGGAAUUUUAUUAUGUAUAUAUUAUGUAUAUACCUAUUUACAAACUUGCUUAUAUAUAUAUAUAUAUAGGUAUGAUUGUUUUAAGUGUGUGUGUAUAUAUUUAGUGUUAUAUAUGCUGAAAAUUAAUAUAGUUAUUUAGUUUUUUUUUUAUUAAAAUUUAAUGAGUAGGGUUUUUAUCCAAGCCCAAUACCCAAAUACAAAGCCCAAGCCCAAACUUGAUAGCAAGGAAAAGAGAAGUGUUUGUCGUUCAGGCAAAACGAUGUCGUCCUCUUCUUCUUCAUCUCCUUCACCGCCUUCUGCUUCUUCUCCUCCGCCUUCCUUCCGACCUCUAAACUCGAAGUUUUAUCCUCUCUUCUUCACCGACUUCUUCUUUCUUCCGACCAGAUGUUUCCUAAUCCGAAACAUUGCCGCCAUAAAACCCAGAAACCGUCCUUGAAACGCCUAGCAGCCGACUUCAUUAAGCAGGAGAUGUCAAGAUUCUUGGAGACUAAGUUUCCAGAUGGAUAAGAAUUGGGUUGAAGUGCUCAAUUUGACUUCCUUGAGUCUUUCUUGGACUCCACGUUCUUCCCUCUUUCUAGACCCUAUAAAUAGAGGUUAGUAUUCAGAGUUUUCCAUAUGGUUUCCUUGAAUUCACUGAUAGAGAGAGAGAGAGAGAAGAGAAGAGAAAUUGGUGUUGUAGGAAAUUGGUAGAACUCAGGUUAGAUUCUCUUUAUGUUCAGACCAAUUAAUUGUGUUUAUAUGCUCUUAGUUUGUGAAUUUAGAAUUUGACAUCACUUUGGAAUCUUUGUAUGAUUGUUUAUUUGAUUGGAAUAGUUCCUAUUAAGAAUUGGUUUUGGUUUUGUUGCUGUUGAAUUCUGUGGCAAGUAGGAUUACUAAAUCCUUUGGUUUUGGUUAUCUUUGAUUUGAUUUCUUUGUUAGCCAAAUCAGUUCUUAUAUGUUAUUAAUAGCUAGAGAAUCAAGUAUAUGAUGUUGUUGUUAUUGUUGUUGUUGCUGUUGUUUGAAUUAGCUUAAAAUUUUGUUCAUGUAGUAGAUUUAUUCUUUUGUAAACAGAAUAGAAACUGAUGAAGAUGAUUAUCUUUAGUUCUGCAAGUUUGGGUGUCCUGAGUAAUUACAAUGUUGUUGUUCGAAUUAGAGAUUCUUGUUUUCUCUUACACAACAAGGGCUUAGAGUGACUAAGAAACCUAUAUGAGUAUUUAGACAUCGAUAGAAUUGAUUAGGAACCUUAGACUUUGCAUGAACUGAAGUGACAUUUGAAUGGAAAAGUUUUUGUAACUUGUUCAUUUAGUUAACUUUGAGCAACCAUAUCUUUGAAUUAAUCAUGCUUUUUAGAAAUCAUUUGCAUGUAUUGAAAGUUCAUAUUCUUAGCUUGAUAUCUGGGUAGUUUCAUGCAAGUUCAUUUAGAAUUCGUUAGUCAAGUUUGGAGCCGAAAACAUAGCUGAACAUUCUGCAAAUCAGCUUUCUUGUAUUUUGGAGUCAGUCACCUUGAUUUCUAAAAACCGUACAUUUAGGUUGGUUAUUUGAAGUUUGUUUCUUCAUAAAAGGUGUAGUAGACAUCUUAAAUAUUAUUUUAGAAUUUGAAUCACUUCAAAAGGAUUUCUUUAGGUUAAGAUAUGAUUUUUCAAAGUUCAGGGUCUGCAGUAAGAAAUUCUGCAGAUCAAUUUUCUGUGUUUUUGACCCAGCUGUAUUUUUACUAAACCCUGUGCAUUUCAGUUGAGUAUUUGAAGUUAUUAUCUUCAUAAAAGUUAUAGUACACAUGUUAAAUAUCAUUCCUGAAUUUGAAUCUCUUCAAAAGGAGUUUUGUAGAUUAAGUUAUGAUUUUUCAAAGUUAAGGUUCUGCAUCAGGAAAUUUCUGCAAAUCCGUUUUCCAAGUUUUGGACCAAGUGACCUUUCUAUUAAAACCUGUACAUUUUGGUUCAGUAUUUGCAGUUUGUGUUUUCUCAAAAGUUUUGGUAGACAUCUUAGUUAUCAUUUACUGAAAUCUCCUGAAAAUGAUUUAUGUACAUUAAGUUAUGAAUUUUCAAAGUUGAAGGUUAGCUUUAAAUGGUUUAUGUAUUUGUUACUAUUUUACUGUUUGUUCAUUUUGAUUUCAAUGGUUUCUUUCAUUCAAACUUGUUUAGAUUCACCACCAACUGAACACACACAUUCUCAACUUUCAAACAAAGCUUGUGACAUUAUUUUCCAAAUUUAUUUGAGAUACUUAUGCCAUUUUGAAAUUAGCUAUGUGUAACAGUUUUUCUUCAAAAUAAAUCUACAUCACAUUUUGCUUAGUUUUUUUAACACGUCAAAUGUUAUCUUAAUGGCCUGAGAUUUUAGGUAGUAUGUUUUUGAGACGUAUGCUUUAAAGUAAAGCAUGUUCUUAAAACAUAUGAGGUCACACCCAAUUUUCGAAGGAUAAUUUUCAAAAAUUUGGGCAGGAUAAAUCUAAAAAAUUUGGGCAUGAUAAAUCUAAAAAAAAAACACUCCCAAAACCUAUUCAACAACUUCCAACUAAAUUCAAAUGCUGGAAAUGUAAUGUCAACAAAACUCUUUAACUGAGGUAAACAUUAUCUCUCCUUAAUUACACCAACUUCAAAAAGUCCAGUAAAAUACAGUCGCUCGCAUGAGUUUAAUACUGUCUACCAGAAAUAAUAAAAUAAAGUGUACAACAUCUAAAAUCCUGUCACUAUGCCUCCACCUCAACCCUACUGAUCACCACCUGCAGGUCUAACCCCUACACCAUGAAUUGGUGCACCGGGUUGUAAAACAACAAAACCGGUAAGCUUAAAAGCUCGUAUGAGUAAAUCCCAAAAUAAUAACUCAACAAUUCCAACAUCACAUAAGAUAAAACUGGUAAUUCCUGCAUUAGCAACUUAGUUUAGAAAUCGCCUAAAAGCAAGAGAAUUCAAAAGAAAUAAUUAAGAAAACACGACAAUUCAAAAUGAUAAAUGAAUCCUGCAAAAAGCGUAGUUUAGGAAUUCUAUUAAAAUCACAUAAUUAAGAUUAAAAAAUCUCCUGUGAAUAAGCAUAGUUCAAGAGAUACUCAAACCAAGAAAUUUAAAUGAUAACACAUAAGAACAUCACACAAUCGUUUCUCUACUCUUAUUUAUGAGUUCGUCAACACUUAGUCAUCCCCCAUAAAUAACCAAAAAACGCAUACUCAUGGGUUUGUCAACACUUAGUCAUCCCCCAUGAAGUCCCGACAUACAAACUGGAGCUCUAUACUGACCGUAACCAAUCACCCGGUCAAGACUUGGUUCCUGGUCCACCACGAAGGCUCAUAAUCUAAUGCACACAAUCACCACUAAGGCACAAAUCCACAACUAAUUGAUAGGAGCAUAAAAUGCGACAUUCUUAAUGUGUUAUUAUCUCCAUUUGUACUUUGAUUAUCUCUUAUUGUUGUAGAAUAGAGUCAUAAUGUAAAGUCGAAAGUUUUUGGUAGAGUUGUGCGUAAAAUGUGUUAAACAUAGAGGAAUGAUGUAGAAAAUUGUCAAAAGCCGAUUUGUGGAGCCUUAGAGAUGUUCUUAUGAUUAUGUAAAGCUUUUACAUUGUCACAAAUUGAUUUAACUUCUCUGAUACUUAGGUGAUAUGAGAAGAGUUAUGGGAGAAAGAAUCAGGAGAAUUGAAGUUAUGCUUGAAUCAUUGCCGAGAGAAGUCUUCCUGAUGGACCUAGGGAAGCAAAGCAGCUGAUCCACGAAGCCUAGUCCAUGAAGGAGAGGUCCAAACCAAGUCCAAUAUGGAGAAGAAGAUCUAAAUUCGGCAGAAUAUCAAGGAAUAUCCAAGUCUUGAAAAUCCGGAUUAAAUCGGGAGAAUCCCUGUGCACGUCUGUCAAUUUCAACGGACUCUCCAGGACAGAUCACAAUGAAUCAGAAAACGUGCUAGAUAUGGAUAGAGAGCUACGGGAGUCUAGUUUCCAAAUCAAUUGGAAUCACCUCAAUAUCUAUUUUCUAGAGGGAGUUAUGAUGUAAUCAUCAGACGGAGGUCAUUCUGCCGAAAUUGAGAAGAACUAGGAAUCCUAAACCAACUUGGUUUAGGCUUUGUGGCCGACUUCUCUAGGGUUUUUCCUCUAUAUAAAGCAUGACUUCAAGAGCAGAAAAACAUCAUCUCUACUCUUGCAAUUACAUAGCCGAAACUCUACCAAACCCUAUACAGAAAAUUACUUAGCCGAUUCAUCCACCACAAACCAUAAGAAUCAUUCCAUCCUUCCACCGAUUUUCCCCACACUUGCCGAAUCUUUCAAGGUUGUAAAAGUGUGAUUUUCUCAUGGCUUCUUGUAUUAUUUUCUGUAUGGUUUCGAACUCUAUUGUAAUAUACUUUUCGAUUUUGGUUUUAUUUAUCAAACAUGGUUUUCGGAUUUCUUUGUGAUCUUUGAUUGUUCUUUGUUUUGAUUUGUAACUUCUUGAAUAUAUGAUGAUUUCGUGAUUUAGGUUUUGGGGCAGUAGCAUGUUCUUAUGUGUUUUUGAUUUCUAAUUGAUUAAUUGUCAUGAAUUCGUGCAUCUAAAUCAAUCCUUGAGGCUGCCUCGGCCAUGGUUGUCCUUAAGGUGCGGUUUCAUCUACCAUAAUAAUUUUGGAUCGAUUCAUAUGCAAAGUUGUCUUGGUCUCUGUUAUUAACUUAGGGCCGAUAUAAUUCUGAUAAUUUGCAUGCUAAUAGGAUGAGUGACGCCAUGCCUUAGAUCAUGUUUCCGAUUGACUCGUGUGCUAAAGUGUUUUCUUGUUUAAUCUCUACGCAACGUGUCUUUAAAUGAGUUAGCAUUCAUGUUUAAGAUCAAGCGCAAAGAUGGUUCUAAAUACUUGAGGAGUCUUAACAAUUAGAUAACCGCAAAGGCUCUAAUUAAAUCGGAAUUGGUUAGAGUCUAGGAUAAUUUGAACGUUGUUGCCCGGCCUUGCAUGAAGUUGUUAUGUGUUCUUGAUGGUUUUUCGUGUUAUGUGUUGCAUGAGUAUGUUGAUCACUUGUAUAUAAUAAUCUUAGGUUAAAUUUUCAAAAGGUUAUUUGUUAGAAUUAAUCAAUCUUAAACCCCCAAUAUUUCGAUGUAUAUAUGUGAAUACUUGUUUAUAAAUUGUUUGGUUUCUCUUCUUUCGAUCGCCCUUUGGUUUCCCCGGCUAGAACGAUCCCUACUUGUCCAUAUUACUACGAUUGCAGGGUAAUUAAAUUGAAGUUGUUUGACCCCGGUUACGCGACACGUCACUAAUGCACACAAUCACCACUAAAGCACACAUUCACAACUAAGACACACAAUCACCACCAAGGCAUCAUUCCACAACGAAUGUACACAAUCACCACUAAUGUCACAUCCCGACUCUUAAAUUUUUACCUUAUUUACUAGCUUGGUAAUAAUAAGAGUUUUACUGUAACAUCCCGGACCCAAAUUUUACCUAUUUACUCGGUAUUUCACGAGUUACUGGAGAAUUUAACAGUGCUCGGUAACUUAGUAAGUUAACACUCGAGUUUAUUUGUGAGUUUUUCUGGAAAUGUCAAACUCUUCUUUUUAGGUCCCGAUGUCGUAGUUCAAGUCGAUUCGAGUUCUUCGGUGUCUUCAGAAUUGUUUUGCGGAGCUCCGGAUUAUUUUUCUAUGUUUUAUCGAAGGUUUGGUACUAGGAUUAUUCUUACUGAGAUUAGGGUAUAAAUUUUUUUCGAGUUUUAAAGGAAAAGAAGUGGUGGACUUCGGUCAAAAGCCCAAAGUGGGUGUUGACCAGCUCUUCCACUCCUCUCCCCGACUCCCUCUCUCUCUCGUCUCUCAGUCUUGCCGUGCCGGAGUGGCGCCGUCCGGCCACCUAUGACGACAAGACCCCCACCAAUUCUCUUCCUCUCCCUCUUCUUUACAACGUCUAGCUUUCAAUUCACCAGUGUCCGAACUUUGGAAGGAGAUCGACGGGAAGAAGCACAGCAGCCCUCCGGCGAUUCUUGUUGAUGUCGGCCAUGACUUGGCACCCGAACGGUAGGGUUCGUCUCCUCUAUCCUUCUUCCUUCUUUCUCUGCCUUUGACUCUUCAAAACGAGUUCAAAUUCGGGAGCCCCUUUUUGUGUUUUUAGGUUUUCGUCGGGGUUUUCCGGCGAGUUCGUUCUUGGAGCUCCGGCGGGACUACCGUGCUCUAGUGAGUCUAGAAUCAGUUGAAUGGAGCCCAGACACGUCUUGGGAAGGGUUGGAGGAAGCAAUGGUGGUAUUGAACCGAGGUAGAGGUUUUCUGCCAAAGGGAGGUCCCCUAUUCUUCUAUUGGUUCUUUAUUUUUGUCAAGACGAAGGCUUGGUGAGUUUGGCUUGUGAGGAACCGAAGUAAUCUGGAACUGUUUCGGUGAAGGUGGCAGCUAAGGCAGCCGUUGGGAAUGUUUGGAGGUCUUUCAUGUGGAGUCUGGCAAGGAGGAGCUCUGGUUUGCGAAAUAGAGCAAAUUGAAGGUAAGUUGGUGUUUUCGGCUAUUGUAUUGAGUUGUAUUGAGGUUUGGGUGCUAGUUAGGUGAUUUGGAAUUAUGCUCGGUGUUUUUCGGAAAUGGUUAAUGACUGUUCUUGUUGUUGUGGUUGUUGCAUGUCGAGAACUUGGAGUUCUGAAGAAUACGGGGAGGCUAUGGCGAAAUUCCGGCAAGUCACCAGAAUCCGACGAGUAUUUCUGGCAGAACCCAUGAAGGUAGCUUGUCGACUUUUCUUUUCGUGUAAGUGGUAGUUUACGGUUUAGGAAAACCUGCCAUAUUUAGAAAGUCUCUUUUUAGGGAACUUUCCCCUUUAUGGAAACUUCCAUUCUUGGAAACCCUUUUGGGUGCCCUUAGUAAUUGUUGGUGUGAAGUUGGGUAGAAAAGAAAUGUUGGAAUUGUUGGUUCUGGUUGGCUUAAGCUAGGGGACCAUAAAAUAAUUUUUGUUAAUAUGAUUACUAUCCAUAGUAACCCUAAAAUCUAGACCAUUGGCUUCAUGGUGAUUUUGGAAGUGAAUUGCUUAGUGUGUUAAAGGCAUAGAGAUAGUGUGUGACUUCGAUUUCAGGUUAAGGUUUGGUUUGAAACCGAAUAAGUUUUGGAUGCGAAGUUAGUAGUAGAAAAUGAUUCUUUUAUCUAUUGGUCAACCUAGGAAAUCUUAGUCAAACCAGGAAGAAGUCGAUUCGUUAAUGUUGAUGGAGUCCGGUCUGACCAAUUUAUUCUUCUGUUUAUCGUCAGACGUGGGAUUGGCUAGAGUGUGUAAUUAGUUGGAGGCAGCGCUCGAGGAGUAUUCCGAGCAUUGGAAGGCUUAGGCCUAAUACUGUGAGUGGACUUUUAUUUUAAAUAAUAUGCAUGCUAUGGUUUUGGUUGAGCAUUUAAAAUUGUUGGAGUUUUAACGUCAUUUAAUUUUGACGCUUUUAUUUCUUUUGGAGAGUUACCGAAAAAUAGGAUUUUUCGGUGAGUAUAAAUAUGUAUAUUGAGGAGAGUAUGUAUAUAAAUGCUAGCUAGCCAUAUGUGUUUGUCCACCUUAAUGGCGUAGCAUAUAACCGUAUUAUGGUGUGACGUGAGCGUUGGAUGCGAGCGUAGUAGCCCUAUAUGAGUGUUUAAUUCAUAUAGGGGGUAUGGGCACAUAUUUAUACACCCGUCUGUCCACCUUAAUGGCGUAGUGUAACACCGCAUUAAGACGUGACGUGAGCGUUGGACGCGAGCGUAGUAGCUCUAUAUAGACCCAUGAAUUUAUAUAGGGAGUAUGGACGUGUGUAAAUACAUACAUAUAUUUUUUUAGAGUCUGAGAGACUCGAUAUGUAUGGGAUAAAAGUUCUAUCGCUUGCAGCAUGCAUUCAACUUUCCUUGGAAAUUGAUUUGGGGAAACAUAAAUAUUUUAUUCGUUAAUUUAUUUUUGUCUACUCACUCUAACGUUUAGUUUUCAAAUGUUUUUCCCCUGGGCUCUUCGUUUUAAAAAUGCCCAGUUUGCAAGAUUGCAUAGUUGUGGUCGGACGUAUUUGGAGAAGAGGCAUAGUCAAUAGUGUUGCUUCCGCUCAUUUUUAUAUUUCUAGUUCAUUUCCUUUCAAAUAGAGUUGCUCUGAACUAUGGCUGUUGGCUAUGAGAUUUUCUUGUUUAAGUUAGUAAUUAAAUUUGGAGAUGUUGUGAUUUGGGGAGCACGAAGGCUCCAGGAGUUUAAGGUUGGAUUUGGAUUUUUCAGAAGUGUUUGCAGGUAUUUAUUAGAAAGGGUUGUCCAUUUUCAAGGGAGGUUGUGCCGAUUUUUCGGUAAACUUUCCUUGGAGGUGGUCCCCGCAGGAUUUACUUCGGGUUUCAGGGUGAAAUUCGGGGUGGGUCUUGAUAGUUGGUAUCAGAGCACUAGGUUAUUCGUUUCCUUUCUCAUUUUAGUACUACCUCAUAUUCUUGGUCAUGCUUAGUGUCUAUAGAGUGAUGGUCCGACCGCGGCGGAUCUAUUAGCAUUAUAUGCUUUAGACACUAUGUGUUGAUUAGGUUUGUGAUGUAGUUGUUCUUGUUUUAUUUAUGGUCAGUAUUAUGCCAUAAAUAUCUAUAUCUUCAAGACUAUGCCUCCGUACGCUGACCUUUUAGGUAAUCUUUAUGUUUCGUGUAAUAUAAAGGUAUAUUGAUUACGCCUUUUCCAAGGAUAUUCGAGUUGAUAUCAUAAAUUAUUAGAGUUUAAUUGCGAGUUGGGAACUCCAGUUGGGAACUCAUAAGAGUGGUAGCAUUCGUUUCAUUUGAUCAAUGAUUGUUUGGGUAAUGAUUAAGAUGCUGAGGGGAACAUCUUGUGCGAAUCUGUAGUACGUGAAACGUUUGAUUCGACGGAUGUCUUGAGAGUUUUCUAUUUUUGGUGGGCAAGUAAAGAGCUGUGGUAAUCCGAUAGAAAAUCUUGGCAUCUAGUUACGUGACUUCUGAAAGAAAAGAGUUGGAAAGAAAGUUUGGAGUAGUGGUGUACUCUAUAGAUUUAAAGGUUGGUGGAAGUGAUGUGGUGAGGUACCCAUAGUAAUUCGAAGAGGUACCUAUACGAGUCGAUGAGGACUCUAAUUUUGGGCUGAUUAGUCACGAGGGAUUGUGUGGCUAAUAAAAAGGCUAUCAAUUUAGAGAAGUCUUGAUUCUUGACCAAAUUCCCAACUGCUUUAUCCGCAGCGAAAGUUAGUUGGGAUUGUUUUGGUUAAUGCUUGUUAUGGUCGCGCAUGUUCUGGCCGUACAACUCUAAUUAAGGAUAUGUUUUUAUCCUUGGAAUCAUCAUAUUAAACAGUAAAAUCGGAGAAUUUAGGAGAAGGAGGUUAGCAGCAGUCGGCGGAUAGUAAGAUUUUUUGAUGAAUUUCGCCUAAAUUAAAGAUGGAUUAGUUGAAGUUGGUUUUACAACAGUCAUUAGUCAAUGGCAUUAUGGCAAACUUGAUGUUGUGUCGUGGUCGGGGAAUUAUUAGAAAUUGAAUGGUGUCAUCAAAAGUUUCGAGUUUUGAGUUUCGAGCAAGCUUUAAAGCGUUGAGCGACUUCUGUCAGCUAUAGUAUUUUAAUCGUGGGCCGUUGUAGAUUCUUUCGGAAUUCUAAGUGUUGAAGUUGGAUUCCAGUUUUGUUGAGUGUUUUGGGAAGAAAAUAAAUUUAAAUGAAAUUGAAAAGUAAUGGUGGAGUGAGAGCGGAUGGUUGUGGUCACUCCGGUUUUACGACAACAUCUGGUGAAUUUGUGAUGUGUUGUCAGGGGUAUUCUAAAAUAGUUGUGUAGAGCUGGUGGAAGUGGUAGCAGUGGAAUAAAACCCACUGGAUCUUGGAGCAAGACUGUGUGGGUGUCCAUAGUAAAUUUCAAGCUGCAUUGUUUUAAGUAGUGAUGUAUGUCUCAAAUUUGUGAUCGAAGUUGGUUUUUGAUAUCAUUUCGUUCACAAUGGGUGACUAAUUACGACACAACAAUGAGAGGAUUUGUUCUCGCCUUAUUUCUAAUUCAGUGAGAUGGAGUAAGGUUUUGGUUGUGGUGUGUGUGGGAAUAUUUCAAUUAUUCCUACUGUAGUUUGUGGGUAGCAUCCUCAGAGCUUGAAAUUAUGGAAUGCGAUUUCAACGCUUCGAUUUGAAGGUUAGAGAUUAUGGUUAGUUUGUCGAAUUUUUGAGGCAAAUCAUAAAUUGGUAGUUGUGUCGUAGUCAUGGAGUUCAUUUAAGCGAUGAGUCUUGAUGCCGUAAAUCCUAUGUGGUAGUUUGAGAGUUGCACGGUGAUGUUCAUUUGAUGGUUUGUGCCGUUAUAGACAUGUUGUAGCCUUAUGGAAAAGGGUUUUUCCCUGUUGACUCAAGAAGCGUCUAGAGGUUUAUUAAGAGUUAUAAUAUUGAGGGUAGUAGAUAUGGGGAUAGGUUGAACGAUGUCUCUUCUCGAGAUCGUAUUGUGGUGGGACCACUUAUUGAUCCAAGUUUGAUUUGGGAGAUCUUUGCUUUUUGGUGGUGUGUUCAUCCAUUGGUGUCAGGAUGAUUAGUUGAGGUUUCUAAUGCGAUUUUGAAACGGUUCUGGCGGAUAUCGGAGAUUUGUGGAGCUUUUGAGCUCGAAGUUAGAGGACUUGCCUUUCGUGUGCUUUAAGUUAUUUCUUCUGGAACUUGAGCUGAGUUUAGCCUUGAGUUUUGAUUCUUGCUUGAAUUCAUGGUUUUCAUUGGUUGGAGAACCACAAAAUGUGGUAAUGGGUCUUGUAUAAAAUUUAUCUUUGCAUUUGAUAGUUGCAUGAUUCUGCAUGCUCGGUUAUCAAAGAAUUUUUUUGGUGGGAAGCCGUGGCCCUAGGCGGUGUAGGAGACUUGAGCAUAUUUGUUUUUCAGAUCGUCUUCUGCUAUUAGACUAAUCGUUAAGAAGUGUAUUUGUCGGGUGCAAAGGUUUUGGCUUUUAGAAUCAUUCUUGUGGAACGGCUAGAGUGAGCCAUGUGCUUUUAAUUGUUGCACUUAGGGUCGCAGUUGCACCCGAAUAAUUAGCAUGGUUGGAGAUGUAAAUUUUGUCAAUGCUUAAAGAAGGUGUUCUAUUUAUGUGGAUUUCAACAUCAAGUUUAGCAUCACGAAUUGACUGUGCCAAUUUUUCAUGGGCAUUAUUAGUCAGUUUUGUUUAUGGCGAGCAUGGGGGAAUUUCUAGUUUCCACAUGAUAGUCAUGUUUCAGAUUGUCUUCUGAUUUGUGGUAAAGAGAUUGGUAGAGAUAGCAGAAUCAAGAGAGAGUUGGAUUUCCUAUAAGCUGCUAGUUUGUGGUGCAUAAAAUGGUAAUGUAAUAGUUUUGGUGGAGAUACCUAAGUGACGUGGUAUUGAUCUUUUCAUAAUGUUAUCUCGAAAAUCAAGGUUAUCAUAUGUUGGUGGACUGGUCACUGAGGCAAAGCAAAGCUGUCUUGUGGACUUGCGAGGGCUUUGACUCCACGAAAGACUUUGCGAGGUGUCUCGGUAUUAAAAGUGAUUGUUACAGUUCUGCAGUGUGUGCAUCCUUAAAUCUGUUCAAUUAGCAGGUCUUAAUUUUGACCCCUAUGAGCAUGUGGGAAUGUGUGAACUUUAGUUUUUUUAGCAAGUUGGCUUCGACGCUGAGUUUGUGAGUUGCAUAAUGACUAGUUUGUUGUAUGUCAUUAGGAGAUUUAAGCCUGGCAGUGAUAUUGAAUUUUUCUCUGUAUUAGCUAUUUUAAGUUUCUUAAUGAAACAAAUUGUGAUUUGUUGUCGAUCAAUGAUCAUUACCUUUGGCUCGUUCAGUUUAAAAUUUCGAGCACGAAAUUUUUAUAAGGAGGGGAGAUUGUAACAUCCCGGACCCAAAUUUUACCUAUUUACUUAGUAAGUUAACACUCGAGUUUAUUUGCGAGUUUUUCUGGAAAUGUCAAACUCUUCUUUUAAGGUCCCGAUGUCGUAGUUCAAGUCGAUUCGAGUUCUUCGGUGUCUUCAGAAUUGUUUUACGGAGCUCCGGAUUAUUUUUCUAUGUUUUAUCAUAGGUUUGGUACUAGGAUUAUUCUUACUGAGAUUAGGGUAUAAAUUUUUUUCGAGUUUUAAAGGAAAAGAAGUGGUGGACUUCGGUUAAAAGCCCAAAGUGGGUGUUGACCAGCUCUCCCACUCCUCUCCCCGACUCCCUCUCUCUCUCGUCUCUCAGUCUUGCCGCGCCGGAGUGGCGCCGUCCGGCCACCUAUGACGACAAGACCCCCACCAAUUCUCUUCCUCUCCCUCUUCUUUACAACGUCUAGCUUUCAGUUCACCCGUGCCUGAACUUUGGAAGGAGAUUGACGGGAAGAAGCACAACGGCCCUCCGGCGAUUCUUGUCGAUGUCGGCCAUGACUUGGCACCCGAACGGUAGGGUUCGUCUCCUCUAUCCUUCUUCCUUCUUUCUCUGCCUUUGACUCUUCAAAACGAGUUCAAAUUCGGGAGCCCCUUUUUGUGUUUUUAGGUUUUCGUCGGGGUUUUCCGGCGAGUUCGUUCUUGGAGCUCCGGCGGGACUACCGAGCUCCGGUGAGUCUAGAACCGGUUGAAUGGAGCCCAGACACGUCUUGGGAAGGGUUGGAGGAAGCGACGGUGGUAUUGAACCGAGGUAGAGGCUUUCCGCCAAAGGGAGGUCCCCUGUUCUUCUAUUGGUUCUAUGUUUUAUGGUGUGACGUGAGCGUUCGACGCGAGCGUAGUAGCCCUAUAUGAGUGUUUAAUUCAUAUAGUGGGUAUGGGCACAUAUUUAUACACCCGUCUGUCCACCUUAAUGGCGUAGUGUAGCACCGCAUUAAGGCGUGACGUGAGCGUUGGACGCGAGCGUAGUAGCCCUAUAUAGACCCAUGAAUUUAUAUAGGGAGUAUGGACGUGUGUAAAUACAUACAUAUAUUUUUUUUAGAGUCUGAGAGACUCGAUAUUUAUGGGAUAAAAGUUCUAUCGCUUGCAGCAUGCAUUCAACUUUCCUUAGAAAUUGAUUUGGGGAAACAUAAAUAUUUUAUUCGUUAAUUUAUUUUUAUCCACUCACUCUAACGUUUCGUUUUCAAAUGUUUUUCCCCUGGGCUCUUCGUUUUAAAAAUGCCCAGUUUGCAAGAUUGCAUAGUUGUGGUCGGACGUAUUUGGAGAAGAGGCAUAGUCAAUAGUGUUGCUUCUGCUCAUUUUUAUAUUUCUAGUUCAUUUCCUUUCAAAUAAAGUUGCUCUGAACUGUGGCUGUUGGCUAUGAGAUUUUCUUGUUUAAGUUAGUAAUUAAAUUGGGAGAUGUUGUGAUUUGGGGAGCACGAAAGCUCCAGGAGUUUAAGGUUGGAUUUGGAUUUUUCAGAAGUGUUUGCAGGUAUUUAUUACGAAGGGUUGUCCAUUUUCAAGGGAGGUUAUGCCGAUUUUUCGUUAAACUUUCCUUGGAGGUAGUCCCCGCAGGAUUUACUUCGGGUUUCAGGGUGAAAUUCGGGGUGGGUCUUGAUAUUUACCGUCUUCGUCAAUGAGUUUAUAGUUUAAAUAGUCCCUAGAGAGGUUUUGAGGGACGAUUAUUUCGGAGGAAAUAUUCGUAGGAGAAAAUUGUGACGACGGUAAAAAUAGUAAAUUUCAGCUAGUAAAAGGUAAUUUUUAUUGGGGUAUUAUUUUUGGGGUGUUUUAUUUGUGGAGUUGGGUUUAUUUGGUGGUAUUGGACCGGUUAAGAGUAGAAACCCAAACCAUUUCUCUCUCUUCAUCUCUUCUUCCUCCUGACUCUCUCCCUCUCCCGCUGUAGGAUUUUUCGUCGCCAGCCUGCCGCCAUCCGGCCACCGUUCGCCGCCGCACCGGUCCCAAACAGUCGGCCGUCCACCUAGCUGUCUCCCUGGACCGGUGAGAGCCGCCCUAGCGCGCCGUGAGGGAGAGUUGCCGCUCGAAACCUCCGGCUGUCCAAAGCUCUCCAUCGUCGGAACUCUCUCCUCCGGCCGCCAUAGCCGGAGCAGCUUGGCUCAAAAGAAAGCCCUCCUCCCGAGCAUUCAUCCCUCCAAAGGUUCCACUCCCCCUUGGUCUAGGUAAGGAGAAAGGUGGAGUAGAAAUUCUAGGGCUUAUGUAAUGUUUUCGUUCGAUUGGCAUAGUUAGACUUGGAAUUGGGUAUUGUGCUAGUUAAGAAAGUUGUAGGGUGAGUUGAGAGGAAGAUACUGUCAAAUUUUGGUAGGCAUUGGAGGUCGUCGGAGUCGGCCGCCGGCCGCUGCUGCCGGCGGAGCAGACGGCGGCUCUGCCGCUGUUAAGGGGUUUUUCAUGGUUUUAAGUGUGUUAUAUUAAGGGGAGUUUAAUGGUAUGAAGUUUAGAAUUCUUGGAAGAGUUUUGAAUAAGUUUUGGAUUUUUGAAAGAUUGGUGAAUUUAGCGGUUAAUGGGGUAGAAUCCGACCGUUGGAUUUUCCUUAUUAUUGUUUUAGAAUGUUGAAAUAAAGGAAAUAAGGCUGUGGUUGGAAUUUAAUGUGAAUUCGAUAAGCUUAACCCUAGAAAGGGUAGUGGGUUAGGCGGAAGAGUUUUAGGUUAUAUAUUUAAGUAUUAUUUAUUUCUAAAAUUGAAGUUUGAUCCUAAGCAUGGUUAUUGUGCCAGGAUUCAAGGAGACCUUACUUGAGUGGCGAAUUGGAUUUGAUCGGGCUUAUGGCUAAAGUUGUGAGGGGACUUUUGUUUUAAAUAAUAUGCAUGCAAUGAUUGAUUGUUAAGCAAUUUAUUUUGUUGGAGCAUUGACGUCAUUUUAUUUUGACGAUUUUAUUUUUCGUUUGAAGAGUUACUGAAAAUGGGAUUUUCGGCAAAUAUAAUUAUAUAUUGAUGAGGAGAGUAUGUAUAUAAAUGCUAGCUAGCCAUUUGUGUCUAUCCAGCUUAAUGGCGUAGCAUAUAACCGUAUUAUGGUGUGACAUGAGCGUUGGACGCGAGGGUAGUAGCCCUAUAUGAGUAUCUAAUUCAUAUAGGGGGUAUGGACACAUAUUUAUACACCCGUCCGUCCACCUUAAUGGCGUAGUGUAGCACCGCAUUAAGACGUGACGUGAGCGUUAGACGCAAGCGUAGUAGCCUUAUAUGAAUUUCUAUUUUUCUUAUAUUUCCUUCAUAGAAUUCAUAUAAGGAGUAUGGACGUGUGUAGAUACAUACAUAUAUAUUGAUGGAUAUAUAUUAAUUUACCCUGAGAGGCUCUAUUUUAUAAAGCUUUGGAGACUAGCCGGAGCUAGUCGUGUUAUUGCCAGUUUAUGAGUUGAGAGCUUUUGAGCUUGUUGCAUACAGCAUAAUUUCUGUGGAAAAUAAAUGGGAAUGCAUAAAUAUUUUUAUUGAAUUCAGUUUUGUCCACUCACUCUAACAUUUUCGAAUAUUUCCCCUGGGCCCUUCGUUUUAAAAAUGCCUAACUUGCAGGUUAGCUUAGUUGAGGUCGGGCGUAUAUGGAAAUGAGGCAUAGUCCAUCAUAUAGCUUCCGCUUGUUAAUUUAUUAUGUUUCCUUUCUUCCUAUUAGAGUUGCUCUGAACCUAUAAAUGGUUGGAUAUGGGAUUUGUUUAGAUUAGUAAAUAAAUUGGGUGGUGUUGUGAUUUGGGGAGCACGAAGGCUCCAGGUUUUUAAAGUUGGAUUUGGAAUUUUAGAAGUGUGUGCAGGUGCUUUUAGGAAGGGUUGUCCAUUUUCAAGGGAGGUUAUGCCAAAUUUUCGGUGAAUUUUCAGUAAAUUUUCCUUUGAGGUGGUCCCCGCAGGAUUUACCUCGGGUUUCAGGGUGAAAUUCGGGGUGGGUCCUGACAACUAAGGCACACAUUCACAAGUAAGACACACAAUCACCACUAAGGGUCCAAGGCACCAAUAAUCACAUCAAUAGAACUAAAAAUAUUAUGGUCACAAGAACCUUAAAAAUAAUUAUUUAAAUCAUCAUAAUCAUUAUCAACAUCAUCAUCAUCAAAAUCAUCAUCAUAAUAAUUAUAAAUAAUUGGUCUCAAAAUGAACCUUGGUGAGAUUUUACUCACCUAAAUAAUCCCGCUGCGUCUUCAACACAAAACACAUUUCACAAGUCACCUAUAAUUACACAAUUAAUAACCUUAGUAACCAAAGUACCAUAGGAUAUCAAACACCCUUAAACUAAACCUUAUCCCAAAAGAGGACAACCUUCCAAGGUCAUCGAAUUUAACAACCCAAAACUGCUGCUUCUAAUUCUCAAAACAGAAACUCAAACCUUGCACAAGUCUAAGAUUAACCAAAAAGUCCUAGCAAGAAAUAAUGGUAACCAAAACCUACAACCCAUAUAUCAACACGUUUGUAUCGAAGAGUACUACCUAACCAGCACCAUAAAACACUCCAGACACUACCGGACGCGCUGCCAUGCGCCGCCAUAGGCGACGGCGAGUGGGCCCUAUGCGCCACCCUACCAACCUUCGAAUUAGGGCAAACUCACAACACAAAACUUGUAGAUUGAAGAGCGGGAAGCAUCUUUUAUACCUAAGGUUUCGCCUCAAUCAGCUGGAAAACACCGAGAAACUUGCCGAAAGGUUGGCAUCCACCACCACCACUCUACACCGAGAGUCGAGCUUCAAGACCACCAGAAGUCGAACCAGGACGCCAAGGAGCUUCUAUCCCGACCGGUUUCCAGCCUCGUCACCGCCGUCAGAGGUGAGAAUUCCGGUCGGGUUGCAAACCAGGUCGCUGCCCUCACUGUGGCGCUCAAUUAGCACCGAUCCGGUCGAGUCUUCCUCACUCACCAACACAACGAGGAUUGCGCUGAGGAGAGGAAGAGUUUCCGACUAGUGCCGCCGUCUAAGUCGGCCGGAAAAGUCAGGUCAGGUCGACCGGGUCUAGGUCGGGUCAGCUGAAGAACUUUGAUAGCUACAGUUCGGGGAGAGAGAGAGGGAAAGGGAGAAAGAAAUGGUUCCGGAAAAAACGAAAAGGAAACCUAAAACUUUUCUUAUUUAACCCCAAAUUCCUGUAAAGCCACGAACUUCCACUGACCGUAACUUUCUCAUACGAAGUCCGUUUUACUCGUGCCACGUGUUUACAAACUUGUAUCGUCGUGCUCUACAACUUUCGUGAAGAAAGUUUCUCAAGAAACCCAACAGAUUAGAAAGUCAACUCUUGACUCUUGAAAACCAUAAAACCGUUUUGGGUGACUUAUGCAUCCGAACACUUCCGCCCUUCCUUCGAACCUCAAAACACACUAACUUCUAACUCGAAAAUUCCUAAAUAAUAUUAGAAACUAAUACAUAGGAAUAGGCAUAUGUGUGUCAUGCUUUUGAGUCUUCCUUAACUAGUUUGCCUAUUGAACCUAGACCAUGGGAUCUCCAAUGUUGCUAGGUUAGGUUCCCGCCAAGUAAUGACUCAUUGUAUGGGCUUGAGACUCAUUCCCCUCGAUGUAAAUACAACUUGCUCUUUAGUUAGGCCUUUAGUCAAUGGAUCGGCUAGAUUUUCCUUUGAUUUGAUGUAAUCCAAUGCUAUAACUCCAUUGGAGAGCAAUUGUCGUACUGUAGCAUGUCGUCAUCUUAUAUGCCGAGAUUUCCCAUUGUACAUUUUGUUUUUGGCUUGAUGUAUGGCAGCCAUACUAUCACAAUGAAUACAAAGGGGUGUUAAAGGCUUAGGCCACAAUGGAAUAUCUUCAACAAAAUUUCUAAGCCAUUCGGCUUCUUUGGCAGCUUUAUCCAAAGCAAUGAAUUCCGAUUCCAUUGUUGAUCGUGCUAUACAUGUUUGUUUGGAUGACUUCCAUGACACAGCUCCUCCACCAAGUGUAAACACAUAACCACUUGUGGACUUACUUUCCGUACUACCCGAGAUCCAAUUUGCAUCACUAUAUCCUUCCAAAACAGGAGGAUAUUUUGUAUAAUGUAGACCACAGUUCAUUGUAUACUUUAAGUACCUUAAUACUCUUAUCAAAGCAUGCCAAUGGUCUAUACUAGGAUUGCUUGAAUAUCGACUUAAUCGACUUAUUGAAUAAGCCAAAUCCGGUCUUGUGCAAUUCAUAACGUACAUCAAGCUUCCUAUGAUUUGUGUGUAUUCCAGUUGAGACACACUCUCACCAUUGUUCUUUGCAAGCUUAUAUGUUGGAUCAAAUGGAGUCAUCAUCAUUUUAUCAUAAUAGUGUCCAAAUUUCUUUAGCACUUUCUCCACAUAAUGAGAUUGAGUGAGUAUAUAACCAUUACUAUCUCUUUGAAUUCUCACUCCAAGGAUUAAAUCUGCUAAUCCCAUAUCUUUCAUUUCAAAUUUGGAACUGAGCAUCUUCUUUGUGGAAUUGAUAAUGUCCUUGUUUGUUCCCAUUAUCAACAUGUCAUCCACAUACAGACAUACAAUGAUACAAGCAUUUUUGGUUUGCUUGAUAUAAACACAAUUAUCACACUCGUUUAUGGUAAAUCCAGAAGACAACAUUGUAUAAUCAAACUUCUCAUGCCAUUGUUUUGGGGCUUGUUUAAGUCCAUAUAACGAUUUAACAAGUUUGCAGACUUUCUUCUCUUGCCCUUUAACAAUGAAGCCUUCAGGUUGCUCCAUAUAGAUUUCUUCCUCUAACUCACCAUUUAAGAAUGCCGUUUUGACAUCCAUUUGGUGUAUCUCGAGAUCAUAUAUAGCAACAAUUGCUAUUAGCAUUCGAAUGGAAGUAAUUCGAGUGACAGGGGAAUAGGUGUAAAAGAAAUCAAGACCUUCUUUUUGUCGAUACCCUUUUGCAACUAGUCUUGCUUUAUAUUUGUCUAUGGAACCAUCUGGUUUUAACUUCUUUUUGAAUAUCCAUUUAUAUCCAAUUGGUUUGUUUCCAGGUGAUAAAUCAACCAAUUCCCAUGUAUGGUUAUUCAUAAUGGAUUCCACUUCACUUUGAAUUGCUUCCUUCCAAUAAGGUGCUUCUACAGAUUCCAUUGCAGCCUUAUAUGUCUGAGGUUCUUGUUCAGUUAGAAAAGUCAGAAAAUCUGAACCAAAGUCUUUUGCAACUCUUGCUCUUUUACUUCUUCUUGGUUCCAAUUCUUGCUCUUGAACCUUUGAAAUAGAAGCAUUGUUAUUAUUUUCCUGUGUUUUUGGAUCUUCAUGUACUCUCUUCUUUGUAGUACUUGAUCUAUCUUUGUAUGGAAAUAUAUCCUCAAAGAAUUCAGCUUCAUUGGACUCAAGAAUAGUGUUCACAUGUACUUCUUCAUUUCCAGAUUUGUGAACUAAAAAUCGAUAUGUUGCACUGUUAUUUGCAGGUCCAAUAUAUACACAGUCUACUAUUUUUGGUCCAAGCAUUUGCAUCUUUGGAGGAGGAAUUCUAACUUUAGCAUGGCAACCCCACACUUUCAUGGUUUUAUAUGUAGGCAGCCUACCUUUCCAGAUUUCAUAUGGGGAUUGAUCAUUCCUUUUAAGAGGAAUUUUAUUCAAUAUUGAGUUUGCAUACAGAAGACCUUCACCCCAUAAACUGUGUGGAGCACCUGAACUGUUUAACAUGGAAUUUAUCAUUUCUCUUACGCUCAGCAACUUCAUUUUGCAUUGGAGUGUAGGGUUUUGUUGUUUGAUGAACAAUUCCAUGUGUGGAACAAAAUUCAGAGAAUUCAUUUGAUAUGUAUUCUCCACCACGAUCUGAUUUGAGUGUUUUUAUCUUCUUGUCUAAUUGAUUUUCAACUUCAGCUUUGUAUAUCUUAAACAUACUCAAAGCUUCAUCUUUACUAGUUAUCAAAUAGGCAUAGCAGAAUUUGUUGCAAUCAUCAAUGAAUGUAAUAUAGUAAUUCUUUCCAGAUCGACUUGGAGUUGAUUGGAAGUCACAGAGAUCAGUAUGAAUCAAUCCAAGUACUUCGUUGGAUUUUUCAACACAUUUGUAAGAGUGCUUUGCAUACUUUGAUUCAACACAGAUUUCACAUUUAUGUUCAUCAGCAUUAGUAUUGCUGUUUGAGAUGCAUUCUAACUUAGGACUGCAUUUUGGUAACAAUCCCAAGUUGAUCAUCCUGUCUAGACAACGAUAAUUCACAUGACCUAAUCUUGCAUGCCAUAAAUCAACUGAAUCAAGUAAGUAGAUAGAAGCAGUGCUAUUGCCUGCAUUAUUAUUAUUAAUAUCAGCCGUAGGAAUUACAUUGAGUUUGAACAGCCCCUCAGAUAGGUAGCCUUUUCCUACAUACAUUCCACCCUUGGUGAGUACAAACUUAUCAGAUUCAAAUAGUAACUUAAAGCCUUUGUUGAUAAGAAGAGAACCAGAAAUCAGAUUCUUUCUAAUCUCAGGGACAUGGAGCACAUUGGUCAGUGCAAGUUCUUUUCCAGAAGUGAGUUUCAGUAUCACUUUUCCUUUCCCUUCAACUACAGCAGUACUAGAAUUUCCCAUGUAAAGAUUUUCUCCACCAGAUCCUUGCUCAUAUGUUGCAAACAUGCUUCUUUCAGCACAAACAUGCCUUGAUGCACCUGUGUCAACCCACCAGUCAUUGGUAUUGGUCAUUAGAUUGACCUCAGAUACAACAACAACAAAUUGAUCUUCUGCCAUGUUUGCUUGAUUAUUAUUUCCGGCAGGUCUGUCCUUCUCUUGGCGACAAUCCAUGGCUUUAUGACCAGGCUUACCACACACUCAGCAAGAACCUUGAAUUUUCUUUUUGAACAUAACAGCUUUUGGGGCAGUAGAUGCUCUCUUGGCAGCAGUUUUUCCCUUCUUAUGAUUGUGAGAAAACUUAGGCUUGGAGGUGCUACCUUCAAUCACAUUGGCUUUUGCUUCCAUUGAGGACCAAUCGGUUUUUUCAUUCUUUCUGUUCUCUUCCUCCACACAAAGCUUGAGAAUGAGUUGCUCAAGGUUCAUCUCUUUAGAUAGGUGCUUGAGGUAUAUCUUGAAAUCCUUCCAAGAGGGAGGCAGCUUUUCAAUAAUGGAAGCAACAAGAAAGUCUCAUUGAGUCCCAUACCUUCAGCAAGUAAUUCAUGAGCAGUAAUUUGGAGUUCCUCCACUUGCUUCACCACAGAAUUGGCAUCACUCAUCUUAAAAUUCAGAAAUUUUCCAACAACAAACUUCUUGGCACUUGCAACCUCAGACUUGUAUUUCUUGUUCAAAGAAUCCCAUAGCUCUUCUGCAGUUUUGAAUGUUGAAUAAACAUCAUACAAUGAAUCAUCUAAGGCAUUCAGAAUAUAAUUCUUACACAGAAACUUGUUUUGCUCCCAAGCUUCAACAGCCUUAAUAGUUGCAUCUAGGAUAUCACCCUCUACUGGCAAAUCUGGAGCCUCAGAUGUAAUCACUUAUGCCAAGUUCAGUGUUGUUAGAUAAAACAACAUCUUUUGCUGCCAUCUUUUGAAGUCCACGCCUUUGAACACAAAUGGCUUCUCAAUAUGGUUCUUAACACCAACAGCAGUAGGUUGAUCCAUCACAAUUGUAAUAGAAUUUCUGUCUUAGAUUGUUAGAACAAGGGAACAAUCAGUUAUGGAACAACCCAAUCAACACCAGAUGUUGUGUUAAAAUCUUAUAUUUAUACUUUAAUUACAACAAUAAGAACACAAUUCCUAAUCUAUGAACACAGUAAUAUCAGUUGAAACAAUGAAUUGAAAUCAAAACAAAAUUGAGAGCAAUGAAACUGACUUGAUGAUUUUGAUAGAGGCUUGCUUGCAGCAAUCUCCUAAGACAGAAAUUCACCCCUACACUUGUGCACGUAGAUCUUGGACGUCUGUCUUGUAGGAUACAACUAUCGAACCCAAUCGAUGCACUCCGGUUGAAUCCCUGGCAAACUCUACUUUGUGUUUCUCAUAAAUAUUAAGGGGAGAAGAGAGAGGAGAACUGAAUGAAUCUCCCAUCUGCUUGGGCUGAUUGUCUUUAUAAAGAUGAAGGACAACUUUUGGGGAAUAGAGGUGUAGCUUCAGUUGUUCUGGUUUGAAACCCAGAAGACACAACCUUCUGUUCGUACUCAACUCUUCCAAUAGAUAUAAUCUCUUCCAACAAAUAUCUAUUAUUAUCCAAAUAAUAAAAACAGAUAAUAAUAAUAAUAAAAGCAGAUGGUAAAAUGGUAAAGUAAAAACACAGAUGGUUAAUUCUAAUUUUUACCCCACAUUCUCCAACACAAAUCCUAUACAUAUCGACAUUUAGAGAUACUUGCUGGGAUAAAGCUUAAGGAAUAAGUAGGAAAAGUAGAUGGUAGUCAAAUUUAGCAGUACUAGAGAUGAUAUUGGUAAAAAGCUUAUGUGCUACGACCAAGAUUCUUGUUAUAAUAGAAGAAGAACAGAAGAAUCCAGAUGGCUAUUUGUAUAGCUACAAAGGACAUUUAACACAAUUUAAGGAGGCAAGACUGUAAUUGACAUGACAUGAAUGGAUUAAACAAGACGAAAAGAAAAAGUCUGUUGUGCAAAGGCUAGGUUAUAUCAAGAUUAAAGCAUCCAAAACAAAUGAUACUUUUUACAAUGAACAAGUUGGUAAUUCUGCAUUCAUAUCAUCACAAGUGAAAGGGAUUAAAGUCCCGAAGAAGCAUCAUAUGGAUGAGAACUCAAUAAGAUUCAAGUUUGACAAGCGAACAAAGCUGGCCAAAUUACAGUCAAGAUCAAACAAACAGAAAACAUUCCAACACAAUCACACCUAAACAUAGAUACUAGAAUAGAAUCAAAGCUAUAAAUAAAAUUAUGCUUUCCCUACCUCAAAUCCUACAUAUCAGUAGCAAUCUCCAAAAGCAAUCAUGCAAGCACCCAACAAUUCCAAAGCAAUCCACUCUAUACCAUAGCAAUCCAGCCACCUGAUACAGAAGUUUUCAUAUACGAAUUCAAACUCCCCUCUAAUCGAAGAUAGAUUAAUCGAUUACAAGUAGUUUUGGAAGAUCAAGAAAUUAAUUGAACUUACAAGGAUCAAGCCUUUGUCUAGAUGGAGAAACUCUGAAAUUCUAGAGCAAUGGAUUAGUGAAUAUCCACUUUAGUCUCUUGAAAACUAGAUAAAACUUUGGGUAAGUGAUGGGACGACAUUUUUGAGCAAAGCAGAAGUGCGAAGAAAGAAAAGAACAAAAAGGAGUUCGUGUAUGGUUCAAAUGAAAUCGUACAAGGAAGGCUUGAAUCACCGACACAGAUGAAGAAGCGUGUAUGGUUCUAGAAGGUAGUACANNNNNNNNNNNNNNNNNNNNNNNNNNNNNNNNNNNNNNNNNNNNNNNNNNNNNNNNNNNNNNNNNNNNNNNNNNNNNNNNNNNNNNNNNNNNNNNNNNNNNNNNNNNNNNNNNNNNNNNNNNNNNNNNNNNNNNNNNNNNNNNNNNNNNNNNNNNNNNNNNNNNNNNNNNNNNNNNNNNNNNNNNNNNNNNNNNNNNNNNNNNNNNNNNNNNNNNNNNNNNNNNNNNNNNNNNNNNNNNNNNNNNNNNNNNNNNNNNNNNNNNNNNNNNNNNNNNNNNNNNNNNNNNNNNNNNNNNNNNNNNNNNNNNNNNNNNNNNNNNNNNNNNNNNNNNNNNNNNNNNNNNNNNNNNNNNNNNNNNNNNNNNNNNNNNNNNNNNNNNNNNNNNNNNNNAACAUGUAACCUACUGAUGAAAACUGGUGGAAAUGCGGGUGACUAUGCCUCGCCUCCUACUAGAUCCAAUCCGAACUCUGCAAACUGGGCAAUUUAAAACGAAGGCCCAGGGGAAAACAUUUAAUAACGUUAGAGUGAGUGGACAAAAAAAUAAAAUAAUAAAUAAAAUAUUUAUGUUUCCCCAAAUUAAUUUCUAAGGAGAAAAUCGACUGCAUGCCGCAAGCGAUGAAACCUUUAUCUCAUAAAAUAUCGAGCCUCUUAGACUCUAAAAUAUAUGUAUGUAUUUACACUCGUCCAUACUCCCUAUAUAAAUUCAUGGGUCUAUAUAGGGCUACUACACUCGCGUCCAACGCUCACGUCACGCCUUAAUGCGGUGCUGCACUACGCCAUUAAGGUGGACAGACGGGUGUAUAAAUAUGUGUCCAUACCCCCUAUGUGAAUUAAACACUCAUAUAGGGCUACUACGCUCACGUCACACCAUAAUGCGGCUAUAUGCUACGCCAUUAAGGUAGACAGACACAUAUGGCUAGCUAGCAUUUUAUAUACAUACUCUCUCAUAAAUACAUAUUUAUAUCCACCGAAAAUCCCAUUUUCGGUAACUCUCCAAGAGAAAUAAAAUUCGUCAAAUAAAAUGACGUUAAAAUAUUCCGCAACAAUUAUUGUUCAACCAUGAACUUUAGCAUGCAUUUUAUUUAAAACAAAAGUCCACUCACAAAUUAGGCCUAAGCCUGACGUCGAUCUGGGGUCUCGUCUGCUCGAGCCUCCUCACGUCCUGAUCCAAAAAUAAUAUUAAUUUCCCAACUAAUAAUCCAAUAUUUAGUCAAAAUAGGCAAAAUUACCCGAGAGCCAUAAAUACGCUCAUCAUUGCCUAACUUCGAUAUUCUUAAAUCGGAACGAUCUGAACUUAAAUAUCAUACUCGACAGUCGUAACUACAACCUCCCCAAAAUACGACUUAAAUCAUACGGCCGGAUUCUACAUUAAUUAACCGCCAAAAAUACCAAACUUCGGAAAUUCACAAACCUAUCCAAAUCUCAUCCAAAAAUUCCAUAAAUCACAUCAAUAAUAUCCCCUUAAUAUUCCACAUUUAAAACCCUAAAAAUCUCCCAAACCGCGGCGGCUCCGCCGGCAGCGGCGGCCGGAGGCCAAUUCCGGCGACCUCCAAAACCUAUGAAAUUUUGACAGAAUAAUGCUCUCAUCAUGCUCUAAAACUUUCCUAACUAGCACAAACACCAAUUCCAAGCCUAACUAGGGUAAUCGACUAAAAACAUCAAAAACGCCAAAAAACUUCCACCUCAAAUUUCUCCUUACCUAGCUCAAGAGGGAGUGAGUCCUUUUAGGGCAAGGCUGCUGGGUUGGAGGGCUACAAAACCGAACCAAGCUUGCCCGGAUUGGUGGCCGGAGGAGGGAGUUCCGGCAACGUGAAACCUAACACAGUCGGACCUCUCGGGCCCGAUAUCUUCUUCACGGCGGCGCUAGGGGAGCUGUCACCGGUCCAAGAAGGUUUCUGGGUUGAUGGCCGACCGAACGGGACCGGUGCGGCGGCGGUUGGUGGCCGGACGGCGGUUGGCCGGCGACGGAAAGAUCGGCUGCGGGAGGGAGUUCGGGUGCGGGAAAACCGGGAGGGAGAGAGAGAGAAAAGAGGGCUGGGCUUGACCACCCCUUGGCCCGGUCCAACCUUCUUAUACCACCCAAAUCCAAAAUAAAACACCCCGAAAAAUAAUACCCGAAUAAAAAUUACCUUUUACUAGCUAAAAUUUACCAUUUUUACCGUUGUCAUAUUUUCUCCCACGAAUAAUUCCCCGAAAUUAAUCAUCCCUUAAAAUACCUCUAGGGACCAAUUAAACUAUUAAUUCAAUGACGGAGACGGUAAAAUUUUUAUUAUAAUUAAGCUAGUAAAUAAGGUAAAAAUAUAAGGGUCGGGAUGUCACAUAUAGUUUCUAAAUGGUGGCUGAAUCCUUCUAAACCCCAAACAUAUAUUUUCCAUAUAAAAAUAAUAAUAAAACAAAAGCUACAUAAACAAGAAUGUCUAAUUUGAAAUUAUAUUGCUAAAAACCAAAAUAGCACUAAAAAUCUAUUCCUAAUCAUAUAAUGAAACACACAAAGAAAAAAGAAUGAAACCAAUUAAAUUAAAUAACCUAUUAAAAAUUGAGAUCAUUACACGAGCUCUAGUACAAAAAUAUUCAAUGAUGUUGGGUCGUAGAUGAAUAGUAAAGCUACAUGCAAAUAUUGCAUAGCCUCAAGACGCAAUAGAAAGAUUGGUGCGUAUCAAUAAUGUUCGAGCGACAAACUAAAGUUGCUUGGUCGUAGCCUCAGUGAGACCGUAUUGCGUGUGAACAUGGGGUAUAAGACACUUCAACUUAUAUCCCAAUAAACUUCUUUAAAGAAUGGGUAGUGAGCCCGUAGAAGUAUAAGUAGCAUAAGUAGUAGAUAAUGGUGUAACACGUGACCAUUGUGUUAACACUUCAACCAACACCAUAAAGCAUAAAAAACUGUCCUCAAGUUGGUUGUAUCGAUUUACAAAAUUUGAUGUAAGAAUGAAAUAUUCUCUUUUGUGUCAUUUAGCAUAGGAGGGUCUCGCUCAUAAUUUAGCCAAAAAAUAGGCUUUCAAAACUAGCAAUGAGCAUUGCAGGGGGCCAAUGAGACAUCGAGGGAAGGCUGGUGCACCUCAAUUUCUUGAGGGAUUGACCAGACGGCCUCCGGGAAGUUAGAGCCGUGUUCGGGUGACGUUAAUGUCCCCCGGGUGCCGCCAUUUACCAUCAUGGCGUCACCAUCAUGCUUCAUGAAGAGGCUAGAUCCUGAAUGUCUUCGUUUUGAGCGGAAGAAUAGAUGUCCAUGAGAACUUCUCAAAAAUUCGGACCAUUAUAUCUUUUCCAGGAUGACCGAAUUGGUUAAACCAAAGCCUAUAUGAGUCGGUGUCCCAAAUAUCAUGUUUGGCGACAACAUGAGAUUCGAUAUUCGAAUCGUAGUGACAUACAAUCCACUAAAUUGACACAUGAACUUUUCCAAGAUGCACUUUAGUCCGCAUUCAUGAGAAGAUAUACACAAAAGAAUUCUUGUUCAUUCUCAUAAUGUGUUUUCAAAUGAAAACUAUUAACGUGAAUGUGUUUAAAGCUCAACAUGGUUCGGUUGCCUCUCAAUGCAUAG
rnacentral:lncRNA from 1 species